rnacentral:lncRNA from 1 species
UCUCUCUCUCUCUCUCUCUCUCUCUCUCUCUCUCUCUCUCUCUCUCUCUCUCUCUCCGGCAAGAAAACCGACCUGAACCAUCCCUCGCCAGAACCCUAGGCCUUAGGACCUCCGUGGCUUCCAAAACCUCCUCGCGUCUCCUUCCAUGCUUGGCUCACGAUUGAUGCAGACAACAACCAUGGCAGCGGUGGCUGCCUCAGAAUCUCCCACAGACAGCUCAUCAUGUUGGCAUAUUUGAUUUAGGCUUUUCGGAGGUAUAGAUAAACAUGAAUGUUGGGAGGAUUAAAGGAAUAAUGCGGAUUAAAAACAUAGACUAAACAAGUAAGAAACUUUAAAAUAAGAACAUAAUAUGAAUGGAGAUGUGCAGCCCGAAGACAUGCACAGAGCUCCUAUAUAGGUUAUCAAGGUGACUACCUUAUAGAAUAGGCUUUUAGAUAAGAAACAGAGAGGAUUGGAUUAAAACUUGAUUCACCUUCAUACUUUGAGUAGAAGACUACACCAUCCUUAUAUAGGCUCAAGAGCUGCCUCUAACUCUUCCUAACUCAUAAACACACAACCUUUUAGUUCCCAAAUGAUAACUAAAAGACUCAUAACGGUAAGAACAUAAAUCCUAGACUCCAAAAGACCAUAACUGAAAUUCUAAUUUAUUCUUAAGAACACUAAAAGAUAAUUUUGGUUUAAUACUCCUUCACAUCGGAACCCUAAUCCAACUCUGUUCCAGAUUGAAUUGUUGGCCGUGCCUCUUAAUACCUAGAACUCGCCGAUCUGGUGCGAAAUGAAGAUGAAGAUCAACAAGGCCUGCGAUCUCAGCUCCAUCUCUGUCCUUCCUCCUCACUCCAGGUUCGAAUUCACUUCAAUAUCAGAUUUGGUCGAAGAUGCCUUGACGACGACAACUUCGACCUCGAUUGCAUCUUUGAUUUCUUACAGAUUCAAUUAUGAACGCAUCUUCCAUUUUCGCAUAGUUGUUAGAACGAUUGGGAUGGAUCUCUGGUUUCUUCUAUUUGAAUAAGAAAUUGGAUUUAUAGAGUAUAAAGGGAUGUUAUUAUGCAAUUCAAAUGUACUGGUCUUGUUUGAUUACGUUUUGAGUUUGUAGAAAGUGUUUAUGCUUAAGCUUUAGCUUUUUGUAUACUUGUUUGUUUGCUUUUAUGGUUGUAAAAAUAUUUUGAAUAAAUAAACUGUGAUUCAUGGAAUCUCGCCGGAAGUUGGCCGAAGACCGUCAGACGUUCGUAGGAGUCUGCACGUUUGUACUAGUUUUUGUUGCUACAAGUAGUAGGUUUGGUUGCUGGUUGUAGUAGUUUUUUUAACGACGGUAGUAUUUUUGUUGUUGGUUGUUGGCGGUAUUGUUUUUUGUUGCCGGUGUAGUAUCUGUGUAGUAGUUUUUGUUUCUGGUGGUAGUAGCUUUUGUUGUUGGCGGUAGUAUCUUUGUUACAGGGUAGUACCUUUUGUUGUAGUAUCUUUUGUUAAUAACGGUAGUAGUUUUUGUUGAUGACGGUAGUAGUUUUUGUUGCUAGCGGCAGUAGUUUUUCUUGCUGGUGGUAGUAGUUUUCGUUUGGCGGCGUUAGUAGCUUUUGUUUCUAGUGGCGGUAGUAGCUUUUGUUUCUGGCGCUAGUAGCUUUUGUUGCUGGUAGUAAUAUCUUUUAAUGCUAGCGGUAGUAGUUUUUGAUGCUACCGGUUAGGGGUCAUCAAAGCCCGUGGGAGGCCCGUCGGCUCGAACCCAGAAGGGCCAAAGCCCGGCCUGGUCCAUAGAAAGCCCAUCUCGGCUCGGCCCAUAGGGCAUGAGGCCGGGCUAGGGCGGGAGGGUUCAAAGCCUCGGCCCGGCCCGCGGCCCAGCCCGUUACAUGUUCAUCAAAGCCCGCCCGGCCCUAAAAAGUCCUCCCCAAAGCCUAUAAAUUGUUUUAUAAAUAUUUUUAUGGAGUUAUUAGUUAAAUAUGUGAACUAAUUAAUGCAUUACGUCAUAUUUUAUUUUGAUUUUUUAUUACAUUUAGUUCAAUCAUUAAUAAAUAUGAAUUUGUUUAUAGUUUUUUAAUAAAAUUCUAUUAGAUAUAUGUCUAUAAUAGGCUCGGCCUGACCAUCUAAAAAAGNNNNNNNNNNNNNNNNNNNNUAGUUUUUGUUACUGGCGGUAGUAUUUUUUUUUGUGGUAAUAGUUUUUGUUGUCGCCGGAAAAUUUGUCGUAGGUCGGCCGGAAAAUUUGCCGGAGGCCUGUCAGAGACUUUUCAGAGAGGAGAUUGAUUGUUGACGUUUUACACUAGUGACAUCUUUGUAAAUAUAAGAGAGAGAAUAUAAUUUUUUAGUUGGAUGACAGUCUGUAACUUUGUUGAAGCUCAAUAUCUAAUAUAAAACUCUAUUCAAGCUCGAGUGGACUUAUGUGGGUAAAAAUAUUUGAGUGGACUUAUACAAGAGAAAAUGUUUUAAAGUUAACUUCUAUGUAAUUGGCCCAAAAAAUGAAGUGAUUUGAACCUUAAAAAAAAAAAAAAAAAAAAACCAAAAAUAAAGGGACUGCAACCUGCAUUCAACCUGUAUGGCAGGAAAGGCCAAUACGCAGGCAAUAUUGUUUGCACUGUUUCAAUUGAGACCAUGGCGUGCAUUUGCUAUCUUUAGAUGGUUUUAACUUUUAGAAGUAAACAUCUACGAACAUUACGGCAUGAGCGCGCAUAUGACAAACACUAUCUACAGUAACUGUAGGCUUUCUAUUUGGUUUAAACUUUGAAGCAUGCGUAUACAUAAAGAAGGUGUUCAUCACCCUUUGGAAGGAGUAAUUCCAAAUCUAGACAUUUGUGUUAGAUCAUACAUAACAAGACUACUAGUUUUCCAACUCCAAACAUGAAACAUCUUCUCCAUCAAUCCAAACAAGACCUAACAGAUUUCAAAUCAAUGGCAGUAUGCCAAUAUGCCAUCAAUGUCAUCUAAAGGUUUUUGAGCCGUCUCUGCAUCCUUCAUGACUGAAUGAUAAUCAGGAUUAAUCUUCACAUAUGCAUAGCAAGCGACUCGCCGUUAUGUUCAAUUCUCAUCCUCAUCAUAAAUCAUCUCCUACCUGAAUCUGUCAGGCUAUUCAUAGUCAAUCUUGCCACAACGUACUGUGGGAAGAGCAAUCUAUCAUGUGACAUGUUGCAACUAUGGUGGUGAAGGAGAAAAGCGGCAAUGCAUGGCACCAUGUUAAACAAAUGCAUGCUGAGAAUGGCUUAAGCAGCAUGGUGGAGCGUGAAGCAGCUGCUAGUCCUCUUCUUAGUGGGGGCUUGAAGUUGACUGAGGAGUUGGCUAAUAAGUCCCUAAACAUUUGCAGCUGUGAAUGUACAGAAUCUGCUUACUUCAACAAUCGCUGGGAUGUGUAUUUUGUCUACGACAUCAAUAUGAGUGUUCUGUUAUCAUCCAAUAAUAUAUAGCUCUAUACUAACCAUCAUACCAGAGUUGCGGCAACAUGCUUAUACUGAAACUCAAGCCUCCUCCGACUUGUCCAGCAUACGGACCAGAAUCCAGUACCGAAGUUUAUACCUUUGAUACUAAUGAUCGAGCAGCACUAGACUUCCUUUGUAAGUAUAUCGCAGAUCAGGAUUCCGGUACUCUUAAGAUGGUUGGAUUCAAGAUCAAACAAAUCUAGCUCACUGUGUGUUGAUUUUUCUUGUACCAAGAGUCCAUUAUCUGUAAAUAAGCCUAGAGGGGCAUAAUUUGGCAGAAAAAUAGUGCGCAGCUUUUGAAAAGACCCUUGUUGCAGAACCCAGAAAUCAACAUUCGUAGUACCUUGAAGCAAGCAUAUGGUUUCCUUGUACACUUGAAUCUUGACAAAACCAUUAAUAGGCAAUAUGGAAUCUGGAACCAGCAAUUCAUCAAAUAUUUCAGUCCCGGUGUCGAACGACACGAUCCUGUGACGAUCAUCAUAUACCAGCCAGUAUACUAUUCCAUUGCAAACCUCAUACCCCAUGAGCCACCACAGGCAAUUUAACCGAGGAGCAUGUUCAAUCACUUUCCAGGAGUUGGUGCGUAGACUAUAAACCUCAACUUCCAUGGAAGGUCUUUUGUGACCCAACAUAUUUACCACCUUGUAAUCAUUCUGAUUAGACUUGACUAAAUAAAAUACAAAUUCAAUAAGAAAUUACACAAUCCUCACAUAGUGAAAACUUUAUCUGAGCUGUGCUUACUAUGUUUGAAGCUGUUAAAGAGUUUGUAAAAUUAUAAAAGAAAAAGGCAGAGAAUUGCCACAAAUGCAAAUUAGACUUCUUACACAAGACUUCACUCCUUUAUGCCUAAGAUAAUCCUAUUUACAACAUCAACUGGCAAAGCAUAAGCUGGAUCUAUCGGUUUCACCCCUGGAUAUUCUAGAAGGGAAAGUCCUGCAUCAACAAGCACCAACCUCAGUUAAGUGAUGUAUAUUGUGACAAGUAAACAGCCAUGACAAAAAAUAACGUCUACAUUGGUUCCCCAAAAUGCAAUGGCAGCUUAAGUAUAAGCAGAGUUUUUCUUUUGUUUACAUCCGAUCUCAUCUUGCCGAGUGAUACUUAUAGAAGGUAAAUUUGAAUUUAUAUCUUAUGUAAACAUUUUGGACUAUAUGACUAAUUUCCCAUCUAGAAGCAGAGGCUCCAAAUGGACAUCCACUGUAAUCCUUGAGAAAUACUCAACAGUUUUAUUAAGUAAAAGGGUACAACAAGGCAGAACCAAAGCAAUUCUGUACCUGCAACACCAAAAUAUGUAUGGUACGCAUCACAGGCAUCAUCUGGUCUGUCAGAAAUUCCUCCAUUCUCAAUGUCCUGACAUUUUUAAUAAUGAUGCACAUCAUCUCAGAUAAAUUCGAAGUCACAUGAUUAAGAAUUUCACUUUGAAAACUCCUAAAGAACAUCUAAAUAUCCAAACAGUUUAGGUAUAAAUAUACAAAAAGGUCAGGUAAAACCUGACAAUCUAAAAUGAACUUCGCAAGCUUUUCCUUAUCGAUCCAAUGGACUCUGUCAAUCAUGAUCAAACUAGAGAGAACCCACCAAGAGUAGCACACCUGAAACGAAGUGAAAAUGUAGUAAAGAAGAUUCCACUAGUGCUAUAGAAAUUCACAUUUCAAUCAUGAAACCACACGAGUAUCUCUCGGGAUGACCAUCCACACCCACCAAAGCAAAGAAAAAAAGAACCACAAAUGUAGCAAGGUAGUUCAAGAAUGGUAAAAGAAACAUAUGCAAUUUCAUUUUUCAGAGAACAACAAUAAUAUAGUAAAAUACAGUGCAACACCCACAUCAGGAAGCUUCUCUGGACGGCCAUUAAGACCUCCUGCUUUUACUUGCCGCUCACACAACCACCAUCCAAGAAGGUCCUUGUCAAUACGAUGUAAAGACCCUGUAAUAGCAAGAGCACCCACGCAACAGAAAACUGCAUCACAAUGGACAAAGCAGAUCAUCAGUAUUGAGUUUAUAUUCGGCAUAUAUACAACUGCAUGAUCACUAUUCCUUACUGGAUCAGACAUGUUACUUUAUAUUAAGAUUGCAGAUACAUCUAUACACUUGGGGCAAAAGAAUUAAGAAGAUAUGUAUGAAGUACCAGAAAAGUUACUCAGAAGAUCAGUUUCUGUCAAGUGUCAACAGAUUGUACAUGUAUGACAUAAUAAAUCAGUAAACAAAUUCAAAAAACCUAUGCACCAGUUCAUUGUGAUUGAUUUUUAUUCUGGACCAAAAGGUUAUCACAAGAUUCAUCUUUCAACCAAGUCUGCUAUGUCACUGACCAAUAUCUUAUCAGAAGAGGAAAAGACAAAAGAAUGACAAUCUAAGCUUAAACUUGUUUAGCAAGAUCAGGUGCUAUUUCCAAUGAAAAGAAAGAAACACCUUGAAUAAUGUAUGGAAUUCCCUACUCGAAAUACAACUAAUAUUGAUUGAAUCUGUCCUAAGCAUGAACCCUACUGGAAAACCUAUACAGAAUUUAUUUAAAAAGAAAGUUGAUGUUAUUAACACACCUAUUUUUGUUAGUAACACACCCCAUCUAUUUUCCUAUCCAUACAUUUUAAUUUUAUUUACAAACUUGCCACUUGAAUUUGUUUCAUGAUUGGCUCUCAUCAUAGAUGGGGUGUGUUAAUAACAUCACCAAAUAAUAAAAGAAAAAAGAAAGAGCCAAAAAUAGAUACAUAAUAUGACGAUACGAUGAAGCAUUAAACAGUGAGUGAAUAACACCUCCACCAGGUGUGAGCAUGACAUAACAGAGUUAGAGUUGUUCAGGGUAAAUAACAUACUUUGACCUGCAUGAGACUCCCCACCAGGCGUGCAUCCAAAUCCGCCAUCAUGAUUUUUACAACUCAAAAUGUAGUCCACAGCCUUCUCCACAUUAAUUUUAUCCAAACAAUGUAGUAAUGCUAGACAACAGAUGGAAAUAUAUGAAAACCUAAGAAAUGAAAAAUAAUUUCUUAGUUGGUUUGCAGUUUCUUUUUGUUUUCAAUAUCUUUCAUUUGUAAUGCGGACAGAAGAUAAACUGUUAGUGGAUCAUGCUUUAAAUAAAGGUACAGUAACUUUAUUAACAUAUCAUACCAUACAAAGGAAAUAAAAAAAGAGUACCGUGUAUCAAUUUCACCCCACAUGUCCCCAGAAAAUGAGCCAUCUUCAUUCUGCAGCCCAGCUACAUCUGAGUUGAGUGUUAAGCGAGACAAAAUUCGCUAAAUUCAUUCACGCUCCUUUCUAAAGUCAGUUGCGUUGUUAGUAAAGUCCUGUCUCUACUCAAAUAUUUCUAUAAGCUCUAAUUUAGACGCAUCCUCUCAACACAUUGACCAACUGACAACGUAAUGAAGAUUUAUUUCAAAGUGUAAAAAAUAUAUAUAUGCCAAAGGAUACAAUUUGCAAUCUUCUCGAUAUCCAAUACAUCAACCUUGUCAAAUAAGGCCAAAACCUGCACAGCACUUAGGGUAUAUAGUAUGUGCGGGUCAUGUCCAAUGUUACCACCAAAACCACCUGCACUAUCCACACCAUAAUCAACAUUUUCCUUAUAACUCCAAAUCACCAAAGAAACACUGAGGAUAAAAGUAUGAGUUUACUAUUGUUGGGGGUAAGAACUCUCUACGAGCUAAAUACCUGAUUCAUGCUGGCACUGGAGGACCUCCGAAACAACUUCAUUGACAUCAACAGUGUCAAGCUUUCCCAAAAGGUCAAGAGUGGUCAAACCCCAGUAUGCCCCAUUCAAUCUUAUAUGUUCCAUCAAAACAGACUCAUAAAAGUCCUUUUCCUGAGAUAGCAUCACAAUGUUGUUAACAUUAUGUAUAAUCUAUAAACCAAAACAUCUAUAUGUGUAGUUGGACUCAAAAUUCGACCUUUGCUUUCGAUAGAAUGAAUUGAACAUGUUUCCGAGCUGCCAGCUCCACCAUCUGCUAAAAUUUCAAUAUCAAGCAAAAGACUAAAGGAGAGCACCCUUCAAACAAAGACUAAACUCAGUAACAAACUACAACUCAAAACCAAUCCAUUUAUAUUCAAUCGGGGGUAAAUGAUUUGAAGGCAUAAAAGUCAUUUGAAAACUUAGUAUAAGGCCUCAUACGAUUGUGAGCGAUCAGUUGCAAAUGAAGAAGGCAUAAGAGUCUAACUUAGUAUAAGGCCUGAAAAUUCAAAUGUUGAAAAUGGAAGCAUCAGAAAACACUCUUCAAACAGACAAACACAUUGGAGGGCAGAAGAUCCAAACCUGAAUUUGGGAAGUGCACGAAAAAGCUUGAAUUAGCAUGCUCAGUAAAACUAUCUUCUUAAAAUCAAAAACUUGACAUAACAUAUUCCCAUUCUCUGAUGAAUCUUGAACUUGAACAUCAUUAUAUCUAACUCAACACAGUUUAUAAGUUUUUUCUACAAAAAAUAAAUAGCCGUUCCUGUAUUGAUAGUCAUUUCAAUGGUGACUGAUACUUGUUGCGUACAGAGAAAACUAACAGUACACCUUUAUCUACCGAGUUCAAGAAUGAGUUAACCCACUAAUUCUAGGUUUCUUUUACAGACCUAAAUUGGCAGAAGGUUUGCAAGUAAGGAAGAAGAAGAGGCUUACCAAGCUCGGCGAUGCGAUUGUGUGGCGACGAAAUGGGACGCGCGGUGUUGAUCUGAUCGUCGGGAUUGGAAUCGCAAUGCGGUUGGUGAAUGGGCUCGGAGAUCGAGCUAGGCGGUGGUUAUGGUGGCGGUGGUUCUGCUUUUGGAUUUUUGGUGUGAAUGACUGAAGGAGAAGAAGAGGUUAGCCAUUGAAUUGGGGUCUAGUUUAGUCAAUUUUGUGCAAAUGGUUAUUUUUUCUUAUUUUUAAUCUAGUUAUUUUUUUUUAUUGAAAUUUAAUCUAGUUACUUAACCUCUCUUUCUCUAGCCACAAGUUUUUUUUUUGAUACUCUCUCUAGCCACAAGUUUAAUUGCCUUGAUUAUACAAGAGUUAUGGUAUCUUAUAAUAGUAAGAAUUCUAGAUAUAUGGGUUUCUAAAGACAUCUAUAAUAAUGCCUUCCAUACCCAUAACCUGUAAAAACUCAUCUCUAAUAAUCAAAACUCAAACCUGAAUAUGGGUUUCUACCAGACUUACGACUUAUUUUUAGUUGACUUGCAAAGAGGAAACUCAUUUCGGUUGGUGCGGGACCCACUUCAACACAGCCGCACAUGAAUGUGAGGGGAUUGAAUACCCAUUUAUUUGUUGAUGACCAAAACCUAUACUCAUACCCAUACUUAUACUUAAAUUAUAUAAAAUGAUUAAAAUUUGGGUAUGAGUAUGAGUAUGAGUUUUGACAAAAUGGUUGAAGAAUGAAUAUGGGUUUAGGUGAGUCAAAAAAUAGGUUUAAGUAGAGGUUUUAGGUCACCUUGUUGGAGAUGCCUUAAACACAUUAGUUUGCUAUAAACUCUGCUACUGUUAUUGUGCUUCAAUAUAUUGCUACUGCAAUUUUAAAUCCGGAUGUUGUGUUAACUUCAAUGAAAACUGGUUGAAACAAAACGAUUAAAGAAAAAAGCCACAGAUUAGUGGAAACACACCAUUCAUGUUUUCUUCUGUUGUUUUUCCUAGUUUGUUAUAACCAAUCGGUGUGACUAAGGGGCAUAAAUUUGAUAAUCAAACAAACUAUAUUCUUUCUUUCACAUGUAGUGUGAGGUAAGCUCAAAACCAGACAUGAGUUUUGUGAAUUGUGAGGUGGCCGGCCGUUAGUUACAAUGUUGAGUAUUACAAGAAAUGUAGUCCUAUAUAAGGCUCACAUACAUGGACUGGUCUCUCACAUUCUUGUUCUGAGAAGAUAACUAGCUACUUCUUCUAUAACAAUCUUCAAUGGCAUCCCUCAUUACUCCAGAUCAAUUUUCUGCUAACCAAGAUGCAGAGGCUCUUCGAAAGGCCUGUCAAGGUAUGUAAACAAAUUGUGAUUAGCAGAUUCCCUUUCGACAUUUCAUCUCGUGAGCUUAGUUACAACUAAUGUUGAAAUUGUCAUUAGGAGCUGGCAAUAGGUGUAUUCAUAAUCAUCAUGAUUUGGUAUACGUUAAUUUCCUAUUGACACAUAUGAAACCGAUAGGGCCGGGUCAGCAUUUUUGUUCAUACCACUUAGAUGUAGUGAACCUGUCUGUACUUGUAAGGAAAAUUUGAUAGAGUUGAGAAAAAAUUCUAACGUUUUCGGAAUCCAAACAAGAGCCUUUUCAAAAGAACACCCUAUUGUGAUUGCCAUUUGCCUCGUUCAUUCUUUUACAAAGCCAACCAAGACACACCUAACACAAUCCCAUUUGUGGAAGAAGGUAGAAAAUGCAUUAAAUUUAUAAUUUCAAAUUAAUCAAAAGGCUCAAAGAGAAUAAAACUCCCAUUUAAGCUCCCUAAUUAAUAGCCUUUGCUAUAAAUUUGGGCAUUGUAAGAGCCAGAACACACUAGUGAAAGAUUCCAACAUAACCUUCUUUGUGCUUCUGUGAGAGAGAGAUAAACAAAACCUUCAAGAAUGGCUACCCUUGUUUCUCCUCCAAAUUUCUGUGCCAAUGAAGAUGCAGAAGCUCUUAGAAAAUCUGUGAAAGGUGUUGCUUAGAUCAUUUCUUUCGUAAUUCAUAUAUGCGCAUGAGCUAUUGAAAAUUCUGUCAUAUUUUGAAAUUAAAUUGAGUGAUUUGUUUUUGUUGGCUAAUGUUUUAACAUGUAGGUUGGGGGACCAAUGAGAAGGCUGUCAUCUCCAUCCUGGGUCAUAGAAAUGCAGGUCAAAGAAAAGAGAUCAGGGCAGCUUAUGAACAACUUUAUCAAGAAGAUCUUCUCAAGCGCCUUGAGUCUGAGCUCUCUGGUGAUUUUGAGGUAUUAUAAUUUAGUGUAUCUAAAAGACAUAGAAAUCUCCGAAUGGUUUUGUCCUUUUACUACAGAAGAUAGAGGAACUGGUGGAAAAGAGAAUAUUAUCAAGAGAAACUCGAUUUUUUUUUUUUAACUGAUCCGAUCCAGGAGCACACAGAUAAUUUUGAAUAACUUCUAUGUAUAAAUGCUCUUAAACUAUGCAUCAGUUUUGUGACUGUCAGAUUAGUCAUUGACAAGGUUAAAAGCUAUGUUUAACUAUUUUUACUGCAUAUCAUCGAUCAGAUUAUUGCAUUCACCCAUUUUGUUUUCUUUGUAUGAAAGAAAAUCCAUCUCAAUCUUUUUCUAAGGCAAUUUAAUUGAGUGAAGAAACUUCUGUUCAUAUUUUGGGAUGACAUUCAUGUAUAGAAAGCAGUGUACCGCUGGAUAUUGGAUCCAGCAGAUCGUGAUGCAGUUUUGGCUAAUGUGGCCAUCAAGAAAUCCACUGACUACAAUGUCAUAAUUGAAAUUUCCUGCAUUCACUCCCCUGAAGAGCUUCUAGCUGUAAGAAGAGCUUACCAGCUUCGCUACAAGCACUCUGUGGAAGAAGAUCUAGCUGCACAUACUACCGGUGAUAUCCGCAAGGUAUGUGCUUUGGCCAAUUUAACAUGAUAACUUAUACCAGGCAACAUGCCAUAUUAUGCUGUUUGAAUGUGAUUUUUCAUUGCACCAUCGAAGAAGAAAUGAUCGGCCAAUAUAGAUCGACUAAAUAAAGAGAACAGUUUAUGUCAACUUAAUCUGAGAACAUGUUAAAUUAGACAAUUAGAAUUGCUAAUUAAUGGUGUUAUGUUGCAGCUUUUGGUUGCUUUGGUGACUGCUUACCGCUAUGACGGUCACGAGAUCAAUGCAAAGUUGGCAAAUUCGGAAGCAGAUAUUCUUCAAGAUGCUAUCAAAGACAAGGCUUUCAAUCUUGAAGAAAUUAUUAGGAUCCUGAGUACUAGGAGCAAGACACAACUCAUGGCGACAUUCAACAAAUACAGAGAUGAUCAAGGCAUUUCUAUCAGCAAGGUUAGGAGAACACAAAGAUUUAAGACUUUUAGAAUACCAAUUUGCAGAUUUACAUUGUCAAUGUGCCCCAGAAAGUAAUUAAUCUCUAUUUAACAAUUUUACCUGAUUAAAAUAUUGUCUGUUUUGCCAGAAUUUGCUGGAAGAAGGAGCUAAUGAUUUCCAGAAGGCAUUGCAUACUGCCAUUCGAUGCCUCAAUGACCCCAAGAAGUACUUUGAGAAGGUAAACACAUUUCACUUGUUAUUCUCUCUUUCUAGCUAGCUCAUAUUCCUUCACAAACUCAUAUAUUACUUGUGCUUAAAGGUACUUCGCAAUGCAAUAAAAAGAGUCGGCACCGAUGAGGAUGCUCUCACUCGUGUGAUUGUUACAAGGGCAGAGAGGGACUUGAGGGACAUCAAGGAGGUUUACUACAAGAAAAAUAGUGUUCCUCUUGAACAGGCUGUGGCCAAAGACACUUCAGGGGACUACAAGGCCUUCCUCCUUACUCUGCUGGGAAAGGAAGAUUGAGUUCCUGUUGUGAGAAAAAUAGAAUAAUCUAGCUAGUGAAGCUAUUAAGUAUGAAUGUUGGUCUUUUCUGUUGUUGUUUGAUGAGUCUUUAUAUUCUAUGUUGUGUCAAUGAUUUUCUUGCGGUGUGACUAUCUACCUAUCUUUGUCCAUGUUCCUGAAGUUGGGAGGAGUUAUUAUAUGAAAAGAGUUUCUAGUUAAGGAAGUUAGUACUAUGCAAUUCACCUACUAUCAAUACUGUUAUUUUUCCCAACAAUUAAUUGAUGCCAGGAAUCUCUCAUACACACUAUUCAAGGGGCACAAAAUACAUCUGAUUAUGUAAAUCGGGGCUUCCUUCUUUCUUUCUUUCUUUCUUUUUUUUUUUUUUUUUUUGAAUUUAAUAGAUAAUUUCAUUACUUAUCCACAACCAGAGAACACAUACAUCAAAUUGUCUAAUCACAACCACUAAUCUAGUUGGAAACAAGAGAUAACAAAAUGACAAUGAGCCCUCGUUGUAAAUGCCCUCAUUUUACACCUAAUACAAAAUAUUUCCAAAUACUCAUAUCUAACUCCCAUAUAGCAAUUACAACAGUCGCCUGUGGACCUCAAUUGAUGUACGACUAAGUAAAAUCGAGAAUUAAAAAGCAUUAAUUGCCUGGACUUCCAUCACUUGCCUCGAAAAUGAUCAAGGAAAUCAAUACCUCCUUACCCUUGUUGUUAGGACCCGCCUAACCCCUAGACAUACCAGAUGACCAGAUUGGGUGAUAUAAUACCCCUAGGUCCCCGAAAGGCUUAAAAGGGAUAAGGUCCAAAAUAGCACCUUAGCCCAGCUAGAGACCAUGCAGGCUCAAAGAAUAGACUCAGUCUAGGCCCAACAAGAUGUCGAGUCCAAAUUCGAUAAAUGGCGCUGAAAUUAGACGUUGCUUACUACAACUCUGCCGUCACUCCUCAGCCAUCUCGUCAGCCAAACCGCAUCGCCACACCGCACCGCCGCUAUCCGACCACUCCUCCACAAGCCAUAGCAACCCAAAGAUCAGAGAUUUCCAUCCGGCAAAACUCGACCAUGUUUCUACAACAUCAAUCGAUGCUGGCGUUAAGCUCCUCCAAUCUCUUGUAACGUUAGCCUUCAAACACCCAACCCCGCUACAGGAAUCGUAGUCAAGCACCCCAUACAGCCUAAACUCAACCAAUCCAAAACGAGACUAGACCGGCCAUACCGCAAAACUCGUCCGGUAGCAAAGCCAGGAGGCUUCGACGAAUCCAAAGAAUCGAUCCGUCUGGGCCAGCGGCUACCACCUGACGAGAGAAAUCUUGAAGGUUGGAAGCUAUCGGCGGGUUAGAGUUUCGGCUGCUAGGGUUUUUUUUAGAAAUAAUUGUAACUCAGGGAUUCCUAUCUAGCAGCAUUAGGUAUUUUUCAUCCAUAACUUUUUUUUAUAUAUUUUUUUUAUGAUAAUCGAGGAGGCGUCAAUUCAUUAAUGUAUAAAUGAAUAUUACGUAGCAACACAACUCACCUAGAAACCUUUGGCUAAGUCAUAAGCGAGCCGUGAAGGCAAAAAUUAAGGAAAAAAAACCUAACUUCGACCAAAAGCGAGAUAACCUUAGUCCAUAAGUUCAUAAGUAACCGGAACCACGACGUUAUCAAGGUAGACAUCGGAUCAAGCCAAAUCCCUAAUUUAUUUUUGAAACAGAACGUAAACCUACGAUUAGUGGAUUUCCCCAGUACCCGUAGCAAAGAUCCAUCAGAUGAACCAUCACCAAAAGGCACAAACAAUGCCUCAUGGCCUUCCACCCUCGAACUUGAAGAAAGGCAUAGUUGAACCACUGAGGGCUUGAGAACCCUCUUCUGGCUCACCUUCCUUACACCCAGCUCUAACAACAAAGCCUUAACAAUGCCUCACCUUUGUUGGCUCACAUUUCUUUCACCCGGCUCCAACAACAUAGCCUUAGGUUUAGGGGAACUCUUAGGGUUGUUCUUCCAUCCAAGGGGACGUCUGGUCAUCUGCCUUAACAAUACCUCACCUCUUCUGGCUCAUCAUCCUUUCACCCGGCUCCAAUAGCAAAGCCUUACUUAAGGGCACCCUUGGGGUUGUUCCACCGUCCAAGGGGACGUCCCUUCUUUUUUCCACUAUUGAAGUCCAACACCUUUAGUAGCAGACUUGCUGCGUUUUGUAUAUCAAGAGUGUCUCAGAUGCCUUUCUCAUUAUGCUAGCCAUUGAAACCUCAUCAACUUGCAACGAGACGACUAUUGGAGGAGCAGUUGCAGUGGGGGCAAGAAACUUACAGACAUACUGAGAAUAGUAAACACCGACAAACUCUUUUUUUGCACACUCAGUUUCUAGCAAACAAUAUUCCAGUACCCGAAGUAGGAGUAGGAACCCUAGGGGCAGGGUUCACAAUUUGUAUAGUUUCCACCGUUUGCGGAUGACCAACAUAUACACCACCAUUGUGAUCAAAGAAGCCACAAGUGCGGCAAGGGGUAAUAAAAGACGGGACGCCGCACGAAGCGGUAGGGGUAAUAACAGACGGGACGUCGCACGAAUUGGUAAGGGGUAAUAAACGAAUGGAUGCCGCACGAAACGGUAACGGGUAAUAACCGAAGGGACGCUGCACGUAGCAGAAAGGGGUAAUAACCGACGGGACGCCCUACAAAACGGUAGGAGUAAUAACCGACGGGACGCCGCACGAAACGGGAAAGGGUAAUAACCGAAGGAAUGCCGCACAAAGGGGUAAAAACCGACAGGACGCCGCACGAAGCAGGAAGAGGAAAUAACCAAAAAAACGCCGCAUGAAGUGGGAGGGGUAAUAACCGAAGGGACGCCGCACGAAGCGGUAAGGGUAAUAACUGACGGGACGCCGCACGAAACGACAAGGGGUAAUAACCAACAGAACGCCGCACGAAGUGGUAGGGUUAAUAACCAACAGGAUGCCGCAUGAAGCGGUAGGGGUAAUAACUGAAGGAAUGCCGCAUGAAAAGGGAAGGGGUAAUAACUAACGGGACGUCACACAUAGCGGUAAAAGGUAAUAACCGAAGGGACGUCGCACGAAGCGGUAAGAACCGACGUGACGCCUCACGAAACGGGAAAAUGUUAUAACCGAUGGGACACCGCACGAAGCGGCAAGCGGAAAUAACUGAAAGGACGCCGCACGAAACGGCAAGGGGCAAUAACCGAAGGGACACCGCACGAACACCGCACGAAGCAAAAGGGGUAAUAACCGAAGGGACGCCGCACGAAAUGGAAAGGGGUAAUAACUGACGGGACGCCGCACGACACGGGAAGAAGUAAUAACAUAAUAGAUGCCGAACGAAGUGGCAUGAAGUAAUAACCGACGGGACGCCGCAUGAAGCGGCAUAGGGUAAUAACCGACCGGUCGCCGCACGAAGCGGUAAGUGGUAAUAACUGACAGGACGCCACACGAAGCGGCAUUUGGUAAUAACCGAGACGACACAAAAAGUGGUAGGGGUAAUAACUGAUAGGACGCUGCAGGAAGCGACAAUGGGUAAUAACUGAAGGGACGCCGUUUCGGGAUGCCGUACGAAGCGGUAAGGGGUAAAAAUUGAAGGGACGCUGCAUGAAGCGAUAAGAGGAUAAUAUCUGAAUGGACGCCGCACGAAGCGGCAAAGGGUAAUAAUUGAAGGGACGCCGCACGAAGCGAUAGGGGUAAUAACCGACGAGACAACGCACGAAGCGGUAAGGGUAAUAACCGGGACGCCGCACGAAACGACAUGGGGUAAUAACCGACCGGACACUGCAGGAAGCAGCAAGGGGUAAUAAUCAAAGGGACGCCGCUUCGGGACGCCACACGAAACGGUAAUAACUGACGUGACGCCGCACGAAGCUGUAGGGGUAAUAACCGGGACGCCGUACACAACGACAUUGGGUAAUAACUGACCAGACGCCGCAGGAAGUGGCAAGUGAUAAUUACCGAAGGGACGCCGCACAAAGCGGUAGGGUAAUAAUCGACUAGAUGCCGCACGAAGCGGUAAGAGGUAAUAACCGACGGGACGCUGCACGAAACGGUAAGAGGGUAAUAAUCGAAUUGACGCCGCACGAAGACGCAAAGGAUAAUAACUGAAGGGACGCCGCACGAAACGGUAGGGGUAAUAACCGGGACGCACACGAAGCGACAUGGGGUAAUAAUCGACGGGACGCCGACCGGACCUUGCACGAAGCGGUAAGGGGUAAUAACCGACACGAUGCUGCACAAAGUGAGAAGGGGUAAUAACUGACACGACGCCGCACGAAGUGUGAAAAGGUAAUAACCGACACGACGACGCACGAAGCGGCAAAGGGUAAUAAUCGACAGGAUGCCGCACGAAGCCGUAAGGGGGUAAUAACCGAAACGAUGCCGCACGAAGUGGUAAAGGGUAAUAACCGACGGGACGACGCACGAAGCGGGAAUAGGUAAUAACCGUUGGGAAGCCGCACGAAGUGGUAAAGGGUAAUAACCGACGGGACGCCGCACGAAACGAGAAGGGGUAAUAACCGACGGGUCGUCGCAAGGAAGAGAAUGGGUAAAAACCGACGGGACGCCGCACGAAGCGGGAAUAGGUAAUAACCGUUGGGAAGCCGCACGAAGCGGUAAGAGGUAAUAACUGAAGGGACGCCGCACGAAGCAAUAGGGGUAAUAAUCGGGACGUCGCAUGAAGCGGCAUGGGGCAAUAACCGACGGAACACCGCACGAAGCAGCAUGGCGUAAUAACCGAUCGAACCCCGCACGAAGCGGUAAAUGGUAAUAACUGACACGAUGCCGCACAAAGCGAGAAGGGGUAAUAACUGACACGACGCCGCACAAAGCAGAUGUUUGUACUUAUUUUUUACACAUCGGCCCACUAGGCCGAAUCCGUUGGUUGCGAGGAAAAUUACAAUAUUUAAUGAUCAUUAUUACAAUUAUUUCGUAUAAUUAUCAUCACCAUUAUUAAGAUUUGUUAAGAUUCAUUAUUUGGUAUUAAAACCACAUACCAAAUAUUGAAGUAACGGCGAUAUAUGACAACAAAUUAACAUUAUGGCUAAUUGGAAGAAUUAAAGACCGAAAUUUCAACAUAAUUAGCGAAUCAAUUCUAACGAAGCCGCAAGAAGAAAGAAAUAAACGUGUGAUUAAGGAGAAAGCAACACGGAGCAUAUCUUUGAUUCGGUCAUUAAGACCGAAAUAUUUAUUUUAUUUUAUUGUUUUCUCCUUCCUUAAUUUUUGUGUUUGUAAUAGUAUAUAUAGGAGACAUAUACCUCCUUGUAAAAGGUCCCCGACCAACAUAAACAACACUUCAAUACAAUCUCAAGCACUUCAAAUUCUCUACGAAUUCUCUACAAUAUCAAUCUUUUUAUUAAUGUUCUAACAUAGUUCUCUUCUUUUUAUUCGCUUGUUUUACAUUCCGCACUUUAUCGCUUUUUUUUUACAUUCCGCACUUUACUUACAUGCAAUUUCUCUUCUGCGUUUUUAAAUUCAUGCACUUUAAUUUCUUGCAAUUACUUCAUGCAAUUUAUGUUUCAUGCAAUUUAAAUUUUCGCCUUUAGAUUCUUGUUAUUUUACUUUUUACAUUUUAAUUCUCGCAAACUUAUACAAAAAUCACAAAAAAAAAGAGCAACGUCGGUGAAAACGCCAAAAGUCCUUGUAACAAAGGCGAGAGAACCUAAAGGCCGAGACGGUUCCUUCCUCGGCCUACAAUCACUUGGAAGAAGUUAGAUUAGACUCAAAAUAUUUAUCAAAAAUCACGCUUGACCAACAGGCCGCGAGUUGGCACGCCCGUGCACUUAGAGGGAUGAUUGUUCUCAAGACCUCGGCCUAUUUUUUUCGGCCGAGACGAUUUUUGAGCAAACAACGGGAAGGGGUAAUAACCAACACAACGCCGCACGAAGUGGCAUGGGAUGAUAAUCGACCGGACGCCGCACGAAGCGGCAUGGGGUAAUAACUGACCAGACCCCGCACGAAGCGAGAAAGAGUAAUAACCAAACACGAUGCCGCACGAAGCGAAAAUGGGUAAUAACCGACAAGACGCCGCACGAAGCAGUAAGGGGUAAUAACAGAAAGGACGCCGCACGAAACGGUAAAGGGUAAUAACCGACGGGACGACGCACGAAGCGAGAAGAAGUAAUAACCGACGGGACGCCGCACCAAACGGGAAGGGUAAUAACUGAUGGGAUACCGUAUGAAGCGGUAAGGGGUAAUAACCGAAGGGACGCCGCACGAAACGGUAAAGCGUAAUAGCAGAUGGGACGCUGCACAAAGCGUGAAGGGGUAAUAACCGACGGGUUGCCGCACGAAGCGGUAGGGGUAAAAACCGACGGGACGCCGCACGAAGCGGCAAUAGGUAUUAACCUAAGGGACGCCGCAUGAAACAGAAAAGGGUAAUAACCGACGAGACGCCACACACGCCACACGAAGCGAUAGGAGUAAUAACCGACGAGACGCCGUAUGAAGCAGCAAUUGGUAAUAAUCGACGGGACGCUGCACGUAGCGAAAAAGGGGUAAUAACCGAAGGGAUGCCACAUGAAGCGGAAAAAGGUAAUAACUGACGGGACGCCACACGUAGCGGUAUGGGAAAUAACCGGGAUGCCGCACGAAGCGGUAGGGGUAAUAACCGAGACGCCGCACGAAGCGGCAUGAGGUUAUAACUGAUGGGACGCCGCACGAAGCGGUAAGGGGUAAUAACCAAAAGGAUGCCGCACGAAGCGAGAAGGGGUAAUAAAUUAAUAACUGACGGGACGCCGCGCGAAGCGGAAGGGUUAAUAACCGACAGAACGCCGCACGAAGCGGUAAGAGGUAAUAACCGAAGGGAUACCGCAUGAAGCGGGAAGGGGUAAUAAACUAAUAACUGACGGGACGCCGCGCGAAGCGGAAGGGUUAAUAACCGACAAAACGCCGCACGAAGCGGAAAUGGGUAAUAACCGAAAGGACGCCGCACGAAACGGUAAAAGGUAAUAACUAAAUGAACACCGCACAAAGCGAGAAGGGAUAAUAACCGACAUGUUGCCGCACGAAACGGUAGGGGUAAAAACCGACGGGAUGCCGCACGAAGUGGCAAUGAGAAAUAACAUAAGGGACGCUGCACGAAGCGGUAGGAGUAAUAACCGACAAGACGCCACAUGAAACGGCAAGGGGUAAUAACCGACGAGACGCCGCAUGUAGCGAAAAGGGGUAAUAACCAAAGGGACGCCGCACGAAGUGGAAAGAGGUAAUAACCAACGGGACACUGCACGAAGCGGUAGAGAUAAUAACCGGGAUGCUGCACGAAACGGCAUGGGUUUAUAACCGACGGGACGCCGCACGAAACGGAAUGGGGAAAUAACCUACCAGACGCCGCUCGAAGCGACAUCGGGUAAUAAUCAACAGGAUGUCGCAUGAAGCGAUAAGGGAUAAUAACCGACGGAACGCCGCACGAAACGGUAAAAGGUAAUAACCAAAGGGACGCCGCACGAAGCAAGAAGGGGUAAUAACCAAAGGGCCAGACACGAAGUGUAUCUUUACCUAUUUAAGUCUUAAGUAUUUAAGAGUCUUGUUAUUAAUAAGUUACAUUAGUCUUAUGGUAUUCUAGGAGACUAAGGGUUAUACUUGAAACCUAUAAAUGGCUUUCUCAUGUAAUCUGAAGCGCAUAUUGGAAAUGAAUUAAGAUUUUAUCUUAUUGAAGGCUUGGCUUUGUUUCCUCUCCCCUAACCUGCCUCAUUCUAUUUCUCCCUUCUACAGCUAAGAAACCCUUGUCCCUUCUAAAACCCUUAUGUUUUCUUAAUCUCUCAAUAUUCUCCAACCCACCCUAUUCACUCUAUCUCUAACUAUUGGCCUCUCCCUGCAUCCAACAUUGAAAUAAGGAACAAGAAAAAAGAAGCUUUUAAACAAUUUGAGACUAAAAAGGAGAAGAUGGAGAAGGAUACGUACUUGUUAGUUGUUGCACCAUUCCAGGAAAUGAAGCAUCCCAUGAUGAACAACACUAGCCCAUGCAUGAAUCUGGUGAAUGGGUCAUCAAGCCAUCAUUUUUGUCUCAGUCAACUACAAUCUAUGUUUCACAAAAGAAGAAAAAGAAAGAUGGCUCAAACUAUUUGUUGAUACACUGAUGUUGAUAAUGUUCUAAGAAUCAGUCAUUAUUUAUGGGCAGUAUUAUGCAGAUACAUAUUUAAAAGCAAUAAAAAUUACUUCCUAUUUUCUAGUUAAUUCCAUAUAAGCAGCAAAUUUGAUUUAAUUCCUCUAUGUAUAGAAAUGUAAGUGAGAUAUAAAGUGGUGCCUCCAAAUAGGGGAAUUCUUUUUUGCAAGUAGUGUUAAUUCCAAAUGUUUCUUCAUUUCGUUAGUAUAGAAAUAUCAGAUAGAGAUAUAAAGUGCGAAAAAGAGGAAGAAUUUGAACAGAAAAAGUUUACCUGAUAUGUUUCUACUCUUAUGUCGCUUCAGAUAUGGAGAAAACAAGGAAAAAACAUACAGACAACACGAAUGUCCCCAACAUUUAAAUUCAGCGAAAAGAUUACAAGUCACGAUGAGAUUACCUCAAAUACCAUGUGAAGCAAUUGGAAAGCGGCACGCAUCCCAUUAUCUCUUAAAGUGAAGCGGAGUUCCUUAGAAAUAAAUUCCUCAGUGGACUCCGAUGAUCAAUUAUUCAAGUGGUUCACACAGAAAGUUCUACAUGAGAACAAUGAUGCAUAUACAUAAGACGAUCUCAACAAAAAUGUGUAAGCUCCGAUACAAUUAUCAAACAAUGAUUAUGAAAUACCAUAUAUAAUGAUCCGAGUAUAUUUCUCAUAUUACCAUGCCAUGUAAACAUCUUGCAACAACUGCAAUGUAAUUUGGCCUUGAUGAAUAUCAUAAGUAUACGUCCCAUGAAAUCUACUAUUAAUAAAGCAAAUUGUUGUCUGCAUGGUUAAAUUUUGAACUUCCUAUAACACCCUUAAUUGAUUAAAAUUUCAAGUUUAAGGAUUUCUAAAACCAGAGGCAGAAUAGAAACUUCAAAAUUAGAAAUAAAAAUGAAAAAAAAAAGGAUUGUAUAGACACAAACGGCAAUUGUCAGUUAUUUUUUGAAUUUGACUCUUUUUCUAUGAGGGAGAGACAAAAAGUGGAGAUGGAGUGUAGGGCUGAGAAUAAUUGCAAUAAAAAAAAAUAACAAAAUUAAAUUUACAAUAAGAGAACAAAGNNNNNNNNNNNNNNNNNNNNCUCCUUGGCCCAAAACAGUGAGACCAACUGAGGCAGUAUAGAAAACAUUGUAAAAGGGCUCACAAUUAACAGGCCAGGACUAAGCUAUUUAGCAAUUACUUGUGAGAUGUGAAACAUAUUUCACAUGAUUACACUUUGUGAUAAUUAAUUCAUUUAACAAGAACCUAUCCCAAGAUACAAUAUAAUGCAUUAUUGAAGAGGAAAGAAUCUCCUCCUGUAUUGAACAGUAUUGGACAAAUUUGUUCAUAAAUCAAAUACAAAUAAACUGCAUACUUGCUCCUUUGAAAAGUUGCCAACACGAUCUGCCUCACUAAGAGUUCUUAAACCCACAACAACAGAACCUUUUAAUUCAGAACUUUCGGUAGCCCAUCCACCACCCACUAUAAGCCUCAUCAAACCUCCCCGAGCCUCACUUUUUGAACUCUGUGAUUGAAGCAUAAAACGAAGACAUGAAUUUAGUGUAACUACAGUAAGUAUUCUCGUGUAUAUUUUAUCAAUAACAGUGAAAGAAAUUCAGCAUAAAAAUUUGAAAAAAAAUAUAGCUGGGGCAUGACAUCUGAAGUUUCAAAAUGAGGCUCAAUCUCAGACGCGCUAUGCUUAUAUAGCUCAUAAUAAUGUAUGAUGGGACAUUAUCAAGUUGCAUCAUCCUUCAUAUUUCAAUCUUCUUAUAGUGAUGAGCACUGAAUUUUAUUUAUUAGAAGAUAAACUAAAAUCAAGUACGUGUCCGAGUCUGACUAAAACAUAAGCAAGAGAUACCUUGUAGUUUACAAAAAUUCCAUUUGAAAGAUGAGCUCUAGUACCAUCAUCCCUCUUUUCCCUUUCUCCUUUAUCUUUCUUUUCUUCCGUCAUCCACUGCCAACACCAAAGCACCAAAGCACCAUCCUUAUCUCUUCACCUGCUAAUGUCAUCAAAGGUUAAUGACUUGAUAUGUAGUAAACAAUCUACUUGAAAUUAUAUCCAUCAAUAUUAAUGUAUUAUCAAGAAUUUAGUCUCCACUGUACAAUAUAUAUAAAUACUCGAUCAACAAAAAUAUAUGAAUAUCUUCAGGCUAGCUUAAUAUUAGUUAUAAUGAAAGUAUAUAUCAUGACACCAUUAUAAUUUCCAGGGAAAGAAAUUAAGCUGGUGUCGAUGUGCUUAAGACAGUUCAUGAUACCAUAUGGUUCUUACAUAUUCAGCUAUCACUAGCUCUCUCAUUCUCAAUUUACACUAUGCUAAGUAGACAAAAAGCAUUAUUGAAAAGUACAACACAAUUACAUCAGUUCAUAGAGAUGAGAUGAUCAGAUGAAUCACAUAAGCAGAUACUUUUUUUCACAAUGAGCACCAAGAUUGAUAAAAGACUAAGCGGGCAAUAGAUUGACUAAAGAUAAUAGGAAAAGAAAAUAUCAAUACCUACAGGACUGGAUUGGACAACUGCUUUUGACACCACACCACACUAAAGCAUAGUUGGUUCAAGCUUCUGAUCGAUUAAUGUUAACUAAGAGUGUCACAUCUUGGUUCUUAAGUCAAUUUGCGGUUAUUUACUUUUGGGUUACUUUGACCUUUUACAGUUUUGAGUAACAAUUUACUACUUGAGGACCUUAAAGUUGACUUUUUCUUCUGUUUGGAAUUUGGGAAAACUUUCUUCAUGAAAGUUGUAGAGGACGUUAUUACGAGUUUGUAGACAUGUUAUAUGUUAAAAUCGUAGUUAGCAUGAAAAAGUUAUUAAUUAAAAGAGUAAAUUUUUGAGAUGGUAAAAAGGGGGUAAAUUUUUAAUGGGUAUAAUUUUUGAAGUUUAAGUUGUGGAUCGGGUGUGGGCAGCCCAACACACCCCUCACUCUCUCUCCUGUGAGCUCCUCCCGACCCAUCGGAGACCCAGCCACUACCAGCCGUCGUCCGGCCUCCAGGGACCGCCGGACCACUCUCGUUCGGACCCGUGCCGUCCCCUCUCUCUUUCUGGGCCGGUGACCGGUCGUGCAACGCUGCCGUCCGAGAGAAAACUCACAGGAGACGCCGGAUAGCUUUUCGCCGGAAAUCCCACCUCCGGUCACCAAAGUUCGGGAUUCUUGGCUCAUCUUGUAGCUCUCAUCAAGGUGAGUAAUCCCUCAAAAGGAAUUGGUUUAAUUCGAUCUUGUUAGGGUGAAAUGUUUAAUUGAAGUUCUAGGGAUUUUUGGAUGUUUUAGUUCGAUUACCCUAGUUAGCCUUAGAAUUGGAUUAAGUGCUAGUUAUGAGAGUUGUUGUGCAUGAUGAGAGGAUUAUUCUGCUAAAAUUUGAGAAGCUUUGGUCCUUGCCGGAAUACGGCUACCGGCCGCCCUUAAGGGCAGUUUUUCCUGUUUUUGAGAUAGUUUUAAUAAGAGGAGUUUAUUGAAGUAUAGUUUGGAAUUUUUGGAUGAGUUUUGGUUAGGUUUGGAAUUUUUCAGAGAUUAGAGAGAAUGGCGGUUGUUAGGAUAAAUCCGGCCGUUGGAUUUCCUUGAUAUUUAUUCUAAAAUGUUAGAAUAAAGGAAUUAAGAUUAUGGUGGAGUUUGGUGGAAAUCCGGUGAGCUUAACCCUAGUUAGAGUAGUGGGUUAAGCGGAAGAGAUUUGAGUGUUUAUUUUCAAAUGUUUAAUUUUCCAGAAUUUAAGUUUGGUCCUAAGCAUAUUUAUUGUGCCAGGAUACGAAAGGAACCUCGCUUGAGUAGUGAUUUGGAAUUUGUCAGGCUUAGGCCUAAAUCAGUGAGUGGACAUUUUGGUUUUUAAUUAAUAUGCAUGCAUGAUUUUAUAAGUUGCCUAUUAUAUUUUCCAAGCUUAAAUUAUAAUUUCAGUUUUUGAAUUGGUUAUGGAAUUUAAUGGAGAUUGACAGAAUGGUUAUGUUUUCGAUAAUGAACUUAUGGAUUUGAGUUUGGGUAAGAGUUUUGGUAUUUGAAUUAUGAUAUUCUUUUGAUCUCCGGAUUUGAGAUUUCUUUAAAGAUUUGAGUAUUGCCUAAUUUAUGAAACAUGGUAAUGAUAUGAGUUAUUUAUUUCAUUAAGCAUUUUAACGUGUGGGACACGUCGUUGAAUUUAAUUAAUUUCUUUACUCUUUGAAUUCUUUGAGUACGGUUGGGAAUUAUACUUAUGCUUUAAUUAUAAGUUUCGGGGAAACUCACAUGGAUAUAUGUUUCUUUAUUUAUGCCAUACUUGUCGGAUAAUAUAUUACUAAUGCUAGCAUGUUGUUCCGCCUUUCGAGGCGAUGUGGCUUCCACGUUUUAAGUGGGGUUACUCAAGCCCUUUCCUCCUUCGGGUGAUGUGAUGUAGUCGACGACAUCAUGCAAGUCCUACAUCCUCUUUGUUAUAAUAACAUGAAGGUGUAGGGAGUAUGAGAGUAUUAUUUAUUGUUGGCUAUAUCUGGGAGGCAACUGAGUCUGGGAGGCUCACUUGUAUGGCUAUAUCUGUUUCUUAUUUAUUGUUGUUGACUUGAUUAGCGGGGCUAGUCCAUCUUUUAGUUAUUCCUUUUGACGAAAGUCUUUAUGAAUCUUUGUUGUCGUUUUGACUAGCGGGGCUAGUCCCUUAUUUUGGGUGCCUUCUUCUAUGAAGGUUAUUAUUUAUCUUUGUCAUUAAUUUGACUAGUGGGGCUAGUUCGUUUUCUUGGGAUUUUCUUUAUGAAAGAUUUGUCAACAUUUGCAUGCAACAGAUUUAUUGCAUAUUGGAAAGUGGAAAAGUAUUUAAGUUUUGGUUUCUUAUCCUAUGUUUAUUUUCGUCCACUCACUCUAACGUUUUUAAAUUACUUUCCUCUGGGCCCUUUGGUUUUAAAUGCCCAGAUUGCAGGCUCAGUCUAAGUGAGGUCGGGCGUACAUGGAUUCGAGGCAUAGUCAGAGGCUGCUUCCGGUUAAUCUUUAUUCAUUGUUUUUCAUUUAACUCUAGAUAUGCUCUGAUAAUUAGUUAGUGAAUUAAUGUUGGUUAUUGUUGGUUGUGGGUUUAGUUUAGUUGAGUAAUUGUUAUAUUGGGAGAUGUGUUGGACUUGGGGAGCAGGAAGGCUCCAGGUGUUGAGGAUGGAUGUUUGGUUAUAGAAGUGUUAAGUUGAAUUUUUCAGGUAGGGGUCGUCCAUUUUUAAGGAAGGUUAUGCCGAAUUUUCAGUAAAUUUUCCUUGAAGGUGGACCCCGCAGAGUUUACCUCGGGUUUCAAGAUGAAAUUCGAGGUGGGUCCUGUCAAAGAGCAUGUGAUAUGUGCUAUACCGGUCUAUGAAGGAUUUUUCUACAAUUACUUAUGAUUUUUCGAAGUUACGGAUAUGCAUCAGAAAAAUAACACAUGUAUCGGCUUGUAACUCCAUCUCCAUCACCACCAAAGCUAGUAGAUCGUUUCAUUAGAAGAAAAAAAAAACAGUAGAUCAUUCAAACACAUGUACCUUCUCUUCUUCUUCUGCCGAAACCCAACUCGAAGUCUCAAGCCUCUCCGUGUUGAUGCUGGUCCGAGCAGCGUCUGUGGCUCCUCCUCUUGCAAGCGAGCGCCGUUGCAGUCGGAAAAAUAUGGGGACUCGCCGGAGAAACAGAAACCCAGAAAAAGAAGAAGAAAGUGAGAUCGGGGUUCGAAUAUGGAAAUAGAAGCUCAAGAGAGACUGAAAUUGAAGUAAGAGAGAAGGGAUUACCUUAGAGAAGCUUGAGCUCGCCGGAGAAGAAGGGAAUCGGUCGGGAUUAGGAAUUGGGGUUAGGGUUUGAAUUUUCGAUCUAAGAUAGGGGUGCAUACAUGUCGAGUUUGUGGGUAUGAGAAGGGAGAGGAGAGAGAGGGGAGUUGAACGCUGCUCACCAAUCGGCCAGCGGCGGCCGGACGACGACGGAGGCUCGCCUGGAAGGAGAGCGGCGCCUCUGCCCUUUUCUCUCUCGAUAGGUUUUGAGCCCUUUAGUUUGCGAGUCAAAUGGCUUAACAAUUGUGUGUGUGAGAGGUUUUGAGUAGGGCUAGCAUUUUGAGCCGAACUAACCGAGCCAACCGAGUUCCGAGCCGAGCCAACAACAUUCGGUAGCCGACAAGUCAGUAGAAGACAUCUCGGCUCGGUUGAGCCGUACCAAGUGUGAUAACUCGGCUCGGCUACGGUACACGAUUUUGUAUACCAUCAGUAUACUGUACCGACCGACAUAUACGUAUACUAGCCAAUACACAUAUAUUAUACGCCUUCAAAUGCAAAAUACAUAGCAUUUUGCAUGGACUGGGACUCGAACCAAUCACCUCACAGAUGGAGAUAAUCACCUCCAACCACUAGAGCAGAUGCUCUUUUUAUUAAUAUAUGUGCAAAAGUUAAAUUUAUUCUCUUAUAGAAAUAAAAAAUAACCUUUCUUUUCUUCUCUCCUCUGACCUCUCUCCUUGCCGUUCUUAUUCUCUCAAUCUCUCCUUGUCGUUCUUUCUUUCUUCUUCUCUCUGCUCCAUUUCAAAAUUCAAUCAUCAAUAAUUCUUUCUCUUCUUUCUCUUUCAAAGAAAUUAACCUAGACCACCAUCCACCCUUUUCUCCAAUUCUCGUCUAUCAAAGCGCACACUUUCUCCUCUUCUCAACUUCUCCUUCGCCGAAACCAUCACUGAAACUGCCAAGAUCCUCUUCGAUUCCUGCAUGUAAUUGGAACCAAGAUGGAUUUUGUGGAUAACAAGCUCGGGUUAGCCUUCUUUCUCAAUUCGUUUGGGGUUAAUUGAAAAGUAAUUCAAGUUCUUCUUCUUCUUUGUUUUUUUUUUUUUUUCUAGAAUACAGAAAUUCUGGUUUGUUCAGUAAUACCAACCGAUACCGACCGACUUUCUCGGUUACCGAACUGUCGGUAUCUCGACUUUCACGGUCGGUAACGGUAUCGAAAAACGCCUGCCGAUUGUAAUUGGUACGGUAUUCGGUAUUGGUAUUUUAGGUCGGUAACCGUCCCGAGGCCAGCCCUAGUUGAGUCCUUUACCUUUUUUUUUUUUUUUUUGUUCGAAGUGUCAAGAGUCACAUGGCUAUGGAACCAUACGGAACCCAUAUGGAACCAUUUUGAGUCCUGUACCGAUUGUUGUAUUGUUAUAAAUAAUCUAAAAUACUGAUCUAAUAAUGCCAAACAUCACGAUUCAUUUUUCUUUCAGAAUGGGAGACUCGCAUCCAAACAAUUUCAUAUGUGAAGAUAUUUUGAUUAACAUUUUAGCAAGACUGCCCGCCAAAUCCCUCGUUCGGUUUAUGUGUGUAAGCAAGUCAUGGAGUCAUAUGAUUCGCAGCUCAAGCUUUGUUACCACACAUCUCAACAUACGUCACAGAUCACGAUCAUCACUAUCUAAUUGCUACCCACUUUUAUAGAGGUAAAAACAUGGACAGCUAUCUCAUAUCGCUCUUUUCUAAUCAAACAUUUGAGCUGUGCUUGGAGUUACAACAUCCCUUGUGGACCGGAAAAUGCUUCGAAGUUUAUGGCUCAAGUAAUGGUUUACUUUGUAUUUCUGAUGAAGAUCACCAUUUGAGUUCAACGAGUUCUACAUGCAUAUGGAACCCAUCUAUCUGAAAAUCUAUAUCUCUUCCCAAGACCAACAUGACAGAUCAUAUUGUUUUCAAGUACGUCUGUCUCUCAUUCUGUUUUCAACCAAAUCAGAAUGAUUACAAGGUGGUAAAGAUGUUGGAUCACAAUAGGCCUUCCAUGGAAGUUGAGGUUUAUAGUCUAAGCACCAACUCCUGGAAAGUGAUUGAACAAGCUCCUCGGUUAAAUUCCCUGUGGUGGCUCAUGGGGAAUGAAGUUUGCAAUGGAAUUGUAUACUGGCUGGUUUAGGAUGAUGGUCACAGGAUCGUGUCUUUCGACACCGGAAGUGAAAGUUUUGAUGAAUCGCUAGUUCCAGAUUCCAUAUUGACUAUUAAUGGUUUUGUCAAGAUUAAAGUGUACAAGGAAACCAUAAGCCUGCUUCAAGGUACUACGAAUAUUGAUUUCUGGGUUCUACAACAAGGCUCUUUUCAAAGGCUGCGCACUAUUUUUCUGCCAAAUUAUGCCCCUCUAGGCUUAUUUACAGAUAAUGGACUCUUGGUACAAGAAAAAUCAACAUACAGUGAGCUAGAUUUGUUUGAUCUUGAAUCCAACCAAAUUAAGAGUACCGGAAUCCUUAUAUGCGAUCCUAAGCUCUAUACUUACAAAGGAAGUCUAGUUCUGCUCGAUCAUUAGUAUCAAAGGUAUAAACUUCUUUGCUGGAUUCUGGUCCGUAUGCUGGACAAGUCGGAGGAGGCUUGAGUUUCAGUAUAAGCAUGUUGCCGUAACUCUGGUAUGAUGGUGCUAUUGAAAUUUGUUAGGUCUUGUUUGGAAUGAUGGAGAAGAUGUAUGGAGUUGCAAACUAGUAGUCUUGUUAUCUAAGAUCUAACAAAAUGUCUAGAUUUGGAAUUACUCCUAUCUUUUUUCUUUUCUUGGUAUUUGCUUGACUAUUAUUAUUCCUUCAAUCUUCUGUUAUCAUAUAUUAUUAUGUUGUCAUAGCUACUGAUCUUGGUUUUGUCACUUCAAAUCACCAACUGCUCUCUACCAAGGCCUGUGAAGGGAAUUUGACUGUAACAGUUCAUAUAUGUAUGUAACGCAUGCUUUAAACCAAAUAGAUUGCCCACAGUUUAGGGGUAUCAUCAGAAUGAAGGACCACGUCAGACUGCCACGUGGUUAUUCGGGAACAUUGAAAAAUUUCUCGUUAGGAGUUUCUCUAUUAUGGUGUUUGUCAUAGGCUCAUGCCGUAAUGUUCGUAGAUGUUUACUUAAAAGUUAAAACCAGCCAAAUAUAGCGAAGGCACGCCAUGGUCAACAGUUCAAGCAAUAUUGCCUGCUUUAUUGGCCUUUCCUGCCAUACACAAACUUGAAUGCUGCAAUAGAAAUGCAGGGUGCAGUCCUAUCUUAAUUAUGCUAUAAGAUACUUAACUAAAACAUAGAAGUAGAUUAAAUUAUGAACAAUCUAUAUUCGGUCGUACAAGAAAAAAGGGCAAAAAAAACACUGUUUUAUUUGGCUUCUUGUUUUUCAUAGAAGAGGGGCCAUGGCCAAAAACGCAGAGCAGUUCAAAUGAAACGGUACGAGAAGAAUGAAGUGCUUAACCCACCAGAUCACUCUUCUCUUUCCCCCAAACCUCACUCCCCAAAUUGCCAAAGAAAAAAAAAAAAAAAAACCCCAAAACCCCAACCCGUUUUCUUCACAUGAUCCUGAAGCUGAUUAUCAGAAUGUUGCUUGUAUGGAAUAUGGGAUGUAAAUUUAGUCGUGAGGAAUCUCUUUGAUUUAGAUAACAGAUAAAUUAAUAUGUCACAGUGAAAAACUGAAAAUAAAUUUAGCUCCUUUAAAUGGUAAAAUCACUCACUGAUGUAUUGAUUUAUUGAAGUUUCUCUUAAUGCUAUAACAAGUAAUAACGAUAAAAAACAAGAACACUAGCAGGCAUGAAUGACCAAAAAUCGAAAAGAUUAAAACCGCUUAGAACCAUUUCAGGUAAUCCCGACACAUCCCAAAUUCUCUAAGUCCUUGCAACCAAGGUAAGCAAGAAAUCCUUGUAGUUCCCAUGAGCUGUCUCUUCAAUUUUGCUGGAUAGAGAAACUCCAUACUGGUUCUGGUAUUCCUCUUUAAUCUGUUUCAUAUCUGUGUCAGCUCGGGUCACAAUUACUCUAGUCAGUCCCUUUUUGGUGUUCUUGUCCACAUCAUUCCUCAAUGCCACUUCCAACACCUGAGGAAAAGAAUUGAAGAAUGUCAUCCAUAAUGGCCAGAUAUCGGGAAUUUUAUGCAUGGAAAGUUUAACAUAUAUCUGAACUAUAAAAUCAGAGAUGAUUCCAGUGACAACAUGUGACAUUUGUUGACAUAACAUGCCAAGAGAGAAAUUGUUUAUAUGCUAUGCUAUGUAAUUCGAUUGCAGUUUUGCCUUACCUUGCUGAAAUAUGUGUGAGGAGUACAUAGGCAUUGCACCGUCUCUUUUAACCUCAAAUCAGCACCAAGAUCCUAAACAAAGCACCCAUUAGAAUCAACUAAUAUAUGCCUACAAGCUCAACAUUAUUACUUUAAAAUUUAAGCAACUAUUAAAGAUUAGAAGACCAGCUUGAAAUGUUUUGCCACUUGAGUUGAUUGUGAAUUCUCAUACAUACCUCAUUCAUGUUGUUGCCAGAAAUCUCCUUGUAGUGUUUAUAUACUACUUGGAGAUGAGCCUUGCUCCUUGUUGAUAGUAUCCUAAUAACCUCAUCAUCUUCAAUGGGAUUUGUGUUAUCUGUGUUCUUAAUCACAUGAUAAAGUGUUUGUGCCUCAGAUUUUGCAGUCGCAUCGUUAACCUUUGCUCCUUCAUACCUAUAGGCACUCACAAGUGCAACCAAGAGCUGUAAAAGGAAAUGCCACAAAGAAAAGAAAAACACCAGUUAAAAUCCUUUACAUUUACAUGUCAUGUAUCAUAUAAAUCGCAAGUUCAGAAAGGGAAGCGACAUAAGGCUUUCAUUUUGCACACUCCCAUGGAUAUCUGCUUGGAUAUUCAAAUGACACAAUUCCAAUUGGUCGAAAAUUGGUUUUUCUACAUGAAAACUGCUAUUCUCAUACUGACUUUGUCAUUCUUCACUUCAAAUUCAGUAUGUUACUAUUUUCAAUGCCAUAAUAAUGAAAGGGGAGUAGGAAUAGCAUUGCCUUGUCUGUAAUUUGCAAGAACAGUUACUGAAACUACAGAGGUAAAGGAUAACAUGUUCAGUCUAUUAGUAUUACAUUAUCAAGUCCCUACAUAUUUGGUAGAAACAAAAGUGUCACUAAUGAGUUUUUGGAAAUCUCAUCUCUUUGAAAUAAAGUUGAUUCCUAGAUAUUUCAUAAUCUCGAGUUUAACCAUUGCGUAUCACAACUGUGUAAUAGGCUCUAAUCGAUCAAUCAUAUAGGAAGAUAGUGAUUACCUUGCUUUCAGGGCCAUCAAUGUGGUAGGCAACAUCUUCUUCAAUGGAGUGGUCAAAGAGGGAAUGGUAGGCCUUCCUAGCUCCUAAUAGCUCUUCUGAGGAUCUAGUGCAUGCAAUCUCUACAAUGACACCAUGGACCUCAGUUCCUUUCUUCAAGGCCUCCUUCACCAAGCGAGCAUCUCUUUCCCAUGGAUGCAUAGCCCACAACACCACAGCAUUCUGACAAAUAUCAUAUAAAGAAACUCAUCAGCACCCUGUUUAUCAAACUCCACAUAGUAAUAUGAAGACGGCGGAUAGUCAUUUCAUUCAAAAAUGUCGCAUCUCAGAUUGUGAGGAUGUAAAUGCAAGGACAUAUCCAGACUUGUCUCAUUUAACAUCUAUUGGAGCAAGAGCAUUCGAAAAUCGAAGUAAAAAUGUGUCAUGAGAACUAGGAUACAAGUGCGUGGAAAUGAAACAUGGGAUGAGAAAUGCACCUUAAAGCGCAUGAAUUCAUGCUUGAGAAGCCUGACACGUUCAUCAUUCCAUCUCUCAAAGAGGCGUUCAUCCUCUUUGAACAGAUGGGGAGUUCCUUUCCUGAAACAUUUCCUCUCCUCUGGAUGGGAGUUUCCCAGUAUCGAUAUCAAUGACUUCUCAUCAACUCCAAGCCCUGCAUAUCAAUUCAUCACUCAUCAACAUCAACUAACUCAACCAAGUUAUGACCAAAACCCAAACCAGUAGAUAAAGAAAUGUCCUUGUUAACUAUCCCCAGUAAAACAUUUCUCUUUUAUAUACAGAAUUGGUACCAAAGCCUUUGCCUAUUGAGCUGAAAAUAUAAGUAAAAACUGGAGAAAUGCGUAUAUAUUUACAAAAUAUUACACCAAAAUCACAAACAAGAAAAGGAAUUGAUCAAAAUGGGCAGUAGCUAAUAUUUAAAGGAAUGUAAAUUGAAAUGGAAGAUGAAGAACAUAAAUGAAAAAGAAUGAAGAGUUUGAAAUGGGGGACCUGAGAAAGCGUUGUUGAGAGUGUUCAACUCAUCAGUGAAAGCCAUUGUUUUUGGAUUUUGCUAAGCCAACGUGUUGUGGGAUCUUCUCCCCCAUUGCUGAUUAUAUAGUACCAGUCCAUAGUUGAAGGGGGUAAUUUAGUAACUUACGCGGAGAACGGCAAAAGAUUUCAUUACAGUAUUUAUUGAUUUUGACCUGUAUUAAUUAAUUUGUUCAAUUUCACCGUUUCUUGCAGACCAAUCAACAUAUUCUGGUGGAAUUUACUAUGUUCCUACAAUUUUCUGCAAUUUCCAAUUUGCGCCCAAUUACGAAACCGUAGUACUGUAGCGUUGAGUAAUAAAGAAAUCUUUAAAAUUUAUUAUUUUGUUUUAUAGAAUUCGAUCUCUCUUCAAAAGAGAAAAAACUUCAUAAAAUUAAAACAGUUAACAUGAGAAUUGAGACAAGCUGAUGCAUGCAUUCGAGGGAAAGAUAUGAAUCCAAGGUCAUAAAUCUGCUGAGUAUGUGGAAUUCAUAUGUGGGGAUAAUCUCUUUCCAUAUAUACAAACUACGUGUGAAACAUGUGUCUCUAUUUAUCAAACUAAAAUGAAUGAUUCUUAGUUCAUUAUGAUUCAUAUUCGUUUUCCUUGUGGGUGAAGACAUAUAAUACAUUGAUUGAUAUAGUGAGUGAUGUGUUGGAACAGGUUUGCCUUAUCUCCUUUGUCCCCAGCCUCCUUAAUAUCGAUCGAUUUGGUAGCUAUCUAAGCUAGGCUGGAUUCGAUUAUUUUGUUACUUCUUAUAUAUCAUAUCAUUAUAUGCUGGGGCAUCCACGUACUCACCAACAACUUUGAUAUUGAUCAACAGGGAAAACACUAUAUAAUGCUACCAAAACCCUAGCUUACACCAUGCGAUUAUGAAAAUUUUAUGUUAUUUAUGUUCUAAUCUUCAAAGUAAGAAGCUAAGAUGAAGAACUCGAUAAUAAAUUGAUAGAAGGGCCAAUUACAUGAAAUUUUCUAUAGAAUUAUUGCUCUAAACGUGUGAAUAAAAGAAGAAAAAAUUAAAUAACUUAAGAACAUGAUGGAGGCACACUGCAUUUUUUUUUUUUUUAGGGAAAUUAAUAAUGGCCGGAGAUAUAGAGGCUAGUGUAUUUGAAAAUUCCAUAGUAUGAUAAAUGUGACAUUAUAUUAAUGAAUUGCCAGCAACAACCAAAGGUCCACCAGAUAGAAGGAAAGAUCGAAAAGCUCCAUCUCGAUCCGUUGUCUGGAACAAUAUCUUACUCACUCGCAUGCUUAAUUUCAAUCAAAGAAACAUGCAUCGUCUAUUAUAAACUAAGAACAUAUGUCUCGCCAGGAAUUAUAUAUAUAUUUCCCUUUCAGAGCGGUGUCCUUCUUUGAAAUUAAAGUGUGGACCUCUUUAUUUCGCUCACUUUCAGGUCGCAUUUCCACAUCUCAACCAUACAAUGUCUAGAAUACAGUGUAUAGAUCAUUCCUGCAAAGUUUCAUUCAAUUUGAAGAUCAUUUGGGUACCGAAUUAGAUUAAAUAAAUCAACAUAACAAAAACUGUUUAAACAGAACCUUUCGUGUAAAUCACGAUUACAGAAGCUUAAAUGAUCUUCAAAUUGGAUGAACUUUGCAGAAAUGAUCUACACACUGUGUUUUAGACAUUGUACGGUUGAGAUGUGAAAAUGCGACCUAAAAGUGAGCGAAAUAAAGAGGUCCAUACUUUAAUUUCAAAGCGGGACACCGCUUUCGAAAGAAACUGUAUAUAUAUAUAUAUAUAUAUAUAUAUAUAUAUAUAUAUAUCAAUCAUCUUAAUUUGUUUUGAUUAGUCCAAGAUCUUGGAUCAUGCUGUGGCAUGUUUAUAUAUUAGAAUUCAACACAUAAAAUAAGCCAAGGAUAUUUCAUAAAGAUUUCGUAUAGCUCAUAGUAUAAUUUUGAUGCAAAAAUAUUAUUGGUCGAUUAGGCAUUCUGAUCAUAAAACGGUUGAUUUAAAAAUACGGAAUCAGAUGAUGUUUAUUACGAAUCGAAGAAACCGACUUUUAAUUAUACUCGUAGUCAUUUUCUUUGAUGAACUCCUUUAUUUCUUGCCUUUAAUUUCAAAAGUUAAUGCACUCAAAACUGAUGCUUUCAUGAUUGUAAAGAAUUUUCAAACGUUAUUACUUAUAAGUUAUAACAUAGCCAAAAGAGGUAAAACUAAGACGAUAUUAAAAAGCAGGGGUUCAAAUCAUAAAUAUGAAUACGUGAGGGGUAAGUUUGUGAAUUAGAAAAAAUAGUGAUUUACAAAGAGUUUGACUGGGAGCGAAGUUUGAGGGUGACAAAAAAAUAAAAACUGAUUUGAUUUUGCCACACUCUGUAACUCAUCAACAUCAGCAUCCUCACCAUUCUUGUCGUCCAUUGCAGUUUUCAGAAGAGAGACAUCAGACAUGGCCACUCUUAGAGUACCAGAAGCUGUUCCUUCUCCUGAACAAGACUGUGAGAGACUCCACAAAGCCUUUGAAGGUCCUUCUUCUUCUUCCUCUUCUGAUCAUAAAGAUUUUGUCUUCAGUUUUUUUUUUCAUGCAAUGUCUGAUGAUGGGUGAACUCAUUGGAUAUGUUAGCUUUCUGGGUCUUUUCUAAGAGUUUCCUGAUUGUCUUUCUGACUUUCAAUUGGUUGUUUUGAUCUGUUCAUGCCUCAGUUGGUCUUUAAUUAUUGUGUAGUAUCAAUUAUCAAAUGUCUUUUCUGGUUUUCAUGUUACGGGGCUGAAUUGCAUAUGAUUAUUUUUUUAUUAUCUUUGAGAAUUUUGACAUUCUAUCUUGAGAUGAUAUACACGAAUCAUUGGUGUGAUCAAUGACUUUGCUAGCUUCUGUCAUUCUUUGAUCAAUCAUGUUUCUUUGUAAUUAUAAGUGUUUCUGUUAACGAGUGUAGGAUUUGGAACGGAUGAGGAGGCUGUGAUAUGGGUACUGGGACAUAGGAAUGCAAGUCAAAGGAGAGAAAUCAGAGACACUUAUCAACGCCUUUACAAUAAGUCCCUCAUUGAUGUUCUCCAUUCUGAACUCUCUGGAGAUUUUAGGGUAAUUUUCUACAGUCCUUUGUGCUUCCAGAAUUGCUUAUGAUUCAUAUCAAGGGAAAGAAUAACUUCCAAUUUUUAAUGUCAGCUUUACUUAUUCGAUGUGUAUAUAUGUAUCAACGGAAGCAAUCAUGUGUAACAGGAUGCAGUAAUUAUGUGGACAUAUGAUCCUCCUGAAAGGGAUGCUAAACUGGCAAGAGACGCACUGAAGCAGAAGAAGAAAGGCAUAAAACAACUGAAAGUGCUAGUUGAGAUAGCAUGUGCAUCAUCUCCUCACCACUUGAUGGCAGUGAGGCAGGUCUAUGGUUCACUUUUUGAAUGCUCACUUGAGGAGGACAUUGCAUCCAAUCUUUCCCUCCCCCUCAGAAAGGUGAAAGCAUAUUGAAUAGCUAGGAAAUCAUAUACUUACUAGAAUUAUGCACAAAUCACUUGCAUGUCAUUCCCUAAAACCUAUGGUGUUGGUUCCUACUUGGUAGUUGGCAAUUGGCACUCUAGCAAUUACUCAAAGAGUUACCAAAAAAAAAAAAGGCACAAAAGUGGUUCUUUGGUGGUUUGAGAAACUCCCAUUGUGGGAUUCCUCAUGUCAUGAUUCUUUUCUGAGCUACAUUGUGUGAGCAUUUUGCAAGGAUAAGAAAGCUAUUAGUUGAUGAAAAUAAUAGAGAAGAAUGCUUAUUCUUGCAAAAGUUAUUAGGUAAUGAUAAUAAUGGAAAGAUUGGUGGUGUUCUGUUCCAGUGAGUUAUUUUGGCUCAAUAGUGGCAGACUCAUUAACAUUGGCUCCAGAAUGAGCCUCUGUAUGUUUGUAGAUUAUAAAAAUUGUCAAACUUCGAUUGUCUGAAUUAGUACUAUUGUAGUUGAUAAGAGGCAAAGGGAACUAUCUCAUACUAUUUGAACCAUACAUCUCUAUUUUCUCUUUUGUCUUGCAUGUUGGCAUAAAUCACAUAGACCUCUAUGGCCACUUUUCAAUACCAUAUAUAAGUUUCUGUGUUUCACUGGAACCAGAAAUUUGGCGAUUUACAUUUCUGAUCUCUUACGCAUUUAUAUUGUUGCAUUCUGUAACUAAUAAUGCGGGUUGCCCACAGCUUCUAGUGGGUUUAGUGAGCUCAUACAGGUAUGACAGAGAGCUAGUGGAUUCCGGCAUUGCCAGUUCAGAGGCACUGAAGCUACAUGAAGCCAUCAAGACAAAGCAGUUAGAUCACAAUCAUGUUGUUUCCAUACUCAGCACAAGGAAUAUAUUUCAGCUUAGAGAAACCUUUGAGUGUUACAAGCAAAACUAUGGAACUUCCAUUGACCAGGUAUUCGCUCUAGUAUUCUCUAUGUUUUUAUUUAAGUUAUUUUUAUUUUUAUUAUUUUUUGAUCUAGUUAAGGACUACAACAAAACACUAGAGUUCCGUUCUGGCAGGACAUUAAAAAUUGUGGCGCUGGUGAUUUGGAAUCUCUCUUGACCUUGGUAAUUACUUGCAUUGAUACACCAGAGAAACAAUUUGCACAGGUAAGUUCAUUCCUACGCACCAACAUACUAUAUUAUUCAUUUUGCUUAAAUAUCUACACAGCUUCAAAGUUCAAAUUGAAUGGCCUUUAUUGAACCCCAAAGAAUAAAGGUGGUGUUUGGUUGAAUUGUGGGAAUACUAUGUAGAUAUACACAUAUUUUGAUCUCAUACUUAUGAUUCUAUCCAAACAAUGGAAUUUAUCAACUGUUUCUGAUCUUCUCCCUCAGUCCUAUUCUUUUCUUUGGUUUCGAUGUACUUGGCAGCUGUGCAAUACAGCAAUAACUUGAAUGUGGACAAUAAUUCCCGUUCUCACUUGCUGUGUAAAGAAUAAUAGAGACUCCUUGGUCCCUAGAACAGUUUCAGUUUGACAACCUAGGCCAUGUUUUGGUGAAAUGUAUCUAAUCCAGCUUUCAAUGUUUUAACGUCGUAUCUCCUUUGUACUACUGCAUAUAUCCCCCUUUUUCCAUCAUGUUCAAACCCUCAUUGUAUGGAAGAUUCUUGUCUCCUAUUUCAUUUUCUGGUCCAGCAAUACCAAGCAGAUAAGUACAGAAGUUUCACUUAAACUAUCUGAUCUGACAUGAGUUUCUGUUGUUGCUUGAACCUUUAUCAGGUCAUUAAUGAGUCUGUGGUUGGGCUCGGGACGGAUGAAGAGUCUCUGAAUAGAGCCAUUGUAAGCCGAGCUGAGAUUGACAUGAUCAAAAUCAGAGAGGAGUAUUCCACACUUUUCAAAACCAGCCUGGAAGAUGAUGUUAAGGGUGACACAUCCGGAGACUACAAAGACUUCCUGCUGACCCUGCUGGGAGCAAGAUUCUGAUUCAUUCUUCUCAUAAGUACUCAUUUCAUUUCAUUUCAACUGAGACUUCUGAUUUGGUUUUAGAAGAAAGUUGUAUGAUUACAUUAGAGUUCCUAAACUGGUCAUUUACGUGUGGCUUUAUUGACAGUGUGUAAAUACUUUCAAAUUGCUUUUAUACUGUUUCUUUUUCUUUUUUGGUAAUUUGAGAGGAGAACCAAGUUGUAUAAUCAAAAUGGAAUUGUGAAGCAGCUCACCUUCAAAAUGGAAUUGGACAAUUGGUAUUCAUUGAUACACUGAUCAUGGCAUUGGCGUUUCCCAUAGUUAUUGUUUGGUCCCUCUUUCUAUCAUUGCCCCUGAGAAACUUUGUUGUAUGCCAAUGCCUCUCAUGUGUACAGUAAACUACAAGUACCAAUCAUGUUGAUUUUUAUUUAUUUUUUUUUUCCGCUUACGUUUUGCGUUCCUUCCUAUCCUCGAAAAAAUAUAAUCAUGUUGGUCUCUUUUUUGGAACUCCUGAAACUGCCCCCAUAUAUAUAGUAUGGGAUUUAGAAGUUGUGGGUGACCUUUCUUUUUCUUUCAUCGACUCCUCACCCUUAGCCAAACUCUUGGAAUCGUGCAUUCGCGCCAAGUCGGCGCGUGACGCGCGUUGCGUCCACGCCCGCCUCAUCAAAACACAAUUCUCGUCGGAGGUUUUCGUCCACAACAGGCUCAUCGAUGCGUACGCCAAAUGUGGCUCGUUCGAUGACGCACGUAAGGUGAUUGAUAAAAUGCCUGAGAAGACACUUUCAGCUGGAACUGCAUCAUUUCCGCAUUGACCAAGUUGGGUUUGUCGAUGAGGCUCUGCAGAGUUUUGGGUCGAUGCCGGAGCCAGACCAGUGCUCGUGGAACUCGAUGGUUUCCGGGUUUGUGCAGCACUGUCGGGUAUGAACAAGCUUUGGAAUGGUUUGUUAACAUGCAUGGGAAAUUGAGAAGGGUUUUGUUCUUAAUGAGUACGCGUUUGGUAGUGGUCUUAGUGCUUGUGCUGGUUUGAGGAAGGUGAAAAUGGGUGUGCAAAUUCAUGGGGUCAUUGCCAAGUCUUGUUGCUCUUCGGAUGUUUAUAUGGGGUCUGCACUUAUUGAUAUGUACUCGAAAUGUGGGAAUGUUGCUUGCACGCAACGAGUUUUUGAUUGCAUGAGUGUGAGAAACGUUGUUUCUUGGAACAGUUUGAUAACUUGUUACGAGCAGAAUGGUCCUGCCAGGGACGCAGUGCAAGUGUUUGUGGGGAUGAUGGAUAUGCCAAGGCAGCAAGUGUAAAAGUUGCAAGAACGUUGUUUACAAAGAUGAUGGAGAAGAAUGUAGUCUCUUGGAACAGAAUGGAGAGAAUGAAGAGGCCCUUGGAAUCUUUCUCCUCCUGAAGAGAGAGUCCGUUUGGCGUACCCACUACACAUUUACGAAUCUACUAAAUGCUUGUGCAAAUCGUGUUGAUCUGCUGCUUGGCAGGCAGGCAGGCUCAUUCACACAUAUUGAAGCAUGGUUUUCAGUUCCAGGUCGGUGAAGAGCCUGAUAUUUGUUGGAAAUUCUCUAAUAGAUAUAUACAUGAAAUGCUGUCGGAUUUUUAGAAAUAUGUUAGAAAGGGAUCAUGUCUCAUGUAAUGCAAUGAUUGUGGGACAUGCGCAAAAUGGAUGGGAGUCAUGGGACUGAAGCUCUUGAAAUAUUUAGAAAAAUGCUGGUCUCUGGGGUGCAACCAGCCAACCAGACCAUGUUACUAUGAUUGGUGUUCUAUGCGCUUGUAGCCACGCAGGAUUGGUUGAAGAAGGGAGGAAUUAUUUUUACUCGAUGAAUAAAGAGCACGGGGUGGUACCCUUGAAGGACCAUUAUAUAUACAUGUAUGGUUGAUCUGCUUGGUCGAGCUGGUUGCCUUGACGAAGCUAAGAAUUUAAUAGAGGUCAUGCCAGUGCAACCUGAUGCCGUUAUAUGGCGUUCUUUGCUAGCUGCUGGUGAAGUUCAUCGUAACAUUACCUUAGGGGAAUAUGUGGCGGAGAAGCUAUUAGCUAUUGAACCUCGUGUACCAUUUUCCGCAACACCUACAUUCAUUUUUGGAAACAAAAAAUCAGUGACUGCUUUCUCUUAAAGAGGUCAGUAACAGUAUAUUGUUAUCAAAUGUAAAACCUCCUUUGCAAUUUGAUAGUGGGAUAUUGGGUCGAGUCAAGAAAGGUAUCAUAUGCUUGUAGAGAAACUAUAUCCUUUUUAUGAUAAUAAUCUGAGUCCAAUGUUUACUCUACAACUUAAGGCUUAUCUUACACCUCAGCAUUUGAAAGCAUUUUUUUCUUCCAGUAAAAUUAGUUAUUAUAAUUGUUCAUGCCACUUCAGUUCAUUUCCUUAUAGAGUGCAAUAUUGAUUUUGGUUACUUUCAUUUUCUACAGAUGGAGGGUGGUUUUGCGGAUGAGCUUUACUCAGAAAGUUUACAGCUAUUAAAAUUGCAAUUAUACGAAGCGGUUUAGGUGGUAAUUUAAGUGGUUUUAGUUAAUUGGUGAUUUAAAAGAUUAAUACACACUAUAUUUGGAUAGCUAUAAGCCUAAAAUCACCGCAUGUUAGGGUUUUUUUUUACCUCUUUUGUUUUUGUUUUCCGGUUUCUUUUUUCUUCAAAGUAUGAUGUUAAUUAGUACACAGUCAAGAUCAAUCUGGUAACUGCAUUAAUAGAGCAUCCGGUAUGUGUCAUAUCUGAAAUAUCUCUAUUAAUGCAGAUACCAUAUCGAUCAAAUUGUGUAUUUUUCCUUUUCUUAUUCUUUCUUUACUUGUCGUUGUUUUUACUUUUCUUAUUCUUUUGAUCAGAUUGUGUAUUUUUCACUUGCAUUUGCAGCAACUGCAUGCGUUACCGAUGGAUCAACUGUCUUUAACAAGCCGCCAUCUUCCACAACGGAUGUAUCAGCCUGCACAUAUGUUUGAGGGGAUGACACGGCUCAAAACAAUUUUACUUACAGCCAUUCAAGCCUUCUUUCUUUACCCUUUCCAAAACAGGCCUAACAUCUCUGUCGAUAAGUUCACACCCAUGUAACUCCACUGCAUUAAAGAAUAAGUUGUGUAUAUGCCUAAGAACUUGGAGUACAGUGGCCAGAAAAGGUCUUCCAAACCGAUCACGUUCAUCGGUCUUUGACUCAGAGUAAGGCUUAGCAUUACUGAUGCCAAACUUCUGACAACUCGAUUUGAAAAAAUGAUAUCUUGGCAUUACCAUUACAUUGUCCUGGUCCUCAUUUCUCCACACCUGUUUCUUAUCAUCAAGGAUCACAACAGCAGUGCCUCGGGCAAGUAAAACAUCUAGACCCUUUUGAUUCUUUUCCGUGCUUUCACCUCGUGAUAUGAUCCUAUCACCAAACAAUUGAUUUGCAGGGUCAAGCAGUUUGGCCAUGUGGAGCGCAUAGUCUCUGCUACCAUUCGUAUAUAUGGAAAGCUCAUAGAUUUGGCUAGCUUGCUCUAAAAAUGUCCUAACUUGUGGCCUCAGCUUGGUCAUCACUUGACCUUCCACAAUGUGAACAUCCUGCAGAGAAUGAUCAGCCUUCAGAUAUUCUUCUUCCGGUGACAUCUUGUCAAGGUGAGUGGUAUUCAGCAGGGUGUGGUCGAGAUCGAGAACCAAAUGAAGUUUCUUAUGCUUCACCAAUAGGUUUCUAGUGUUUUCGUUGCGUAAUCGACCGAUUACGUCAUCACUAAGCCCCAAAUCCUUGGUAAUGUAACCAAAUCUCAAUCCACCAGAAGACCUGAAAAUUUCAUCACCAGAAAAUCUUGCAUCUUGUUGAAUUUCCAGAUCGGUUUCUGUCUUGGGCCUCUUUGUCUUGUCAUGUAUGAAACCCAGGUCAGAAACCAAACCUCGGUUCCUCUUGCGACACCCAACAAGGUUGUCGAUCGGAGUCGGAGACACGGUCGCCAAACUCAUCAUGAUGAUCAAAUUGAGAUCCAAGAACAAUCGGAUUAGGGUUUCGCAAUUGGGAAAUUUGGGGAAUGAGAGAUGAAAGAGAAAAAUAGAAGCGAGAGAGCAAAGUGAGAGAUGGAAAGGAAGUAAAGAGGGUGAGUGUUAAAUAGAGGAGGCGCGUGUGUGUAAAUCCUAAUCGUAAUUCGAUUAGGAAAGCGCGUCCUUUCUCAGAUAUUUACUAAAGCGCGUUGGAACACCUGAACACCCUGUAAUUAAUAUUUUACAUUAUUUAUUUAUUUUACAUUUUAAAGGACGUUUUGUUUCUAAAGUGUAUAACAAACUCAAUUUAAUUAUCAUAUUUUUUUUCAUUCUUAAAAAAAAAAAUUAAAAAAAAUUAUCCAAUUGUAUAGAAGAAACAACUUAUAAUUGAUAUUUACAUUUUCUUUUUCAUAUAUCCUACAUUUUAAAGGAUUUGUAUGCAAUUCAAUUUAAUUAUCUAAUUAUUUAUAUGGGGUUUUUAUAAAAAGGGGCUGUUGAAAUUUAAUGUUAUAAUAGUAGAAAAUGCUCCUUGUAACCAAAACAACCAAAAAAAAAAAAAAGGCUCCUUGAUAUGCCUAAUAAUAAUAAAAUACCCUUACUUUUUUUUUUUGUGAAAGUGGGAAGCAUUAAAUGAGGGAAAUAAUUUGGGUGACCAGCUAUGGUCAUUUAUGAGUGAUAAACACCAUGAGAGAUGAACAAGUGUCAACAAUAAUUAUAAACAAACAUAUCAAAUACCCAAAACCCCCUGUUAUAUAUGUCCUUAAAUUGCAGCUAAGCUUUUUUAAAAUGAACAUGUGUCCCAUGUUCAUUGGCUGUGGUCACCUAACCCUUGUCACCGAAGUCGGGUUCUAUUCUUAAAUUAGUCGACCUUUUAAGAUUGAACGUUAAAAAAUUGAUCAUAAGCCAUAAAUCAAAUAUACGUACAUGAGAGAUGAUUAUUGUUCGAUCUUCAUAAGCUUUAAACCCUAGACGCUAAACCCAUAUCCACUAGUGGUGACUAUUGUUUGAUCAUUAUAAACCCUAAACCAUAUAUGCACUAGAACGGUGAUCAUGGAUCAAUCAUCACAAACCCUAAACCAUGCAUGCAUAUAUUAGGGUUGACUAGUGCUCAAUCAUCAUAAACCCUAUAUACACUAGAGCUGUCAGGAGCUCGAUCAUCAUACUAUAUACACUAGAGGUGACUAGUGCUCGAUGAUCAUAUACCAUGUGUACGCUAGAGCUGAAUAUUAGUCGAUCAUCUACUAAAGGUCACAUUAACGUACUCGAUCAUUAUAAUUCGUAAAUCAUAUAUAUAUAUAUAUAUAUAUAUAUAUACAGUCCUUCUCAGCUGCAGACGUUCACNNNNNNNNNNNNNNNNNNNNGUUAAGGCCCUCAAACUCAAGUUUUCUGGUAUGAACACAACCGGACAGAAUUCAGUCCGUCCAUUUGUUUUUGAGUUUGAGGGCCUUAACGAUCACCAAAUUGGCUGAAAUUUUGCAGACAUGAUAUACACAAUAUUAUCUAGAUACUAGACGGUGGAGAUGAGGAAAUUCGAUCGAAAAGUGGUGCAAAAAUGGAAAUCCGCACAAAAAAAUUGGUGCGGACGUCCGCAGCUAAGAAAAUCUGUAUAUAUAUACAGUCAUUCUCAGCUGCGGACGUCCGCAUUUAUUCUUACGGUGCAGAUUUCCACUUUACACUCACUUUUCAAUUGAAUUUUCAUAUCUCCACCGUCUAGUAUUUAGAUACUAACGUAUAGAUCAUCUCUGCAAAAUUUCAACAAAUUUGGUUAUCAUUAGGGCACUCAAAAUUGCGUUUUUCUGUUAUAAACAUGAACGGUUCAAGUUCGACAUAAUUAUGUUCAUCCAUUAGUUUAAUCAGUUUAAGUGCCUUAAUGAUAACCAAAUUGGCUAAAAUUUUGCAGAGAUGAUCUAUACAUUAGUAUCUAAAGACUAGACGGUGGAGAUGUGAAAAUUCGAUUGAAAAGUGAGUGUAAAGUGGAAAUCCGCACCGUAAGAAUAAAUGUUGACAUCCGCACUUGAGAAAAUCUGUAUAUAUAUAUACACACACACAUGAGAGAUGAUUAUUAUUCAAUCUUCAUAAGCCCCUCAACCCUAUAUAUAUGAGAGAUGACUUGUACUCGAUCAUCAUAAACCUUAAACCAUGCAUACAAUAGGGUUAACUAGUGCUCGAUCAUCAUAAACCUUAGAUACAUGAGGUGACUAGUGUUUGAUCAUCAUAUACCAACUAGACACUAAAGGUAACUAUUGAUCGAUUUUCACAAACCCUGAACCAUGUAUACAUUAGAGGUUGAUAUCGCUCGAUCAUCAUAAACCCUACACCAUGCAUGUCAAGACCCACCCUGAAUUUCACCCUAAAACCCGAAAUAAAUCCUACGGGGACCACCUCCAAGGAAAGUUUACCGAAAAUUCGGCAUAACCUCUUUUGAAAAUGGACAACCCUUCCUAAUAAUACCUGCAUACACUUCAGAAAAUCCAAAUCCAAAUCCAACCUUAAACUCUUGGAGCCUUCGUGCUCCCCAAAUCACAUCUCCCAAUUUAUUUACUAACUUUAAAAAGAAAAAUCUCAUAACCAACAACCACAAUUCAGAGCAACUCUAUUUGAGAGGAAAAGAACUAGAAAUAUAAAAAUGAGCGGAAGCUAUACUAUUGACUAUGUCUCUUCUCCAUAUACACCCGACCUCAACUAUGCUAACCUGCAUACUGGGCAUUUUUAAAACGAAGGGCCCAGGGGAAAACAUUUGAAACCGUUAGAGUGAGUGGACAAAAAUGAAUUCAAUAAAAAUAUUGAUGCAUUCCCAAUUUAAUUUUUCAUAGAAAUUAUGCCGCAUGUAAUAAUUUGUCUUUAUUUUCGUAUUAAAUAUUUGAUUUCAACAAUAUGAUUUUAGGUUUUAUGUUCUUUAUAAUUAUAUGUUUGUCUUUUCUAAUAUUUUGCUUUUUAUUUUCGUUUUAUGUACAUAUAGAAAUGUUUUAGGUGUUGUGUAUGCGAAGUAUAGAGAGUGAUAUGUUACCUCUAAAAUCGAAGACUUAUUCUUGUGAGCUUUAGAUGAUAGACUCUAAUAUUUAAUUUAUUUUUCUCUUCUUUAUUCAAAUUUAUGAUUUUUAAACUUUAAAAUUCGAAAUUUAUUUGGAUGGACUUUAAACUAUGGAGUCUAUAUUUUAUGUUCAAGAUGAACUUAGAAGUUUUAAAAUUAUGGUUUCAUGGUGUGCUAGUGUGGUCAAUUCCCAAUACUUUUGAAAUUAUUGAGUAUUAAACUUUCAAAGUAUCUAUUUGGUUUAUAAAUUGUUGGUUUGUUGAAGAAACAUUGCCAAAAAAAUUUAUUGAUAUAUAUAUAUAUAUUAUAUGUGCUUAUAAAAACAAGUAAUGGAAGGAAAAAAAAAGGACCUAAAAUACGAUAAUUUUUAACUAAGCCAAAAGCAUACAAAUUUUAAGAAAAAUUAUUUAAAAAAAGAAGAAGAAAAACCGAAACCGAACCGAACCACAGUUUGGUUUGGUUUCCAGUUCAAGGUCUCAAAAAAUACCAAACCGAACCGAACCGAACCGAAUUUUUUAUUCGGUUUGGUUUCCGGUUUUAGUUGAAAACCAAACCAAACAAAACCGAACCCACCCCUACCAUUUAUAAUUAAUCUGACAGCAGAAUACGAUCCGAAAAUCAUUUAUGGACAACUCUUGCACACACUUAGCGCUGCAGUUUCGAAGCCCAACAACUUCUGACCAAUGUAUCAUCAACUACGAAAUCACACCUGAGUAAACUACAUUGAUCGUCAAAAGCAAUGACAACCGGAAACAAGACUUAGCUUUUAAUACUGUCGCGCUGAGCAUGCAAAGAGCACCAAGUUACCUAUCGCACGUUGAAAUUAGUUUUCCAAACAGGAUCCACUACUACACUUUGUGGUUCGCUAACCAACAGAAAUUAUGAGUUUAAGUAAAAGUCAAAACUCAGGGCAAAUCUCUGCUCAAGCUUCAGAAUAACUAGCUUAUAGAACUUGAGGACAAAUUCCAUAACUUCGAGCUCAAAAGCUUCACAAUUCUCUGACAUUCGUUGGAAGACCCAUCUCAAAAACGUACUAGAAAUCAAAAUUCAAUAGAAUGGUUUCUACUAACCACCCUAACCCUACUGGUGAAAACACAUCCAAACAUUAAUGACCUCGCAGGUCAUACCUGGAUCAAUAAGUGGUUCUACCACGAUCUGAUCCUUAGAAAAGACGUCGCACAACUUAUCAAUAUCUACUACCCUCAAUAUUAUAACUCUUAAUAAACCUUGACUCUAGACGCUUCUUGAGUCAAUGGGGGAAAACCCUCUCCCAUAAGGCUACAUCAUGAAUUAUACCUACAACGAAACAAACCAUCUAUUCAACAUCUCCACACGACUCUCAGACUACCACAUAAGACUUACGACUCCAUGAUUCAUCGCUUAAUUGAACUCCAACUCACUUGGGAUCACCACUGGAUUUAUCCCUGAUCCAUGUCUACGACAUAACUACCAAUUUAUCAUUUAUCUCGAAACUUCGACAAAAUAACCAGAAUCUCUAACCUUCAAAUCGUAGCGUUGAAUUCGCACUCCAUAAUUUCAAGCUCUGAGGAUGCUACCCAAAAACUACAGUAGGAAUACUUUAUAUAUUCUCACACACACCACAACCAAAACUCUGCUCCAUCUCACCGAAUUAGAAAUAAGGUGAGUGAACAUAUUCUCCCAUUGAUGUGUCGUAGCUAGUCACUAAAUGCUAACGAAGUGAUGUCAAUAAACCAACUUCGAUCACAAAUUCAAGACUUAUAUCAACCACCCGGAACGACACUGCUUAAAAAAAUUACUUUGGACACCCACGCACUCUUGCUCCAUGAUCCAUUGGGUUUUAUUCCACUGCUACCACUUCCACCAACUCCACGCAACUGCUAUAGAAUACCCAUGACAACAAGCAAUAAAUUCACCAGGUGUUAUCGUAAAACUGGAGUGACCACAACCAUCUCGCUCUCACUCCACCAUUACUUUUCAAUUCCAUUUACAUUUAUCAUCUUCCAAAAACACUCAACAAAUCUGGAAACCAAACUUCAACACCUAGAAUUCCAAAAGAAAUCUAUAAUGGUCCACGAUUAAAAUAAUAUAACCGAUAUCUCACUCCACGAUUCCAAACUUGCUUGAAACUUAAACCAUUUAGUGCCAUCAUUCAAUUUCUAAAAUUCGCUGACUGUGACACCACAAGUUGUCACAACGCACUGACCAAUGACUUUCGUAAAACCAACGACCUAAAGAAAAGCAAUCCAAGUCAUUAUACUUAAGGUUUUAACCAACUACAACUAACCCACAUUAGAGACCAAAAUCAUCAGAAAUCUUACUCUUCAUUGUCUACUAAUAGCCGUCAUUCCCAAAAUAUUCUCACUACUGUCUUAAUAUAAUGCUCUAGGAAUAAUAAAAACAUAUUCAUAAUUAGAGUUGUAGAAACCAGAACAUAUACCGCCACAACCAAUAUUAUCCCAACAUGUUCCCAAUUGAUUUCUGUUGCGGAUAAAAUAGUCGGCAAAAUGACCUUCAAUUAAGACUUAUCUAAAUUGACAUUUAUCUUUUUAUGUAGCAACUUCCUGCAACCCAAUACUAGUCACAAAUCCCAUGUGACUAAUUCGCUCCGGAUUAGGGUCCUCAACAACUCGUAAAGGUACCCCUUGGAAUUACUAUGGGUACCUCUCGCAUCACUUCAACCAACCUUUACCUCAAAAUAAUACACCAUUAUUUCAAACUUUUCUUUCAACUCUUCUAUCCCAAAAAUCACAUAACUCGAUACCACGAUUUUCCAUCAGACUACUACAACUUCACACUUUCCCACUAUAAUUAGUGAAAAGCUUCAAUUAAACUUUUCACCUUCUACAAAUUCGCACGAGAUGCUCACCCUAGCAUCUUAAUCAUAACGCAAUCAAUCAUUGGUCAAAUGAAAGGAAUGUUGCCACUCAUAUGAGUUCCCAACUGGAGUUCCCAACUCGCAAUUGAACUCUAACAAUUUAUGAUAUCAACUCGAUAACCCUUGGAAAAGGCAUAAUCCAAACACCUCCUUCCUUAAUCAAAGUAGGAUGAUCACUUAAGAGGUCGGCGUAUGGAGGCAUAGUCUUGAAGAUAUAGACAUUUAUGGCACAAUACUGUCCAUAAAUAAGAUAAGAACAACUACAUCACAAAUUUAAUCAACACAUAGUGUCUAAAACAUAUAAUGCUAAUGGAUCCACCGCGGUCGGACCAUCACUCUAUAGACACUAAGCAUGACCAAGAAUAUGAGGUAGUACUAAAAAGAGAAAGGAAUCGAAUAACCUAAUGCUCUGAUACCAACUGUCAAGACCCACCUCGAAUUUCACCCUAAAACCCGAAGUAAAUCAUGCAGAGACCACCUCGAAGUAAAGUUUACCGAAAAUUCGGCAUAACCUCCCUUGAAAAUGGACAACCCUUCCUAAUAAUAUCUGCAUACAAUUCUGAAAAUCCAAAUCCAACCUUAAACUUCUGGAGCCUUCAUGCUCCCCAAAUCACAACAUCUCCUAAUUUAUUUACUAACUUUAAAAAGAAAAAUCUCAUAACCAAUAAUUAUAGUUCAGAACAACUCUAUUUGAGAGGAAAGGAACUAGAAAUAUAAAAAUGAGCGGAAGCUAUACUAUUGACUAUGCCUCUUCUCCAUGUACGCCCGACCUCAACUAUGCUAACCUGCAUACUGGGCACUUUUAAAACGAAGGGCCGAAGGGAAAAUAUUUGAAACUGUUAGAGUAAGUGGAAAAAAAUGAAUUCAAUAAAAAUAUUUGUGCAUUCUUAAUUUAAUUUUUCAUAGAAAUUAUGCCGCAUGCAACAGCUCAAAAGCUCUCAACUCAUAAACUGACAAAUACAUGACUAGCUCUGGCUAGUCUCCAAAACUUAAUAAAAUGGAGCCUCUCAUGCUAAACUAUAUAUAAAUAUAUGUGUAUGUAUUUACACUCGUCAGACUCCUUGUACAAAUUCUAUGAACAAAAUAGAAAAAUAGAAAUUCAUACAAAGCUAGGACACUUGCGUCUAACGCUCACGACGUCGCGCCAUAAUGGAAUUUUUCCUCAUUAUGACCGAAGAGGACGGAUGUAUAUACGUGUGGACUCUCUAUAUGAAAACCUAUAUGAACAAAAUAAGAAAAUAGUUUUCAUAUAGGGCUACGACGCUUAUGCAUGUCUAACACUUACGUCGCGCCAUAAUGGAAUUUUACCUCAUUAUGACGGACCAAGCACGUAUGGAUAGCUAGCAUUUACAUACAUACUAUACUCAUAAACAUCUAAUAUACAUAUCCACCGAAAAUCUUAUUUUCGGUGACUCUCCAAAAGAUGAAAAAUGCCAAAUAUCAGAGAAAACAAUUAAAUUUCAGCAGAAGAAUAACUUAUCAACAAUAUAAUGCAUCGCAUGCUUUUAAUUAAAACAAAAGUCCACUCACAACUUUAGGCAUAAGCCCGACGAAAUCCAAUCGCCACUCCAGUGAGGUCUCCUCGAAUCCUGGCACAAUUAAUAACCAUGGACCAAACUUCAAUUUCAGAAAAAGAAUACUUAAAUAUAUGACCCAAAACUUUUCCGUCUAACCCACUACCCUUUCUAGGGUUAAGCUUAUCGGAUUCAUGCCAAACUCUACCCGUAACCUCAUUUUAUUUAUUUCAACAUUCUAAAACAAUAAUAAGAGAAAUCCAACGGUCGGAUUCUACCCCAUUAACCGCCAAAAUACCAAACUUUGAAAAAUCCUAAACCUAUCCAAAAUUCCUCUAAAAAUUCCAAACUUCACAUCAAUAGUCUCCCCUUAAUAUAACACAUUUAAAACCAUGAAAAUCUCCCUAACAGCGGCGGCGCCGCGUCUGGCCGACUCCGGCGAUCUCCAAUGCCUAUCAAAUUUUAACAGCAUCUUCCUCUCAACCCACUCUACAACUUUUCUAACUAGCACAAACACAAAUUCCAAGCCUAACUAAGUCAAUUGAACAGAAACAUAUCAAGAAACCCUAGAACUUCAACUCAAUGAUUCUCCUUACCUAGCUCAAGAGAGGGUGAAACCUUUUGAGGGAUUGAUGCACAAGAGGAGAGCUUCCAAAAAAGCCAAGCAGGUCCCGCUAUUGCGGCCGGAGGAGGGAGUUUCGGUGAAGGACUUCCACUGCAUAGUCGGAGCUUCCAAGCGUGCCUACUCCCACACGGCGACGCUAGGGUGGCUCUCACCGGUCCAGGAAGAAGGCUGGGUCGAUGGCUGACCGUUUGGGACCAGUGCGGCGGCCUGACUUGGCCGGACGACGUCGGUUGGAGCCGAAGAAAAUCCGGCAGAGUGAGAGAGAGAGAGAGCGUCGGGAGGGAAGAGAGAUAAGAGAGAGAGAAGAAAAAUGUUGGGCUUUUCCCAACCGGUCCUAACCCACCAAUAAAAACCCAACUCCAAAAAUUAACACCCCAAAAAUAUUACCCUAAUAAAAAUUACCUUUUUACUAGCUAAAAUUUAACAUUUUUACCGUCUUCAAAUAUUUCUCCUACAAAUAAUUCUUCAAAAUAAUCGUCCCUCAAAACAUCUCUAGGGAUUUUUGAAACUAUAAACUCCUUUACGAAGAUGGUAAAACUUUUAUUAAUACCAAGUCAGUAAAUAUAGUAAAAAAUUUAAGAGUCAGAAUGUGACAAUACAUACAUUGGGGUGACUAGUUCUCGAUCAUCAUAAACCCUAUUAACACUAGAGGUGACUAGUACCCGAUUAUCAUAUAUCAUGUACACACUAGAGUUGAUGAUUGGUCGAUCAUCAUAAAUCAUAGACCUUACAUACAAUAGAAGUAACAUUAACUUGAUCAUCAUGAACCGUAAAUCAUAUAUACACGAAAGGUGAUUAUUGCUCAUUCUUCAUAAACCAUACAUCCAAUAUACACAUAGGAUGACUAUUGAUCGAUCGUCAUUAACCCUAAAUCAGAUAUACACGGGAGGUAUGUGCUUCAUUAAAUGUGCUCGAUGAUCCUAAAUGGUCUUCGUGGCCUAAAAUGAACCAUGUAACAGUAUACCAUCACAACUCUAAACAUAAUAAAGAUUCAUUUGUGAAUGGAAAGGCAGUCAUUAUACAAGUAGGAAGUCACUUGUGCGUGAGAAUAUGUUUAUAUAUUUCUCGUAACACGCUCGAUCUUGGUUGUUCUUUAGAGUGAGGCUACUUCUCUUAUAUGCAAGAUUUACCUAUUUUGUAAUAAAUGUCUACUCAUUUCAUAAUCGAAGUCUACUAGUUUCAUGAGACACUUGCUUAUUUAGAAGUAGACUUUUCUAUGUAAAGUCUACUCAUUUUGUAUGUUAAGUCUACUAUUUUCACGAGAGACUUGCUCAUAUAAAAGUAGACAUAAUGGGGGAGUUGGUUUUGAGAGUAUCACCUAGUGAGACCACGAUUUGGAGUAGAAUUUGAGCUUUGUAAUCGAAGUCUGGGAGUUGUCAACCACCAUCGAUAAAUCUUUCAUCUUUCUUGAUUAAAAUGGUGGGGUGGCUAUCCUUGAUGAUACAAUGAUAUUGAGGUUUAUGGUAAUUGAAAAUUUUGGGAUGGAGAUCGAUGAACCAUUCUUAACCAUGAAUAUUAGGAGUAUCAAAGGAAUUCGAUUUCGGGGUGUUGUUUGAUUUUGGGCUAAUUCAUUGUGUGAUUCUUCAGUUUAUGAAUUUGUUUCAUAGCCUAAGAGGUUGAAGAAGAAGAAGGAGAGAGAGAGAGAGAGAGAGAGAGAGAGAGAGAGAGAGAGAGAGANNNNNNNNNNNNNNNNNNNNUCGUUAGAGGGUUUUUUUUUUUUUUUUUUUUUGCAUUUACAAAAAUCCAUUACAACAGUUACAAAACUCCGUUAAACUGUUAUUUUAUGUGAACCUACGUGGACCAAUAAGACAAUGACACCUUACAAGGUAUGGAUACUCGAAGGGAUAGAAGUCUUUCCCUUAAAUUAUAUAAUUUUUUUUAAAGAAUUAUUAUAUAACUCACCCACUCUUACAUAUGUAUGUGAGGUUUGAACCGACCUCAACGUUGUCGGUCAAAUUACCUACCAAGCUACAACUCACCAACCAUUUAUAUACAUAAAGUUAGAAAACAUAAAUUUUAAUACACAAAAUUCUAACCAUUUAUCUAGAUGUACAUGAACUUUAGUGCACAUAAUCAUUUUCUACAAAAAAUGAGCUAACUGUGCACACAAUCUAGAAAUUCCCUUCAUCUAGAUGCUAUCAGAAUACAAUGGAAGCAGAGUUUUCACAAGUAUCAGUUAUCACUGUGCUACUUUGUUUCACUUCUACUAGUGCUUGGCUAGGAUCUCUUACAAGUACUGCAGAAGUAGCAUUUUCUGAUUCAGAACCACUACCUGGUUCUUGGAUUUUCCCAAGUUAAAAUACAUUUGAUUUUGUUAAUGAAAUAAAUAGAUCCACACAUGCACAGUUUGGAAUUGCCUCAUCUGCCCUUGUCCUCUUUCUUACCUUUCCCUCCUCUUUCACAGUUUCACGUAGGAGAGGUCGAGUCAAUGUUGAAAGAGAUGAAGCAUGAAGGAUGAAGCUAAGCUUAUUCCAUUCCCUCCAAAACCCUUGUCGACUUUACCUCCUGCCCUUUAAAUCCAGAACCCUAAACCCAACCCAAUUAGCUCAAUUCUCCACACACCCGCAACAACAAAUCUCACACCAACCCCACAACAAGUCCAUCUCCUACUCUAACCUAUUGUCUCAAUGCGUUGCUUCCAAAUCUGUGCGUGUGGGCAAACAGGUCCAUGCCCACUUGAUCAGAUUCGGGUUCUCCCAAGACUCGACCUUUCGGAACCAUUUGAUCAACCUCUAUGCAAAAAGCAGGUUUUUUGGGCAUGCCCGGAACCUGCUCGACCAAUGUCCUGAACCAGAUUUGGUUGCUUGGUCUGCUUUGAUUUCUGGGUAUGCCCAAAAUGGGCUUAGUCGAGAAGCCCUUUCGGCUUUUCAUGAGAUGCAUGGAUUGGGGGUGAAGAGUAAUGAGUUCACCUUCCCAAGUGUGCUCAAGGCUUGCUCUAGUUCUAAAGAUUUGAGACUGGGAAUGCAGGUUCAUGGGGUGGUGUAUGUUACCGGGUUUGAGUCCGACGAGUUUGUUGCUAAUGCUUUGGUUGUUAUGUAUUCGAAAUGUGGGGAGUUUGGGGAUACAAGGAAGUUGUUUGAUGUGAUGCAGGAAAGGAAUGUUGUGUCGUGGAAUGCCUUGUUUUCGUGUUAUGUGCAGAGUGAUUUCUUAUUGGAGGCAAUGGAUUUGUUUGAGGAAAUGGUGCUGAGUGGAGUAAGGCCUGAUGAGUAUAGUCUGUCUAGUAUAAUAAAUGUUUGUACCGGGUUGGGGGAUGGUAGAAGAGGAAGGAAACUUCAUGGAUAUGUAGUAAAGCUUGGGUAUGAUUCGGAUUUGUUCUCAGCCAAUGCCCUUGUCGACAUGUAUGCAAAAGCCAUAUGUCUUGAAGAUGCAGUUUCAGUUUUUGAGGAAAUUGCACAACCUGAUGUUGUAUCCUGGAAUGCUGUCAUUGCUGGUUGUGUUCUUCACAACUGCCAUGGUCGGGCGCUCAAAUUUUUCAGGCAACUGGGAGGGUCAGGUAUCCGUCCGAAUAUGUUUACAUUAUCAAGUGCGCUUAAAGCUUGUGCUGGGUUGUCUUUCGAGAAAUUGGGUAGGCAGUUGCACUCUUUCUUGGUAAAGAUGGAUACAGAAUCAGAUUCAUACGUCAAAGUCGGACUGAUAGAUAUGUAUUGCAAGUGUGAGAUCAUGACUGAUGCAAGGCUGCUUUUGAAUAUGAUGCCAAAGAAAGACAUGAUUGCAUGCAACGCUGUUAUCUCUGGUCAUUCACAGAUGGCCGAAGACAUAGAAGCUGUAACCCUCUUUCCUGAAAUGCAUAGGGAAGGAAUAGGAUUCAAUGACACUACUUUAUCUACAGUUCUUAAAUCCAUUGCGAGCAUGCAGGCAGCAAAAGUUUGCGAACAAGUUCAUGCUCUUUCAAUCAAAACAGGUUUUCUGUCUGACAGGUAUGUUAUAAAUAGCCUUCUUGAUGCAUAUGGAAAGUGUGGUCAAGUAGAAAAUGCAGGAAGGAUUUUUGAAGAAUGCAAAACUGAAGAUUUGGUGGCUUUCACAUCAAUGAUCACUGCCUAUGCUCAAUAUGAACAAGGUGAAGAAGCUCUAAAACUCUAUGUGCAAAUGCUACAUAGGGGGAACGAGCCUGAUUCAUUUGUAUGUAGUUCUCUUCUGAAUGCUUGUGCAAAUUUGUCCGCGUAUGAGCAAGGGAAGCAGAUUCAUGUUCACAUUCUGAAGUUUGGAUUCUUAUCUGAUGCUUUUGCCGGAAAUUCCCUUGUUAAUAUGUAUGCAAAAUGUGGAAGCAUAGAAGAUGCAGGUCGUGCUUUCUCUGAGGUACCCCAGAGAGGAAUAGUUUCAUGGUCUGCAAUGAUUGGAGGACUUGCUCAACACGGACAUGGAAAAGAGGCCAUCAAUAUGUUCAAUCAUAUGCUCGGAGAUGGUAUUUCCCCCAAUCAUAUUACUCUAGUCAGUGUCCUCUGUGCGUGCAAUCAUGCAGGUUUAGUAACUGAAGCCAGAAAAUAUUUUGAGUCAAUGAAAGAGCUGUUUGGAGUAGUGCCAAGGGAGGAACAUUAUGCCUGCAUGAUUGAUAUUCUUGGCAGAGCAGGAAAGAUACAGGAGGCAAUGGAGCUUGUCAACACGAUGCCAUUUCAAGCAAAUGCCUCAGUUUGGGGAUCACUUCUUGGUGCUGCAAGAAUCCAUAAAAAUGUGGAGCUUGGUGAACGUGCUGCUGAUAUGCUCUUAGUUCUGGAGCCUGAGAAAUCCGGUACUCAUGUACUUCUUGCAAACAUAUAUGCAGCAGCUGGCAUGUGGGACAAGGUAGCGAAAAUGAGAAGACUUAUGAAAAACAACCAGGUAAAGAAGGAACCUGGGAUGAGUUGGAUUGAGGUCCAAGACAAGGUACAUACCUUUAUUGUAGGUGACAGAAGUCAUUUGAGAAGCAGGGAGAUAUAUGUAAAACUUGAUGAGCUGCUUGACCGUAUUCAUAAAGCCGGCUAUGUUCCAAUGGUGGAAAACGACCUCCAUGAUGUGGAACAAAGCGAAAAGGAGCGGCUGCUACGGUAUCACAGUGAGAAGCUUGCAGUGGCUUUCGCAUUGAUUGCCACUCCGCCAGGAGCUCCGAUUAGGGUGAAGAAGAACUUAAGAGUGUGUGUAGAUUGCCAUACUGCAUUCAAGUUCAUCUGUAAAAUCACCUCAAGGGAGAUAAUCGUGAGGGACGUCAAUAGAUUCCAUCAUUUCAAAGAUGGCUCAUGCUCUUGUGGGGAUUACUGGUGAUUUCUACUGGAUAACAGGAUCAUUUUCCUUAUUAUCCAAGACCAAAAUUUUGUAUCCCAUUUGAUGAACUGUAUAACUUUUAAGUUCUAACAUAGAAAAUAGAAACUAAACCAACUUCACUGAUCAAAAGUAUUCAAUGCCUCUUUAGUCUAUCAAAUUCUGGACAUGACCAUGACUUCAUAUAAUUCUCAGACAAACCAACAUCGCCAAACGAAGAUGGCUUUCCGCCAUAGUCAAUCUGUUUAACCUAUUGAAAAAUGGAUAAUGUACAUGUAACAUUUAGAGAAAAAAGUGUUUGUUCCUUGGAUUUCUUAUACUAAAACAUCAAUGAGAAGAGGUCACGAUCCCAAGGCAGAAAACACAAACACAGUAUCAAGAAGAGGUCACGAUCCUCCGUUCAUCAAGAAGAGCCUGAUUUGAAGAAUGAUGCUUGACCUUUAAGUAUAUCAACCUGCUUAUAACAGUGUUGGUGAUUGCCUUAAGGGUAACCAUUGGAGGCUUGCAAUCAUUUCUUAAAAUUCUAUUGUUUCUGUGUCUCCAAAUGGCAUAAACCAGGCCUUUGUUACAAUAGAAGCAAAGUCAGUAAUGCAGGCACCAUUAUACACAUUAUACUGUACUUGGGCAGUACAGUAUGGAAGUUGCAACUUUGAAUUUAACAUAUUUCCAAAACCAUUCAUAAGAGCACUGUAAGUUGCAACUUGUGGGAGUAUAUUCCUUUUAAGCAUGUGAGGGAUUAGUUUCUGGUUCUCCUUGCUUGCACAUACUCUUCAGGACUGCAUUGUAACUUUGUAAGUGUUACGAGUAAAGGCUUCUGCUUUGAUGAUACAUCUCGUCAAUAAAUCUCAAGGCUUCCUCCCCCUGCAAUACCCAUCAACAACGAUAGUGCAAGGGAUAUCAUCAGGUCUAGCACACCCAUUACUUCAUUAGAUAAAGGUAUUUGUUCCUCUAUGGUUGAUGCAUAAGUUUUGUAUGUGAAUUCAGGUUUUAGACAUGGCAUUGUCCCUUGGCAAUUUUUCUGUCCCUCUUUGUAUCAUUGCCCCUGAGGAACUUUGCCGUUUACCAACGCCUCUGCUGUGCACAUAAUCCCUUCUAAGACAAAAAGACUAAACUGUGUACGUUUUCUAAUCUAUAUUCCAUCUAGAAUACUUCCUAUAGCUUCAAAGAUGACGGAAGCUAAAUUUUCGGAAGUAGCCGUAAUUACUGUGCUAGUUUCUUUGACUUCUAUAAGUGCUUCGCUAGGAUCAGUUACAAGUAUUGCAGUAGAAUUUUCUGAUUCAUAACCACUACUUGCUUUUCGGACAGUACCCUUGAUGCCCCUGCUUGACAACACUGUCAAAAGCCUAUCUAAAUCAGGUAAACCCCAGUGUACCAGUGGUCUGAUCUCCAAGGACUCCUGCACUUUUCCAGAGAUCAAUCGUUGUUUGCCACGCUCUCUAAAAAGCUCUCCCUUCAACCUUGCUAUACUAAUAUCUCCCUGUUUCAAUUUUCUCCAAUCAAAGUGGCAAGCCAAGUCAGUUGCAAUCUCCAAUUCUGUCUUGUCCUUCAAGCUUGGUAUACAUAAUGUUUCAUCAGGGCAGUACUGGAAGAUCGAGAAUGCAGUUGAUUUUGAAGAGUUAAUCAGCUUCAAAUCCUUGGGGAACUGUUAGAGCAGAAAGAAAAGGACUUAUUAUGUUAAAAAGAAAAACGAGAAUCUUAUAAAUCAGGAAAAGGACAUCAUGACAAGGAAAAGGAAACUACCAGGAGAACUUUUGGUUGCAGUACGUUCAGCAAUGGUUGAACUUUCAGCAACCUACAAAAAGCAGAGAAAUGUUAAAGUAGUUGCUGACUAACUUGCAUGCUAAGUCAGGAGAUGCUAUAAACCAGAUAACUUCCAUACUUAUGCACAUAUAAGAAACAUGAUAACUGAUUUGCCUUCUGGCUGGAAAAUGACAGAAUAAUACCACCACCGCCGUACCCAUUUUCAAACAAGCAAACAGCUCUCACACAUACCACAAAUUUGGAGCUGGAAGGCCACCAAAAAGUAUGUGCCAAUAUUAAAUCUCAGUUUCCAAUUUGUUUUAACUCUUAAAAUGUGUUGGAAAAUUCAAUACAACAUGCAAAACCUUCAGUGAAAACAAGUUAUGUCCAAUUAUCCAUCAUUGAGGGUCAAGAUACACGAGGUUAGCCCUAUGGUGGGAUUUAUAGUUUUAAUCGCUCUAAGAAAUUUAAAGCAAGUGGUUUGGUGCUGAAAGUGGUCUUUUAUCGAGAACUAUCAGAUUAUAUUAUUAUGAAGCAAAAUGUUUUGUCAGUGUCAGAAAGAUCCUACCUUAUCCCAGAAAGAAAUGAGCACCGAAGAACCUUCAUUGCCAUUGGCUUGAAAGGCAAGAGAGCCAGUUCAACGUCCAAUUCAUUCUGCAAAUACAGAUACAAGGUGAAUGCUUUAUGAAGAGUUCUUUGAACUACUUAAAUGCAUAUCUAGUGAUAGUAUAUAUUAGUACCUCAAGAAUGAGUAGAGAAUUCUGAUCCCCACACCAGCGCUGCAGGAAAUGAACAGAAGGACCAAGCCGCAGACUCCAGUGAGGAGAGAAAACUAUGCAUGGCUCCUGCCAAUUCAUUCUGUCACAACUGUCAAUUUCUGGGGAUGACAUAGAUAGGAUAACCCUAGUACAAGUUGCUAAGCAACCCACAAUUAACCACUAAAUGCCGUUUAAUUGUGCAUCUUUCUUAAAAUCCACAAAUAUGCCUUUUUCUUUCUUUUUCAAUACAAACAGACUUCAACAUAAUAUAUAUGGCACGAUAAAACGUUAAAACAUACUGCUUCCUCUCAUUUGCAUUUUUUUCUCUUCCUUCUAAUCAUUUCAAAUCUCAUACUAAGUGAGCAACAACCUUUCAGCUGUGAGAAGCAGACAAACUCCCAAUGUAUGUUACCAACACAGAAAAGAAAAGAAUAGCUGUCCUAACUUUCCAACUUUUGGUUGUUGAGCAAAAUGAAACAGAAAACACAAUGACAGGGGAAUUAACUCGUUUUUUCUUAGGAAUCGUUGUCCAUAACAUAGUUGAGGUUUAAAAUGAAAGUUGGCUCAUCACAAAAAGAAUGCAGUUUUGGUAGUAUUCUCCUUUUUUUUCUUUGUACAAAACAUAAAUCAAAGUAUCAAACAACCAGACAGAAACACAAACAUCUCAGACCAAACGUAAAUCAAUAACACUGUUCGCUGUCAAUCACUCAAUGCCCUCAAGGACCAAACACAAUCUCAUGAAAACUAAGAUGGCAAAAAAAGCAAGUGAACAGUACACUAAUCACCAAGAAGAAAUAUCUUAAAAUAAGAGAGAAAAAUACAGAACUCACAAUAACUUAGGUGAAUGGAUAGCCGGAAAAACAUGAAGCUUCCCCUCAUUUAUAAGCUCAACAUGUCCAAACAAUGGCUGACCAGAAAACAUCUGUAGGAGCAAUUCAAGGAGUGAUUACAAUGCCUCCAGUUGGCAAUCAAGAAAGAAAACUCGAAACAGAGUGGAAAGAAGACUAAGCCCUAUGUGUACCUUUUCUUGCUGCGGUUUGCAUAGCCAUUCAGGUAUGAUGUUGGUGAAAGCCAAUAAUUCUUCACCAACAGAAGAAACAACAUAAAUAGGAACCUGUACCAGGAAAGAGAAUUUCAAACUGCCACAUUAUUUAGAAUCCCUCAUUUUUUGGGGGUCUAGAAGGGGUGUGGAAACACUAAGAAAUAAAAUAAAGUAAAUCCACAUUACCCGAUCAGGCCCAGUUGAUUAGAAAUAGUUCUAGGAAAAAAAAUUCAGAAUUGAAUAAAUAUAUUAUCUACCUUCAAACCUGAAACAUCCAGUGAAGCCGAUAUUUGUUCUAACAGCUGCAGAACAAUUCCAAGUCGACUAACAGGGAUUAGGACCGAGCCCCCAGCUUUUACAGAAUCAAUGACAUGGGAGGACAAAAACGUUAGUUUCUGCAUUUCCUCCAAAUUAUCAUCAACAUGAAGUACCGACUCGGCCCAGUCUUGCCCAUCAUUUUCUUCAUUUCUACACAUCAAUUCCAAAAGUGGAAAGCACCGAUUUUCAGCAUUUGAUGAAAGCAUGAGAAACAAUUAAGAACAAAAGUGGGAAAAUCAUAGGAUUAGUAAAAGAUAAGGUCUACAUUAAGUAAAGCAUCAUACUUGCGAGAUGAAAAAUCAUGUGUAGUUGGAACUAAGUUAUUAUGAUCACUUUCAAUAUCUUCUGUACCAUCCAAGGAAGAAAAAUCCGAAUAUAUCACAGUAUCGUUCCCUCGAAGAGCAAGAUAAUCAAAAUUCAUUGCAUGAGCAGAAUCAAAGAUGGAACUAGAUAUGAAUGCAAUUCCUCCUUUUGGACCAUUUAUUGUCCAAUUACAAGUGCCUAUUUCCAAACCCGAACUGAAUGCCUUUAUAAUCAAUGUACUGUUGUAGCAGGUCUCUUCUGCAUAUUUAAGUCUCUGAGCCUUCUGCACGCAACCCUUCACAUCUGCUGCACUGAGAAGUACUCUUUAUUAACAUUUUCAAAUAGAGAAACUUGCUAUCAAUGUCAGAAAUUAGAUGAGAUACACAAGUAUUGUAGUAAAAACCUAAAAGUAGCAAUUCCAACUGUUUAUCCCAUACAUCUAUCUAAGUUAUAUUGGUUUUACGGAAAACUUCAGCAAAGCCACCUAAGCUAUUGACCGAGUUACAGUUUUGGGGCCCGAACCUUGAACUUUAGGAUUGAAAGGCCUGUGAGGGUAUGUUAAUCCAUUCAAGAAGAGAGAAAAGGAAGAGACUAAAACACAGGAAACAAGGGAAUAGAUGGAAAACAAUGCUAAAAAAGUAGAAAUAAGAACCAUGUGCAUGACACAAAUUAUAGUUGAACCAAAUUAUUACAGUUGGAAACCAUUAGAUAUAUCCAAAAAUUUGAGAGACACAAAACUAUUGAAGUCUGAAUUUUUUUGUUCAUGCCCCAAAAGAAUCAAGUCAAUAGUUUAGGGCACAUUGCCCUUUUUAUCCCUUAAUAUAAUAUAUACGCCGUGCCCCAGAAUUGGGAUGCGGUACAAAAAUUAUAACACGACAUAAAAUGUAGAAAGACAGAAGAAAUAUAGAUUAUGAGUCCUACGCCAAAUCCGUAAAGUUUCAGAGAUGGGACAUUGUAAUUAGUGUACCGCCAGUUGAAUAUAAAAAAUAGCAAGAACAUGCAAAUAUCUACUCCGUAACAGGAAAUCAUAGUGAGGACAUAAACACGUUCAACACCUUGCCCAACCAAGAAGUAGUCAUAAGACAAACAACAUUAACUAUUUGGUGCAACAUUAAGUACCUGUAUAAGGGCAUCCAACUACCCAGCUCUCCUCCGUCCUUGCCUAAAGCUACAUCUCUCAAGGAAGAUGGUAGAAGCUUAAGCUCUUCCCACUUCAUCCACGAAGGAAAAGACGACUCUUCAGGUCCCAAAAGCUGCCUGAUUUCCAUGUGCAUUGAAACAAGAUCGUCCAUCAUAAGCUGUCCGAGUCUCGCUGUGGCUUCAGUCACGUAUAUCUGAGCAUUUUAAAAGCAGAGAAAUUAAGAUAAUCAGAUUAAAAUCCUUCAAGAUGCUAAAAAUGAAGUUAAGAACUACUUCACUGAAACAGCAAAAAUAGUGCAUGACUAUAUCUUUUAAUGCUACACCAUACCUUAGCAGAGAAACCAUUUGUUCGAGUAAGAAAUGGUAACCCUAGCAUACCCAUCGGACUUGAUAUCAAUACCACAUCAAUAAAAGAGGUGUUCCAUAGAUGCAUGUUCCUGACAGUUUUGUACCAGGGCUCUGCAUAUAUUAAGUCAUCGGCAUCAAGGGGCCUUUCAACUUUUUGUCUCUUCCGAACCAAGGAUUCUUCACGAUCUGACGGACCACUACAGUUUAAGCAUUUGGGAUUUUCUUUAUCUAUGGAACUAGCUUUUGAAGCAGAAGGAAUAGGUGAGAAGAUUGUAAGAGCAGAAAGGUCUAAUGGGCAAUCCAAUAAAAUCCUAAAACCACAUAUAUCGAGUAUGUGACAAGGUGGGAAAUGGUACCCUCCACCUUUGCUCAAACAAGUCUGCAAAAAAAUAUAGUAACAGAACAUCAAAACAAAAUAAAUGCAAUCCAAGAACACGUAUGUGUUAGAAAUAUACAUAUAGAAGAUAAAUGCUUGUGUCUAUAAAUAUAGACAAAGAAACUUACAAACUUCAUAGGUCCGAAUUUGGUAGGUCAGACAGUAUUUUACACAGUACUGCAGAGUGUGCACUUUAAUGAGUUGUAUUCUUUUGGAUAAGAGGCUGAUUAAGUGUGCUGUGUUUGACACUGCACCGGAUAAGAAAUUAAUGAACUGUUAAAAAGUUGAUUAUAUAUAUAUAUAUAUUGAAUUAACAGUUAGGGGAACAGAUUAUACAACUGUUGAUACAAAUUCAGCAACUACAUAGCCUAUCUUCAUACAUUAUAUAACUCAAGUCAAAUUAAAAGCCAAUGCUCUGUUUUUCGUAUAAGAUAGACUUGAAGAGCACCUUCAGCACUCAAAUCAAGACCAGAACUUUAUCCUAGUUCAAAGUAUCCUUGAAACAAAAACCCAAAAUUCUCCUCUUUCGUUGUAAACCGAAGUAUCCUUGAAUAGCUUAAUAAACCCCAAUUUGUAUCCAAUAUAACGAAAUUGAACAAUAAUUCAAACACAUACUUACAAUAUAGAUUGAUAAGAAAAUGAAAGAGAUUGAGCCUGAGCUGAUGAUGAAGAAGAAGAAGCAGCAGCAGCAGCAGCGAUAAGAGAGGAGUGAAGGUUUUAAGGAGUUUAUGAAACAUUUUUAAAGUUCCGAAAUUGUCCUUUCACUUGUUUGAUAUUUACAUUCAGAAAGGUCCUUUUAUGAUUUUAUCCCGUUUCUUCUUCUUUAGUGAGGACUGAACACUGAGCAGCAGCAGCAGCGGUCUCAGAAACUUGGUAAAACUGAAGGUAUUGCUUGCUUCCUCCAAUUGCUUUAUAAAGUUUGGGUUUUUGAUUUUACUUGUUAUGGUAAAGGUUGAAGCUUUGGUGUUGCUUUUGGUCUGGGGCUUGAUUUUCAAUUUGAAUGAGUAUUAAAACCAAUAGCCCAACUCAGUUGGAAGUUCUGUUUUGAUGUCAAACAUCUUUAGCGAUUCUUUCAUUGAUGCUUAAGUGGGUUGUUUAUAGUCUCUUGAAGGAUUAGUAUUACUUUAUAUUCUUCAAUUUGUGUACUCAAGUGAUGUGCCUGUUUAAGCUGCUUGAGUUGGUGUUUUAGUUUAUUGUACUAGUUUCGAGUGAGUUGUAGAUUCUUAGAUUCAAGUGGGAUAUGAUCAAUGAAAGAUUCAAGUAUUGGUUGUGUUUGUGGUCCAAAUGCGUUUCUAAUGAUUUAUGUCUCUCUUUAUCUGAAUUCAUCUUCAUUUUUACUCUUCUGAUUUUCUGCUGCAGACAUCAAGUUUUCAAAUCCUAGAAUAGUCUGUUUAGUUUAACAACACAUUUGCUUCAUUUCCUGUUGUAGUUAUGGUAAGCGAAUUAGUAGCUAAAGUUUAGGUAUAUCUUCGUUUAAACUUUAGCCUGAGUGAUACAACACAACAGAGAUGGAGACAAGGGUAUUGCCGCUUACUUGCACAUUGCUUCCGUUUUCACUUAUGCCAUGCUCUUCAACCUAUCCAAGUCUUUGGCCCUCACCUUUAAGACCCGCAUAUGCACCUGGCACAGGUAGAUUUACCUUUGAAACUUUUAUUACUCGUAUCACUUGGUUUUAGAAUUCUUUAGUUUUUCCUAAUUCAUUCUUUCUGGGCCCUAUAAUGGCAGUUUUAAGGAGGAGCGUGAAAAAGGAUGAGCCAAUAUUAGAAGGUCUUCCGAAAGAAUACUAUGAUGAUGUAAGUGAAUUGUCAUCCACAGAAAAUAAUUCUAGUUUUGGAAGCUGGAAGUGGAAGUGAAGUCUUCUCUGAAUCAGGAAUGGCAAGCUCAACAGAGGGAGAAAACAAAGGAGUUACAUCGAAGACGUCAAGAGGAAGAUGAAGAGGAGGAGAGAAAGAUUGAAGAGUAUCGUGAGAUUGGCAUGAGGUUGAAGGAUUAUCCAGAAGAUGAAGUUCGGAAAGCUCGGAAAUUGAUUUCUAGCUUUAUUAGAGCGGCUGAAGAAGUGGAAGAGGUAAUAUCAGAAAUCCAUUAUGCAGACAUGCAGUAAUUGUGCUUUAUUCUUUAUGAGCACAUACCACCUCCAGUUCCUUUUGAGACUGAGUUCAUUGAUGUUUAUAUAUGUAUGCAGAAAAUUGAAGAAGCUGGUGAGAAAGGGGAACUGACUGAACUUGUUUUGAUGGUCAUAUGGAAUCGCCUUGACCUCGCCCGACGGGAUGUAAGUUGGUGGUGAGAUGGCUUUAACAUUUCCGCACUUAAUGUAUCUAAUUUUAAGACAACCUUUAUCUUACGUAGCAUAUGUGAUACUAUAUUUUUAAGUAUCAGGGAUAUGCAGCGAUAUUUAAUGUAAAAGCUUUGAUAAACAAAUUCAAUAUUUUCCCUUUACAAAGGUACUUAGAAGGGCUUUGAAAGAAAUUGUUUUCUUACAACCUAUCUAUAAGUCAAUAAACUAGUUAUCCCUGCUUAAAGUUUGAGAUCUGUAGGAAUGUGAUAUUAAUAGUCAGUUAAUAGUACUUUUUCUCUCCAAACUAAUGAUUUUGGCUGUUGGCGAAAUUCUUACAGGAUGAAAAGGAUGUUAUUAGAAGUCUUGAUUUGCUCUAUAGAAGGAUUGAGGUAUGAGUCCCAUCCUUCCUAGUUCCAACCUCUAAUUUAAUGAUUUCACCAUUUUGAAACCAGCAGUUGGGAAAGUCUAAGCUGUGUAAUUACUUACUUAAUAGUUAUUAAUUAGUUUCAGCCUGAACAUCUUCAAGAGUUGGUUUAUAUAAGCCUUGAUACCCUUUCUAAUAUUUAUCAACAUUUUAGGCUGAGAUUCUGAAACAGGAGGCCUCACCUGCCAUGCGAUUGCUCAACGAUCUUUUAAAUAUGCAUGAUGGUUUUGAUGAUGAAGCGUGGCAGAAGGAAUGUAAAAAGUGCAUGAUUGAUACAUUUCCACGCGAGGAUCCAUUUAGCAUUUUAGUCCCAGAUGGAUUUGACCUUGAUAAGGUAUGCUGUAAUUAUGUUGAUUCCAGGCUUAUGAUUAAGUUGUUUUCAGAUUUAUACUUUUGUACGGCUUUGAACUUCUACCCUAGGGUUUCAGUAUUGAAAUAUUAUAAAAAUCUGGGGUUAUUUCAUUUUAUGUUUUCAGAACGUGGGGGUUGCAUUUGUUGGUUUUAAGCAGAUCUGAUGAACAUCAGAUGAUUUAGUCCUGUUGUUUAUCUUUACGUCUUGGGUGAAAAUGUGAAAUUCAUGAUCAUUCCUUGUAAGGAAGAGAAAGGAGUUGAAGUUGGAAUUAUUUGUUAGUAAAUUUUGGCAGAAAACUAAUGGAUUAGAUUGCAAGUCAACAAUUGCGCAUGUGGCAUUUCUAAUCUCAUAAUCCUGAUGUCUGAUGUUGUCAACAAAUUUCUGUAACUGUUGUUAUUAUUCUCAUCACUGGUAUUGAAGUUAUUUAUUGUUUGAUAACCUUUUCCUCCUUUAGCAUGAAGGACCUCUUCGGCUACCACUUGAAGUUGAUGACGCUCUAUUGAGGGUAGACUUUGUAAGAGAGGUUGAUGCACUGCUGCAAGAGGUCUGGGCUGUGCAAAGCGAGGUACAAAUUACACAAGAGCUUGAUCCUGAAUCCAUUGCAAGUAGAUUGAAGCAGCAGGAGAAGCAACGUGCCAUCCGGCUGGUAGAAACUAUACUAAACCUGGCCAUUGAUUUAAAAUGGUAGCAACUUACUGUCUAUUACAGGAGGGAGUUGUUGCGAAUGCAACAUGAGGAACUCUUAGACACAGCUGCCCUUAUACAGCAGCGCUCAGAAUGAUGUGAGCCCCACGCUGAGAGGUGGAUAGCGGCCGACACCAUAGAUUUUCUCUUCCAACCCUUUGCGAUGGUACCACUCUUCAGCCACUUUCAGGACUCCUCACUAUUGGUAGGUAUUGGAGUUAUUUGUCAAGUAGUAGAGAAAAAUGUUGAAGAUAGUUUCUGAAUUCUUGGCAUGGUAAUAUUUCAUAUCAGAAGCAUAUAUACAAAAGCACAGCAGAUGGCAAUGCAGUUCUAUUGCAACCCUGUAUUCUAAAACGUUGUUGAAUGAAUCAAAACAACAGAAUUAAGCCUUACAUGUGUUAAUGUCUUGUAACUGGACAGCGGGACUGUGAUAUGGAUCACAUUACAUCCACAUUUAAAAUCUGAGAAUCUUAUGAUCUCUAACAUGCAUGUUGGAAAUUAAAAGAUUGUUUUGAGAGUAUGUUUCAGUUGAGCUUUAUUGUUGUUUAGGGAUUAAAAAUUUGCAAGUCUACAUUUUGGGGCGGCAUUUUUUUUAUUUUUGCCGAAGUGACACAAUGGGCAAAACAUGUUUUGCUCCAACCAGUCCACAAUGGAAUCUCCAUGAUAAAGACUGGAACAUGGCAUGAGAAACUAUGAGUUGUACCAAAGGUAAAAGGCAACAGAACUAUGAGAAGUAACCCUAAGUGAUUUAUAUGCAUGUAUUUCCAUUUCAAUUUUAAAGGAAGGAACUGGGUUCUAUACUCCACAAAGCAAUUAUUGGAAACCAACGAAUUUGUCAAUGGAUGGUAACUGUACCUAUAUGUUGUCUACCUGCUUGCAUGUGUCCCAGAAUUAUAAUCACAAGUUCACAACAACUCACAAGCUAGAGAGGCUACGUCGUGACAUGCACAUAUUCAGUUCUCUUGGAUUAUAUAAGAUGCAACCAAAAAAAAAACCCCCUAAGAAUAAUCAGCUCACUUGGUUAUAUGAGUUUCAGUUUGAGUAUGAUGUCAGGGAUAUCAUGACCUUCGUACAAAAGGUCAAAAGCUAUAGAAUGACCUUUCAUAACUUCUUAGUGUGACAAAUUGGUUCUAACUAGACAAUUAUGGGACUACCUUCCAUGCUACCUCACCAUCAAGCUGGACAAAAUAACAUCAAGAUGAACUUGAAGUUCCCAUUCUUUUAUGUUAUGCAAAUGGCCUUAUUCAGCUGCCGUUUCUUCCAUUUUCCAUUUCUCUCAUAAAGCAAUACUUUCAUUACUUUGGGAGCAUCUAAUGAGAAUCAGAUACGUUGUUUCAGGUUAUUAUGUUGAAUCUUAUUCAGAAUUCCAAUACGUACAACCAAGGCCAGUCCUGAGUUAACCGGGGCUCUAGGUGAAAAACAAAAGGGAAAAUGACCAUUUGCACAAAAAUAGCAAAACUAGAACCCAAUUCAAUGAAAAUCUAAUUCAUAAGCCCAUUUCAAUGAAACUUGAGUAAAAGACAAAUUUACCCUCAUUUCUAUUCAACUAACCCUCUCUCUCCUUUUUUUCCCGAUCUGAAUUCUUCUUCUUCUUCUUUUUCUACCUCUUUCUCUGUCUUGUUGCAGAGUCGUCUUCUUGAGUCCUCAACGACGAUGUUGCCGCCCUGCCUCGGGAGACAAGAAUUGCUAGAAUACUCUACAGAUCCCCGACGUCUGAUUCCUUCUCGGAGACUGAGGCCUCGUCGCUCGUCGGUUGUCGCCGCUGGUACCUCGUCGGUCGCCGCUUGUCUCUCGGCACUCGUCGGUCGCCGCUCAUCUCUCAGUGCUCAUCAGUCGCCACUCGUCGGUCUUCUCUUGGCGCUCGGCGCUCGGCCUCCAUGGCCAAAUCGAAGGCGUCGGGUGUGUGGUGAGGGAGGUGAAGUAGUUUCGAUGAGGGAGGAGUAGGUAUGGUGAGGGAAGGCGCAUGGUAAGGGAGUAGAUCCGGUGUGUGAGGGUGCAUGGCUCUGUGGUAGGUGUAGUUGUAUUUUUGUAGCUGAUAGGUAGCUUGAUUAUUUGUAUUGUAGUUUUGAUUGAUCAUUGGCGGUCAAUAACUCGAUUAUGUUCUAAUAUUUCUUCUUUUCUAUUACAAUAAGCUGAAAUAAGUUGAUUAUUAGGGGUCAGUAACUGAUUAUUGGGGGUCAAUAACCAACUUAUUAGGGGUAUUGGGGAUCUAUAUUGGGGAUCAAUAUCUGGUUAUUGGGGGUCAGUAACCGAUUACUGGUGGUCAGUAACUGAUUACUGGUGGUCAAUAACUGAUUAUUGGGGAUCAGUAACUGAGUUACUGGGGGUUAGUAACCAAGUUAUUAGUUACCUAAAUCUGGCGAUCGGAGAAAAUCUAGGGGUUGGUGACCGGAAUCCUGCAACCGGUGACCGAAAUCAAGAAUCUGGCGGCCGGAAAAAAUCCAGCAACCGGUGACCGAAAUUCGACGGCUGGUGACUGGAGAACGGUGAGGCUCCGGCAAAGUCUUUUCUCUCUUGCAUUUUCUCUCUCUCUCUCUCUCUAUGCAUAUUUAAGAGGUGAGGGUAAAAUAGUCUUAAAAUAAUAUAGUUUGUUAAGACUUUAGUAAAGAUUUGUGCAUAAAAAAAGGUUACCUUAUAUUGGAAUGGGUUCAUGAAAAAGAUUGUCAUUAGAAUGCAUGGGAAAUAAGAGGUUUAAAUUAGUAGUAAAUGAGCAUUUUUCCAAAACAAAAUUGGGGCUCCCCAUCUUUUAAUAAAUUCAUUUUCCCUUCAAAAGAUAAAAAUUAAGCUAGUAUGCUCAAACAAUUAAUAUAGGGCCUGUACAAUUACUAGUUGGUAACAAAUGGUUUAAACUAAAAAGUAGUAGAGAAACUCAGAAGCUCAAUCAAACUAAGAAAAUGAAAUAAUGAAAACAUACCUAAUUAAAAUCCCAAAUAAUUGAAAAUAAUUUGAAAAGAAGACUAAGAAAAUUCAGAAAAUUUAUGUUUCAUCAAUUGAAGAAGAAAAAGGAAAUAAAAUAAUAAUAUUGCAUAUAGUGAUGAUAAUCUAACAAUGAUAAAUCGAUGAUUUGAAAUUAUGGUUGAGAAUUUAAUGGGAGACGAAGAAGAGUCAUGCGCAGAUGAAGGAGAAUAAUUAAAGCUAAUUAUUAUGUAUUGUCACAAUUUUUAUUUUCUUUUUCUUUUUUUUACUUUUAUAUAUAAUAGGAGAUUUUUUUAGGGGCCCAUGAAAUCUGGGGCUCUAGACCUGUGUCUUCUGGGCCUAUGCUCAAGGUCGGCCCUGCGUACAGCUAGACUUGCAACCAGAAGUGAUACAAUUAAUUUUAGUCUCUAGGAAAGCAAAGAUAUAGAGACCAUGCCAGAAACGGCAACGAGCUAGAGAUACUCACAGCUGCUACUUUGCUAGUCAUUAGUGGUUCUACUGUAUACUUCCAGAAAAGGCAGACAGCUACAAUGGCAGGAAGCAACACAAGGUUUUAAAUGCAAAGCCUGUGCUGCAUGAGGAGUCUCUUCACACUUGCGGCCUCCAGUUUCUCUAAGGCUGGGCAUAAAACCCGACCAAGAAAAAAAAACCGGCAAAACCAACCCGACCUGACCUGUCCGGGCUGGGCUUUUUUCGGUCCUUGUUUGUUUUUCUACUAGUAUGGUUUGGGCCUGGUCCUUAAAAGUUAGAAAUCCCUAAAGCCCGAAGGCCUGACUUAUGUAUGUAUACACAAUUAUUGCUAGUUUAAGAGGUUCUACAGUAGUAAUAUAGACCUCACUACACCAGAUUCUUAGUCUAACAUUUUAAGGGACUAAAAAGCAAAACCACUAUUCUCCUCUCUUCCUUUUCAAACCCAUCCCGAACUAUAAUAUUGAUGAUAGUGAUUCUCCAGUAGUAAUAUAGGCCUUAUUCUCUCUCAGUCAUUCUCUCAGAUCUCUCUCACAUGAUAGUGAUGACACCCCAAUUCUCUGACUCAACCCCACACUCCUCCGCCAAUUAUCAAUAUUACCUCCACCCCCGACGUCGCCGAGGACGAUAUCAUGUGGACCAACAACUACGCCACCGAAUCAAACCAUCACUACCAUAACGAUCACAACAACAACAACAACUCUACACCUCCCUCUUCCGCAUCCUCAAUCCUCACCGGUGAGAUCAAGUAAGGAUUUGGUGGUGAUUUAAAUAAGGUUUGUAAACUGUGGGAUCUGGGUUUGGUGGUGAUUGCUGGCAGAGUGGCAGUGAGAUUAGAUAAGGGACCGAAGGCCCGAAGGACCGACCGGUUUUUGGUUGGUCCGGUCUUCUAUCAAUCCCAGCUUUUUUUACGUUGAAGCUCGGCCCGGAUUUCGUACGCCGAUCUUGGUUCCUGUCAGAAUACUACCAGUCUGGGACCGUGCCCAGCCCUAGUUUCUCUAGCUUUUUUUUUUCUUGAAAAGCAAUUCAUUGAAACAAACUAAUUAACGAUUACAAUCGUUUCGAAAUGCAUCCCUUAUGAAAUCAGGAGCAAUAAUAAACCAAGUUUGGCUAUCACUGUUUCUUAAAGCAUGAGAAGCAAAUCCAUGAGCUAUUAAAUUUGCUUUCCUUGGAACAUAUUGAAUUCUAUAACCAACAUGAUUUUGUAGCAGUUGUCUAACUUCAUCAACCAUCAGACUCAUUGUAGAGAGAUCAUGAUCACUUGCAUGAAUAGCUUGGACCAAUAAAGAACGGAUUGAGCUCCUCUGCAGAAACUUUAUAUAAAGUUCAUAAAAUCUUGAUCCUUCAUCUAAUCUAAUGGUCAUAUAGUUGCCACAUCCUCUAAUUUCACAUUUAGAUGCUUUCUCUCAAGCGAGCGUUAACGUUAAUCGAAAUAUCAACACAACCAUCACAACCAAAGCGUCGUCUUCUUCUUCCUCACCUCCUUUCUCAUACUCUACUGCCAUAUCUCAUAUUUGCAUGACUGCAACUCUACGCAUAUUGAUUACGUGCAUUUAUAUACACGUAAUUACUACUUUAACACUAGGAUUUAGCUAAUUUUUAAGUUAAUUAUAAUGUAAUUAAUCUAAUUUUAUUUAUUUGUAGGAAAUAAGCGGAAAUGUGGAUUUCGAAAGAAAAUAGUGUAACAUUAUAGCAAAAUGGAGAUUCCGAGAAAUUGACAAAAUUAGAGAAUAAUUAAUUAACCAAAUAAUUGAUUAACCAUUGAGUUGGUUAAUUAACUUGGUUAAUUACUCAAUUAAGGAAGGCAAAGCUCCAUCAGGUGCCAUCCCUUCUUCAUUCAUGGACCAAUUGCCAGCUGACAUGUGGCGCCUCUACCCUCAUCUCCAGCCACACCCGUGCACCCUAGAAACUCAAUUAUACAUAUAUACAUCAUCUCAUUCUCAGAGGAGGCGAAGACGAGCCGCAAACAGAGGAGAAGAGAGAGAGAGACGCACAAAGCAAAGGGAAGGGCUCUUGCCCUUUCCCGUCACCAACUCCAUUCAUCACCGUUUCAUCCCUUCAUCUCUUCUCAUUUCACAAUUUAGUUAAUUUCUUUUGGGAAUUUGAAGGACUCACUCAAGACUUCUUCAUCAUCAAGAGCACCACCUCUUCAAUUGGGUAGUUAGGUGAAAAGCUUUCUUGGGUUCAUACUAGCUCAUAGCUUGAAGUGACAAAGCUAGCUCUCCCCCUCUCUUCCUUAUUGUCUAUUUCUUUAUCUUAUAUGCUAUUGAUGAUGUAUUUGACUAUGGGUUGUGAGUGAUUCAAUUUUGGGAGCUAGGGUAUUGAAGCCGUAAACUCAUUUUGUAUAAUGUUGGUACUUUGAUUGUUAUAAAUGCAAUUUUCAUUGUGUAUGCUUUGAAUCCGAAUGUGUUGGUCCUUAGAAGCAUGUUUCUAGGCUUUGUCACCCUUUGAGAUAAUGUUGUGGACAAUUGAUGGAUAGAUUGAUAAAUUGACAACUUAUUAGUCUUGUGCAUCUAGGAUUUGAAAUGUGGUAACCAUUAGCUAGCUUAAUUGUAGCUAAGCUUGCUUGGGUCCCUAUUAUCUUGCACUCUAGGCCUGUAAUUUAGAUAUUACGGCCUUAACCGGCGUAGUGCCCAUUUUAGAGAGUUGAUGGGGCCUUAACCGGCAUAAUCGAUACACCGAAAGGAUAAUUGGUCUAGUAGCCUUAACCGAACCUAGAUACGAGACUUAGCACAAUAGGAUAUGUAUUUGUGAAAUUGGUAUCGAUGCUUGCAAAUGAGUUAGUGUGGAUCACCUGACACUCCCAUGUUCCCAUAAUUCUUUAGUUCAUUAGUUAGUAGUUUAUUUUUCAUUUAGUUUUUCGUCAAUUUAAUUAAUUCUCAUUCAACCUCCAUUUUAUAUAUUGACUCAUUGUAAUUACCCAUCACUAGGCAUUUAGUAUUGAUUAGGCUUUGGUGAUAACCGAGGCCGAGCAUUGUUAAGGCUUGGUGCUUUAGAGUAGCAUUUUUCUUCUUUUUCUUUGUUUGCUUAGUGACUUUUGUUCCGAUUAGCUUAGGAUUGUGGGUUAGCCACUAAUCCUCGUGAUACGAUAACUUGGGCAUAAAUACUUCCUUAUUUUGACAACUAUAUGCUCGCUUGCGUGAAUUGUAUCCAAGUCACACAUCAACAUGGCCAAUUAGAAAACCCAGAUAUAAUCCCUUUUGGGUUUUGCUCCUUCUCCAUUGAUCUUUAAAAAACAGUUGCCACCAUUAUUAAUUGUUAGGUCACCAGAGCUAAAAUCUAGGUCCAUCAAAAUGAAAAAUCAUGUUUGGGUUUCCUCAUUUCAUCUCCUUUUCUCCAUUAAUCAUCCAUUUCAAUCUUCUGCCGCGAAAAAACUUCAUCUCCCAAUCUCCAAUUUCUCCUAAAUUAAUCCCCAUUCACCUUAGACGACUAAGUUUUUCUCCAAUUGAUGGUUAGAAGAUAGACAAAAUGUUUUUCAUCUCCAAGAAUCCAACAGCCUAAUUGAUGGUGAGCAAUCACAAACAUUUAAAAAGCAACAAGUUUGGUAAAAGAAAAAGGGUUCGAUGAGAAAUCCCAAAGUUUCUUCUUGUUGCUGGAGUUAACGGGGCAAGUGAACCACGGUUUAUACCAAAAGAUACAAAAUUAUGCAAUAAUGAUGUGUCAAUAAUCAGAGCCUUUAGAUUAGACAAAAAGCCGAGAUUUUAUAAACUUUAUCUAAAUUACAGACUCCUCACUUUAGAGGAGCCGAAUCCAGAACGAACAAUCAGAUUCAAGAAAAACCUGGUCAUAUUGAAGUGAUGCUGCCAGAUUGAUUCCCACUCUUAAUGCCAACAAUUCAGCAUGGAACAAUGAUGUUAUUAGAGGAAGAGGUCUACUUGUGCUAGCUUGAAAAUCACCAUUUGCAUCUCGGAUUACAACUCCAGCACCGCCCUUUUUUGUUGCUAGUUGGAAAGCACCAUCGCAAUUAACCUUUACCCAACUUUCUGGUGGUCUUGUCCACUUCACAGAUUUUCUUUCUUGCUUUGUAGGCUGCAGAUUGACUAUUUUAAAUUCCUCAUACCAACCCAGAGUGAGCAACACAGCCUCAGACGUGUGCUGGCUCUUCUGCUCCCAUAAUUGAGUAUUCCUGUUUUUCCAAAUCCCCCAUAAGAGUAUUAGGAACCUAGCUAUUUGCUCCUUUGUGAAGCUAGUAAUUAAAUCCAAAAACCAAUCUGUAAAAUUGACACCAUUUCCAAUAGACAGUGACAAAUUUGGUCUAUGCCACACGUCUUUUGCGUAAGGACAAACAGCCAAAAAAUGCAAACUGUUUUUCAAAUUAUGGGGACAUAAUACACAUCCCAUCUCGCCAUCAUAACCCUUGGCACUCAAACCCACUCUUGUGGGGAGAAUACUAGUUGUUGCCUUCCAUGAAUGCAUGGCUACCUUGCCAGGUAUAUUUGCAUCCCAAAUUGUCUUCCACACGGCUCUGUAAGGAUCAACAAGUGGUGAUGGGGCUAUAAUCACUCCCAAAGCCAAAUCACCAGCAACAAAGUAAGCACUAUUUGUAGUGAAGAUUUCCCUUUUUUGAAAGUGUCAAAUUUGUCUAUCACUGUGAGCUUGUCUUGUUAAAGGUAUACUCAAAAUCAAAUCAAUAUCAGUUUGGGUAAAGUACAUUUCAAGUUUCAAGUAAUUCCACAUUCCAACUGCAAGUAUCUUGAUCAACAAGUUCCACAACAAGACGAGGAGCAUUCUGAGAAGGUGGUGAAGAUGGCCCCCUUAGGUAUGUAUCCAGAUCCAAUUAUGAUUCUAUAUCUCAAUAUUUUCACCAUUUCCCACCUGCCAUCUGAGUCCUUGAACUAACAGUUGUCGAGCUUCUAUAAUAUUCCUCCAUGAAAAUGAGGGUGAUGUGAAAGAAUAAACUGUAGAAUGAAAUCGAAAACUCACAACCACAAAUGUAAAAUGUAGCAGAAAUAAAAUGAUAAGAACACUGAGAAUUAACGUGGUUUGGCAAAGUGCCUAUGUCUAUGGGGCAACAACAACAACAAUAAAGAACCUCCACUAUACGAAUAAAAGUUGCACGGAGAGAAACACUACUUCAAAACUCACACUUGAAGGGAUACACUCUCACACACUUUGUUUUGCUACACACACAAACUCUCUACUUAGGAGUUUUCUACGUCCAUGGGGCAACAACAACAACAAAGAACAUCCACUAUACAAAUAAAGGUUACACGGAGAGAAACACUAUUUCAAAACUCACACUUGAAGGGAUACACUCUCACACACUUUGUUUUGCUACCCACACAAACUCUCUACCUAGGAGUUUUCUAUCUCACUCUUGAUGAUCACACAAGAUGAGCUUCGAUUCUUCUAUAUAUUUUGCACUAUUGCAAAUGCCUCUAUAUAUAUAUAUAUAUAUAUAUAUAUANNNNNNNNNNNNNNNNNNNNGCGGAUUUCCACUUUACACUCACUUUUCAAUUGAAUUUUCACAUCUCCACCGUCUAGUAUUUAGAUAUUAUUGUAUAGAUCAUCUCUGUAAAAUUUCAGCCAACUUAGUUAUCAUUAAGGCACUCAAAACUGCAUUUUUAUGUUAUAAACAUGAACGGUUCAACUUCGAUAGAAUUAUAUUCAUCCAUUGGUUUAAUCGAGUUGAGUGCUUUAAGGAUAACCAAAUUGGCUAAAAUUUUGUAGAGAUGAUCUAUACAUUAGUAUCUAAAGAUUAGACGGUGGAGAUGUGAAAAUUCGAUUGAAAAGUGAGUGUAAAGUGGAAAUCUACACCGUAAGAAUAAAUGCGGACAUCCGCACCUGAGAAAGUCUAUAUACACUACCAAGACAAGCACUUUAGCCAACGAAAAAAUUUCGUCGGCAUGUUAGCUUAAUUGGUCGGCUAAGAUCUUAGCCGACGAAAGCUCGUCGGCUAAGAUUUCAUCGGGAAAAAGUCGUUUGUGGUGACUUUAGCCGACGAAACUAGAAGAAGUCGUCGGCUAUAGUCCCACAGUUUAGCCAACGAAAAACAUGUCGUCGGUUUUUUUCCCAGACUUUAGCCAACGAAACAAUUAAGAUAUUCGUCGGCUAAAGUGUGUAAUAAAAAAUUAAAAAAAUAACUAUAGCCGAUGAAAUAUAGUCUGUUUCGUUGGCUAAACCUUAUAAAAAGUAUUAAAAAAUACUAUAGCCGACGAAUAUCGUAUAAAUAUCGUCGGCUAAAGUUGCUGGUUUUUGAAAAAAAAACUGCAGAAACUUUCGGCCACCUCCAAUCACCACCAAAAUUUGAUAGAAUCUUCCUCGCAACAUUUCGAACAACUUUCUAGAAGAAGUCGAAGCCCAAUUCUAAGUCUAAACAGGUCAAUUGAAUCAAAAUAUAAAAAUCCCUAAUUUUAAACCCUAAAAACUUUAAAUCUUCGAUUCUCCUCACACACACCGAAUCGAGCUACCAAAUUCUAGGGGAAUGUAGUACUAAUCAAACUCAACUUAUCCAUAUAUAGAAGAAGUCGAAGCCCAAUUCUAAGUCUAAACAGGUCAAUUGAAUCAAAAUAUAAAAAUCCCUAAUUUUAAACCCUAAAAACUUCAAAUCUUCGAUUCUCCUCACACACACCGAAUCAAGCUACCAAAUUCUAAGAGAAUGUAGUACUAAUCAAACUCAACUUAUCCAUAUAUAGAACUCACCAAAUGGUGACCUGAGGAAGGAGAAAUUCGAUCGACACCGAAUCCGAACCGGCAGAGUUUUGGAGCUCGAUUUAUUCCUCACGGCGGCGCCACUCGAUGCACCACCUGUCCAACAAUGAAGUAGAGAUGACGACGAAGCUUUAGGGACAAGUGUGGCGGUCUCCGGUGGCUUGACGGCGGAGCUAGGCCGAGAAGAAAAACUCAAGUGUGGCAGUCUCAAGUUUGGUAAAACUCCUAUAUAAAGAACUUUACCCGAAAAUAUUUUUUAUUUUCGUCGGCUAAACUCUUUUGAAAAUUUUGGUUGACCGCCAAAAAAUUUUGGUUGAAAAUUUUCAAAAUUUUGAAAAAUUUUCGACUUUAGCUGACGACUUUUCAUAUAGCCGACAACUUUUUUGGUUUACCACAAAAAAAAUUUUCCUCCAAAUUUGGUUUACCACAAAAAAAUUUUGACCUUAGCCGACGACUUUUUUAAUAUCUCGUCGGCUAAAGUUUAUAAAUUCACGAAAACGCUCAUAUCUCCCUCUAUAUUACGUAGUUUGGUUAAACCUUCCACACGAAAAACUUUCACGUAGAUGAGACGCAACCGCCUAUAUAAAAAUUUUGAGACAUUUACCUUCCGACGAUAAGGCUCCCCAUAGGGAAUAAUAACUGUAAAUAGGGUUGACCGCUACUAUCGACACCGAGACGUUACCCGAUUUACGUGAUUUUUGAACCAUAACCGUAUUUCACCAUUCUGAACACAUCUUAUUUCACGAGAUUUUUGAUAAUUUUGCUUCCUAUGUAGAGUUGGUUCACAAAGUUGUAUAACCUACUAAACAAGUUAUACAACAUUAGUAGACACGUUGUGAUUCCGAUGACUAAAAUUCACAAACCAAAAUUCAACCGUCAGAUGUGAUCAUUAUGACGAAAGAUGUCUAUGGUUAAAAAUUCAACUGGAUUCGACAACAUUAAGGGCUCAACCGAAACGGUCAACCAUAAUCCAUCGUCACUUAUCACACGAAAACGCUCAUAUCUCCCUCUAUAUUACGUAGUUUGGUCAAACCUUCCACACGAAAAACUCUCAUGUAGAUGAGAUACAACUUCCCAUAUAAAAAUUUUGAGACAUUUACCUUCCGACGAUAGGGCUCCCCAUAGGGAAUAAUAAUGGUAAAUAGUAGACACGUUGUGAUUCCGAUGACUAAAAUUUACAAACCAAAAGUUGAUCAUCUGAUAUGAUCAUUAUGACGAAAAAUGUCUAUGGUAAAAAAUUCAACUGGAUUCGACAACGUUAAGGGCUCGAUCGAAACUGUCAACUCUAAUCGGAAAUAAGAAAACUACAUUUUGAAGCUCUAAACGGACUCGGAUGGCCAAAAAGGCCCGUAUGUCACGACAUUAGCCAUGAGUUUGACUCGUAGGGCUGUUACGCUUCCAGAAAGGUAUCACAGUAGUCAAUCAGACACCAAACGCCAAAUCUGCAGCAUAGUGAAUAAUAAGGGUAAAUUGCAUUGACCCCAACUAUCGGUACCGAGACUUUACCGGAAUACCAUGAUUUUUCAACCGUAGACGUAUUUCACCAUUCUGGUCAUAUCUUAUUUCACGACUUUUUUGCUUUUGAAGGUUCUACAUAUAGUUUUUUUUUCCCAGAUGAGUUGUUGUCCAGAUCUGCAAAUAUAAGGAACUUUAGCCGACGAAAUUAUAUUUUUCGUCGGCUAAACUUUUAAAAAUUUCGUCGGCUAAAGUUCACAGACUAUAGCCGACGAAAAAAAUUAUUCAGCCGACGAAAUUUUAAUUUCGUCGGCUAAAGUUGACUAUAGCCGACGAAAAUUUUAAAUUAGCCGACGAAAAAAUAAUUCGUCGGCCUGGUUUUUUUAUUUUCGUCGGCUAAAGUCUUUCUUCUAGUAGUGAUAUAUAUAUAUAUAUAUAUAUGCAUGCAUUCUUCAUGCACGUCCAUCACUUGGAAGAGAAUUCCACAAGUCUUCCUUGUUUCAUGCUCAAUGUUUCCAUGCCACAUUAAUGCAUGCUCUUCCAUUUCAAUCUUUACAGCCGGCCACCACACCUAUAUACAUAGGUUGCUCUCUUGCAUUUCAACAAAUGCAUGUUGCACCAACUAUGCUAGCUAUAGAAUAACAACUUACCUCAUUGUAGAUUGAUGGGCAUGAGGCAAUUGACUUCUCUUCCAAAUAAGGAUGGAUGUUUUUACCCAUCAAUCUCCCCCUCUUGACUUAAUUGGAAGGGUGCGUCAUCCCUGACACACUUCUGUAGAACUCGAACUUCUCUUUCGGUAGAGACUUCGUCAUCAUAUCUAAACUGUUCUUAUCUGUAUGAAUCUUCUUUAGCAGUAUCUCCUUAAUUAGCUUCCAUCACAUCACGUAUCCAAUGACACCUCACAUCAAUGUGCUUCGACCACGAGAGAAAACUUAAAUUCUUGCUCAAGUGAAUUGUGCUAUGAUUGUCACAAUGCAGGACAAACUCUUGUUGUGCAUGACCUAAUUCCAGUAGGAAUCUCUUCAACCACAUAAUAUCUUUGCACGCUUCCGUAGUUGCAAUAUAGUCUGCUUCUAUAGUUGAUAAAACAACACAUUUUUGUAGCUUUGAUUGCCAUGAGACAGAUACCCUGAUGUGGACUUUCUCGUGUCAAUAUCCCCGGCCAUAUCUGCAUCUGUGUAGCCAACUAGUUUAGACUUGUCAUUUCCAAAGCAUAGACUCAUCUUUGAAGUUCCCCGUAAGUAUCUUAGAAUCCACUUAACAACAUUUUAGUGCUCCUUGCCUGGAUUAGAUAAGAAUCUGCUAACAACACCAACGGCAUGUGUUAUGUCUGGUCUGAUACAAACCAUUGCGUACAUCAAGCUCCCUACUGCUGAGGCAUAUGGCACUGUUGCCAUUUCAUCCUCCUCUUUUUGACUUGUAGGACUCUACUUUGAGUUGAGCUUCAUGUGACUGACAAGUGGAGUAACAACUGGUUUUGCUUUCUCCUUGUGGAACCUCUCCAGUACCUUCUCGAUGUACUUUUCUUAUGACAACUACAAUUUCUUAUUCCCUCAAUCACGGGCAAUCUCCAUGCCCAAAAUCCGCUUGGCUGGUCCCAAAUCCUUCAUAUCAAAACAAUCUGACAAAUCUGUUUUUAAUUGCUGAAUUAUAGCAAUAUCUUUGCUAACAAUCAACAUAUCAUCUACAUAUAUAGAGUAGUAAGAUGAUAAAUUACCUCCAGCGGGUUGUUGAAUAUACACACACAGAUCAGCUGACGAUCUCUUGUACCCAUGACUCAUGAAGGAGUCAAACUUCUUGUACCACUGUCUUGGUCUUGCUUCAAUCCGUAUAAGCUUUUCUUCAACUUGCAAACCAUAUGCUCUUUUCGUUGACUUCAAAGUUUCUCUAUGUAUAUUUCUUCUUCUAAAUCACCGUGAAGAAAUGCAAUAUUCACUUCCAUUUGCUCCACCUCAAGAUCCAUGCUCAUAACCAUGCCCAAAAUGACUCUAAUCGAAGUCGAUCAUCUUGACAACAGGUGCGAAAAUCUCAUCAAAAUCGAUUCCUUCUUUAUGGCUGAAUCCUUUGACAACUAAACGAGCCUUGUACUUUGUCAACUUCUCAUUCUCAUCUCAGUUCAACUUAAACACCCACUUGUUCUUGAGUGCUUUCCAGCCUUUAGGAAGCUUCACCAACUUGUAGGUGUUGUUCUUCACUAAAGAUUCCAUCUCAUACUCCAUGGCUAGCCUCCAUUUAUCGUGGUCUUGAUGAAUCUUUGCUUCCUCAUAACUGUCAGGUUCUCUGUCACUGGUCAAAUUGUCAAAAGAAAGUAAUUUGUGUAAGGAUCAUCUCCAUCGUUAGUCACCAAAAUAUAUUGUGAUGAUGUAUACUUGGUGGAUGAAAUCGGUCUCCUGGUGCUUCUGCAAACUGCUACUUGAUUAUUCAUAGGCUGCUCCGCCUGAUCAAGCUCCCCCUCAUCUUCAGCUUCAACAUCAACCAUGUCUAGUACACCUUCAACUUUAUCACCUUGUAGCCCAACAUUAGAUUCUUGCUGCAACGAUUAAUCAAAAAUGUCGUUGUCAGUUGCUGCAUUUCUCGGUAGUACAUUUUUUUCAAAAUAUGCAAUUGAUUGGUUUUGAUGAAAGGCCACAUUUCUACUUCUUAUGAAUUUCUUCAUCUUUGGAUCCCACAACCGGUAACCAAACUCUUCAUCGCCAUAGCCAACAAAUAUGCAUGGCAACGCCAUGUCAUCCAACUUUGAUCUCUGCUCCCUAGAUACAUGUGUGAAUGCUUUACAUCCAAAUACUCUAAGAUGCGAGUAUGAUGCAUCUUUGCCGAUCCAAACUCCAUUUGGAGUCUCAAAUUCCAAAGGUACACACGGUGCUCUGUUUAUGAGGUAACACACAAUCUUCACGGCUUCUCCCCAAAAUUCUUUUGACAAUUGGCCAUUUUCAACAUGCAUAUGACUUUCUCCAUAAUUGUACGGUUCAUCCGCUCUACUAAACCAUUAUUGUGUACUCUCCGCCAUUGUCAAUGCGAAGGCAUUUCAAUUUUCUUCUAGUCUCUUUGGAAAAUUGUAAACGUUUGGAACACUUGGUGGUCUCCCUAAAACUUCCACUUGAAAAACCCUUCAAUAUCAUAACAAGAGACAAUUGAAGACAAAAUUAGAGCAUAAUAAGCACUAAAACACUCAAAUCUAGAUACAUUGUUCAUACCUCAUGGUAUAAAAAAUCUUAUUGCAAAGGAAAAUUUUUAACACAAUCAAUUUCAACCUACUGUAUACAUAUGCCUCUUGAAAGUAACCAAUAUAUAUAUUCCAAACAUCAAUUCAGAUCAAUAAUUAGGCAAAAUCACAACUUUUUUCUUCGAUCUGCACUAGCAUAUAUAUAUAUAUACACAUGUAUGUAUGUAUAUUAAUGAUAAAUGUUUUUUCUUUUAUGGGUGCUAAACUCUACAUACAUAUAUAUAUAUAUGGCAAUUUUUUUCUCUCCAAAAAAUGAGGUGGGCUGCAGCAUAUACCAACCCACCUUUAAUCCGUGCAUGCCCAGUACUCAACAUAAAUACGACUGCUCUACCUAUCUUCUAAAUCUCCGGCAUAUUCACUAUUAGCAUAGGCAACCAAUGAAGAUGGCUCUUUUGAAGAAUCAAUUAAGUUACAAUGUUACUAUGAAUUGUAGAUUCAAUAUUAGCUUAAUAGUAACAUUGUAAACAACAUAUGAAUACUUUAAGACAGAAGAGAAUCAGAUGGAUUGUUUUGAGGAGAAGAUUGAGGUUGUCUAACACAACUACGUACUGUACUUAUCUUCAGACAUACCUUUUAUGUUUUCCAUUUGAUCGAUAGCAAAAGCUCGAAUCCAAGCAUGCCCUCGAGAUAUCAAGCUUUUCCAAUAAAUCCUCCACGUUCACCAUGAAAAUGCCCUCGGAGAUGUUUUUCUUCUUCUGGUUAUGUUAUGAAACUAGAAGGAAGUUGUGAAGUUCACCAUUUAUAUUCAGUUUUUCUUAAACAACUUAAAGUAAAUGUAGGACUGCAUUUGAUGAAUGUGUUACCAGAUAUAGAAACUUUUGUUACCAGAACCCUUGUAUCUAUAUAUAUAUAUGUGCAAAGAUCUUGAUUCAAGUUGAAGUUUAAAUCAAUGCACUAGCUAGUGCAAUUGAUCCCCAACUAACCAUCAUGCAACGCUCUGAUGGCUCAAGCGGUAAAUCUCUCGAUGAAGUAUUUCAUAUGAUGUCUAUUAUUUACGUAAGUAAUGGGUAUAUAUAACUAUAUGUAUAUGUAGAUAUCUAUAUUCAAGUUGAUGUUUAAAACGAUUUAACUUUCAUAUAUUAAAAAGAGAAGUAAAAUAAUCAAAAGUCUAAGUUGGUAACCGAAAAGAGCAUAUAGAAACUUCUACGUUAGUUUUCUAUAUAGGUUAAUAAUCUUAGCGGUUGUGUUUAGUAUUUACUGUGAAAAAGAGUUCAAGUUAGCAACGUUCAACUAAUUAAUAGAUGGAUAGCAACAUGACUCCCUAAGCUUCCAUAAAGCUUGGUGUUAAAUUCUAGAGAAUGAUAUCAUGCUAGACAAGAAAAUAUGAGCUCAAAUAUAAGCCAAAACCUAUAAAAUAUCUCUAGAUAAUGAAACUCAUAUCACAACAACAACAUGUAGAAACUCAUAUCACAACAUUUACUAAACCAUGAGGCAUCUAUUUGAUCUCUAGAUAUUAAUCUAGUUAAAGUCUAUUCAAAUUGAGGUUCAAUAUUAGAGAUCAAAAUGGUUAAUAACUUAUUCAACUACACACCAAUAAUUCUAAAAGUAAAUUGAUUCACAUGUUGUUGAUUUUGUCAUCUCUUAUCCAGUUACCAAUAAAGAGACAAAAAAGAAAAAAGUUUUAAUUCGACAAGUAAAUACACGUUAUAAGCUAUAGAUUUCCUUAUAAAACAAAAUCCAUAAAUUAAGAUUUUAUUUAGGCAUGUCAGUGAGCCGUGGCUUGGUUGGUUAAGGUGUUUAACUGACAACUUUGAUGUCAUGGGUUCAAACCUCACUGACAUAUGUAGGGUGUGUGAGUUAUUAAUAAAAACGUUUUAAAAAAAAAAAAAGAUUUUAUUUAGGCAUGACAUCGGUACAAGAUUUAAUAUGAAUGUGAAAUAUGGGUAAAAAAAAAACUUGGUAUACGAAGAGGUAAUGUACCUUAAAAAAAGAUGAGAUUUUAAUUUAAUAAGACAAAACUAACAACAAAAUAACAGAUUGAUUGAUUGAUCUUGAUAAAAUUGUUGAUGUAAUAUAUAUGAAUUACUUUAUCUUUAAUUAGGAAAUCGUUGUUAUUUUCUAUAUGAUUAAAUUGAUUUUAGUUUCAGGAAUGAAAUGUUUCUAAUAAUAAUUCAUUGUUUGAGAGGCAUUUAUGAAAAUAUUAUGGAAGUGUAGAUAGCAUAUUGUUUCUUUGUAAAAGGAUGAUGGAGGCAUAUUAAGUAGGGAGGUUCAAGUGCAAUUUAUUGGAGAUCGAUAUCAAACAAUAUAGUUCACUAAUUAAAAAAAAAAUCAACAUUAUAACAUUUGAUAAAAUUUUGAUAAUAAAUGUUUAAGACAGAAGAACAUACCACUUAAAUUGAAAUCUACACUUUUGAUAAAAAAUACAAUCUUUAAUUAUUGAAUGUGCAUCAUAAUUCUUGGUUGCUUGAUAAUUAUGAUCAGACAUUAUAUUUGAGUACUUAAUUAGUCAUCAAUUCAUCAACAAUGACAAAUGCAACAAGAAAGCCAACUAAUUAAGUAAAUAAUGAACAAUAUAUUACAAAAUCAAAAGCUAAGCACACAAACACAAUUCUGACAAUUGAUUAGAUGAAUCCUUAAUCUCAAACCUUAAUUGGAAAAGAAAGAUAUAAUCGACCAACCCAUCUUCUAAAAAAAGGAAAGAUACAAGCGAAGAACUACGAAAUCAUCAAAUGAGAUUCAAAUUGAUUUUAUUGAGGAAUUAAACAAUUGGGAACUAAAAUUAAUAUAUACAUAUAUAUUACCUGCUCUGCGACAACCGAUUUGGGGCAACAGACGUCCACCCACAAAAAGGGUCAUCGCAACUGAGAAUAAUAGUGGGAAUGGUGCGGGGACUGAGAGAAAAACUAGUGAACGCCAACUAGACUGACGGCUCGUAUGACCGCUCUGGGUUGAGAGUUAUUGACGAGUACUGCUCUGUCAAGCUUAACUACCCCCUUGAGAAUUGGAUGUUCGAGGAAGAAGAGUAAGGUAACGGCGAAGAGUGAACUGGCCAAGAAUAUGAUAUGCGUUGUCUGUGUUCUUUGUAACGUGUUUUCUUAUAGAUUUGUCAUUUGGCUAAUAUGAAUGUUUGUUUUACGUUCGAGUAACGUAGUUCUUUUUGUUUUCUAUUAAUGUGAUUUAAGCUUGUCUGUUCUUUGUGUUUAAAUUUCAUUUAGUUAGCCAAGAGUAAAGUCGAUGGAAUUGUCUAGAUGCCCUUUGGGGAUAUUGAUCAAAUUAUGUUAAUUGUUCUUGAUUGUUUUGUUGUCUGUGUUUCUCUUCUACUCUCAAUUUUACAAAAAAAAAAAAAACCAGAAGUAUGAAAACAAUUUAAAAUUAUUUACAUAGUUCAUUAAUAAAUGACAGACCCUCUACAUAACUCAAGGGUAGUUCACUUAACAUAACUCAUAACUCAAGGGUAGUUCAUUUGACAUAACUGAUCACAUAUAUCAAGACAUUGUUACUUUGUGAUCAGCUAGUUUUAGGGGUGGGUUUCGUUUUGUUCGGUUCGGUUUUCACCUAAAACCAAAAACCAAACCGAAUAAAAAAUUCAAUUCGGCUUGACAUUUUUAAGACAUUGAACCGAAAACCAAACCACACCGUGGUUCGGUUCGGUUUCAGUUUUUCUUCUUUUUUCUAAAUAACUCACUACAAAAAAUAAUUCUAUUGGCUACCCCGAUUAACGUCUGCGUGCAUAUGCCAUCGCCAAUGAUCAGCUAGUUAUACAUAAUGGUUCAAAGAGUUCUAAACAAGCAAUGAAGCUGAUAAUGAAGACAUUGAUUUGCUGUGUGUUAGUCUACUCCAAGCUCUUACUGCCAAAUUGGUCAAAUCAACAAGUGAAGUGUGAAUGAGCUAAAGCUUAAGGUAUACAUAAACCUAUGCAUCAGUUCUCUACUCAUAAUUAGAUAGUGAUAAUCUUUUGUCUCGCUUAAAUUUUGAACUGUAAUGCAUACAGAUAUAUUAGUAUAUCUGAACAUUCUUCAUAUAUAUGGUAUUUUGGAGUAACCCUUGCUUUUGUUAUUGUGAAGUCAAGAAACUAUGUUGUGAAGAAGGUUGUGUAGUUUACUGAGAACCAAUUUGUUAGUAGUCAAGAAGCUAUGUUAUACUAUACAGUACCUCUUAUACAUGCUAAAUUUUAGAGUCAUUCACGCUCAUUUCAUUUCAUGGGAUUAAUAAUCAUGUUGUUAGUACUUUUGAGCUGGUAGAUUUGGCUAGUUUGAUUCUUGUAUCUAAUGGAUGGAAGGUUUGAAACAUCUAAGUUGGUAGAAAUAUGGUAAUAUAUACCAAUUUUCUAAUAAUAUAGUGCUUCUCAAUUUCAGUUAUCUAUCUAAGUUUUGUGUUUAACUCUUCUAGGGUCCCUUUUGAGGACAUGGUCUAGAAUUAGGCACUAAGCAGUUUAUUCAGGUGCAUUAUGUCCAAAACAUUAUGUCUGAAACUCCAUUUAAUUCUUAUUGUGCUCAAGGAAUUGGCUCUCUUCUGGUGUGUCUACACAAGCUUGCUCAUUCCUACCAGUCUCUUCACCUUCGUUGUUUUUGUAUAUCACUUCCAUGAGGAAAGAAUCAGGUACUUACUCAGCUUGACAUUAAAUUUAUUUGGUUUGCUGACUUGCUUUGGCAUUUCAUGUGGCGUGUUUGCAUGUUAUUUGAUUUGCUUAAUUACUUGCUUUGACAUUCAGUAUAAGAGUUUUGUUUUGGCCUUUUGUUUCAAAUGCUGAAAGUUUUGUUUGGCUUUGUCUUGUGGCUUCAAGGUUUAAUAUGCGAUGAAAAGUUUAUCAUAUAGGUAAUGCUUAAGAGAAUCAAAUCAAGAUUGGUGAGCAGCUUCUGUUUCAGUCUUAGAGGAGAGACAGAUAACUACCUUGAAGCUUUAUGAUCUUGUAAACUUGCUUCAUUUUCUUGUAAACUUCUGUAGAAGCUUCAUUCCUUUUGUAACAUUAUUGAGAAAGAUUAAAACGUACCAUUCCCAGCAUUAGGCUUAUUCUUUCUUGUAUGGUUUUUAUGCAAUAAAAAAUAAAAAUUUGCAAUGUAUAUUGUAUGUCAAUUUUUUUAUUAUUUAUAAACAGUUUUUUGGCCAUGACGUUGUUACCGUCGCAAAGCAUCCGUCACAAAUACUGGUUUCGCCAAUAGUAUUGGCUACGGCAAUUAUACCGUCGCAUCUUCUUGCGACGACAUAGAUUUGCCGUCGCUAAUGCUCUUGCGACGGCGUAUUUGCCGUAGCCCAUAGCAUUGGCGACACCACUAUUUGCGACGGAUGCUUUACCGUCACGAAUGCUCUUUUGCGACGGCAAAAGGGCUAUUAGCGACGGUUUUGCGCCAUCGCUAAAAUACUUUUUUUUUGUAGUGACUUUUUGUAAAAAAACUAUCGUACUUUAGGUCUUUUUUUCUUUUUUUUCUUGAGUUCAUUACUUGUUUUUAUAAGCACAUAUAAUAUAUCAAUAAAAUGUAUGACAAUGAUUCUCCCACAAACCAACAAUCUAUAAAAAUGUAACCAAAUAGAUACAUUGAAAGUUUAAUAAUACUUAAUAAUUUCGAAAGUAUUGGGAAUUGAUCACACUAGCACACCAUGAUACCAUAAUUUUAAAACUUUUAAGUUCAUCUUAAACAAAAAAUAUAUACUCUAUAGUUUAAAGUCCAUUCAAAUAAAUUCCGAAUUUUAAAGUUUAAAAAUCAUAAAUUUGAAUAAAAAAGAGAAAAAAAUAAAUAAAUAUUAGAGUGUCAAUCAUCUGAACCUCGCAAAAAUGAGGUCUUCAUGUUUAAAGGUAACAUAUCACUCCCUAUACUUCGCAUACACGACACCUACAACAUUUCUAUAUGUACAUAAAAUGAAAAUAAAAAGCAAAAUAUUAGAAAAGAUAAACAUAUGAUUAUAUAGAACGUAAAACCUAAAAUCAUAUUCUUCAAAUCAUACAUUUAAUAAGAAAAUAAAGACAAAAACGACAUCAUUUUAGAGGGAUUCAUUUUUUCAAUUCGGUUCAGUUUUUCAAGGGCUGAAACCAAAAACCAAUCAAAACUAAUUAGGUUUGGUUCGUUUUUUUUUAAUUCGGUGUAGUUUUUUCCAGUUUCGGUUUACUUUUCGGCUCGGUUUUGUUCGGUUUUCAAUUUCAAAAUUCCAACCCUACCUAGCUUGUUGCAUAUCAUCAAGCAACACCCAUCCCAAAUUAACCAUCAUGCAAAACCAUGCGUCUAGCGGGGAUCAUUCUAACAGAACCUCUGACAAAAUCCUCACCCGCUAUAUUGAAGUACUUAAUUGAAGAACUUAAGUAGAUAGUGUUCCAGAAGGACUAACUCUUGCAACUAUGAAUAUUCUCGUGAAGAUCAAUGCAGCUAUGAACCCCAAAACCCACUAGUCGUAUUGAAUUGUUGUGAUUAUUGUAUGAGCUGGGGUGAUCUCCAUUUGUUUCACCAUCACUCUUCAGUGUGUCCGGUGCAAACAAAACACAGGUGUUUUGUGUCUCAAAGCUAGCAUCUCAAGUGUUGAUGAGUUGGUUCCAGGGAAGAAGAACCAUUUGAUUAAGACUUGCCCUUCUUCGUGCAUGGACUCUACUAAGGUCUGGAUCCUCCGUAGGGGAUGGAGAGUUGUUGUUCUGGGUGUGGAGACUCCCAUGCUAGAGGUGGAACCGUGGAAGUGGAUGGUGACCUUGAAGCAGUUUGCGAUAAGAUUGUAAGUGGUUAUUCCUUUGAUUUAGGCAUCUUUGAUAUAGAGGGUGGUCGUACGCACUAUGCAGAGGAGGUUUUCAGUCGAAGACAAAACAUAAAAGGGCGUUGGAACUUUAGAGUAUGGGAGGAUGAAGAGAUGACUGUUAUGUUGGGCGAGGUGCGGGGAUUGAGAGCCAAUUGGGUAAACGUCAGCUGGGAGGACAGUUAAUAUGACAAAUUAGGGUUGAGAAUCACCAAUGAGUACUGCUCUAUCAAACAGAACUAUCCUGCUGAGGAUUGGACGUCAGGAGAAGACCAGAUUGGUGAGGAGUAUCCAUCAGCUCGUUGCUCAAGAUUAUCAAUAUGUAUCUUCUAUUUUACUAUGUUUUCUGAGUUUUUUUUUUCCCUCUUCUUGGUCUUAUGCUUGUCUAUCAGUGUAUAUGUUUAAAUUCCUAAUUUCGGUAAUUACCUAGCUCCUCUUAUGUUAUCUAAACAAGGUACGUGCUCGCGCACUGCUGUGGUUUGCGAUACCAGUUAUUGACUCACCUUAAAUGCUUUUGUGUUGAAUAAUUAAAACUAAGAAUUAAGAUAGUGUAAUACAUAUAUAUAAAAGAGAAAAGAGAUGGCUAAUGGUGUUUUGGAUUAAAUGAUCAUUACGAAAGUAAGAAUAUGAAUAAAUGACUUAACAAAACAGCUAACGAUCACAAGAAUAAACUAUACAAUUGUGCAUAUUUUAUUUGCAAACUGUGUCAUUCAACAUACUUGCAUUCAAGAUCAGAUGCUUGUGAGUUGCAUCAGAAACAUGAACAUCUGCAUAAAAAUGAAUUGAGUGGAGAACCCAACUGUCUCUUGAUGCAAACCAAGUAAAAGUUAAAAACAAUCAAUAGCUGUUCAACCAAAUCUAUAAAACGUACUUCAUAGACACUACUACAGAUUUGUCAACACACAACGGUGGAACACCGUUGUGUGACUAUAGGUUUUCCGUUGUAUAUCUCGGGCUUGUCUGAUUGAAUCUUCAGACAAGUGUGAAAAUCACCGUUGUGUGAUCAUAUUUUGCUCAACAGUUCAAUACUUUCGUUGUAUAAGUCGCUGCGCAGAUCGAUGCCAUGCGCGGCAUCGACAAGUCCACUCAGACAACAAACAAUAUAACAUUUUCGUUGUAUUUUUACCCCUUUCAGAUAACUAUUGGUUUUCAUUUCCUUCGUUGUGUGUUUUUCAGUAAGCUACAACAGUUUAUUCCCUAUCUUUACUGUUGUGUGACGUUGAAUAACCUACAACUGUAAUUUUUGGACCGUUGUAUCACACAAUAGAAACUGCUUUCUUGUUUGAUGAGAAUCAUACAACAGUUGCAUUUUCAUGUGGACAGACUCUAUUGUCCAAGUUUUACACACAUAAGCAUCCCAAAAGAAACUGCUGCACAAAUUGACUGAUACCAUAAAACAUUGCAUUUCAGCUUCCAUAUAUAUCAUUCAAGCUUCCACAAACAACAUUACAGCUGAAUGAUAAACUGAAAACAAGCAACUAGUUAAGCUCCUAGAUAGUCUUACAUGUCCAAAAACAUUCCAACAUGAGAAAUGCACAAAGUACGUACUCGUACCAUAUAGCUGUUCCGAAUAUAUAAAAACACCAAGUUCAAAAGCAAAGUACUACCACAUACAUAUAGNNNNNNNNNNNNNNNNNNNNNNNNNNNNNNNNNNNNNNNNNNNNNNNNNNNNNNNNNNNNNNNNNNNNNNNNNNNNNNNNNNNNNNNNNNNNNNNNNNNNNNNNNNNNNNNNNNNNNNNNNNNNNNNNNNNNNNNNNNNNNNNNNNNNNNNNNNNNNNNNNNNNNNNNNNNNNNNNNNNNNNNNNNNNNNNNNNNNNNNNNNNNNNNNNNNNNNNNNNNNNNNNNNNNNNNNNNNNNNNNNNNNNNNNNNNNNNNNNNNNNNNNNNNNNNNNNNNNNNNNNNNNNNNNNNNNNNNNNNNNNNNNNNNNNNNNNNNNNNNNNNNNNNNNNNNNNNNNNNNNNNNNNNNNNNNNNNNNNNNNNNNNNNNNNNNNNNNNNNNNNNNNNNNNNNNNNNNNNNNNNNNNNNNNNNNNNNNNNNNNNNNNNNNNNNNNNNNNNNNNNNNNNNNNNNNNNNNNNNNNNNNNNNNNNNNNNNNNNNNNNNNNNNNNNNNNNNNNNNNNNNNNNNNNNNNNNNNNNNNNNNNNNNNNNNNNNNNNNNNNNNNNNNNNNNNNNNNNNNNNNNNNNNNNNNNNNNNNNNNNNNNNNNNNNNNNNNNNNNNNNNNNNNNNNNNNNNNNNNNNNNNNNNNNNNNNNNNNNNNNNNNNNNNNNNNNNNNNNNNNNNNNNNNNNNNNNNNNNNNNNNNNNNNNNNNNNNNNNNNNNNNNNNNNNNNNNNNNNNNNNNNNNNNNNNNNNNNNNNNNNNNNNNNNNNNNNNNNNNNNNNNNNNNNNNNNNNNNNNNNNNNNNNNNNNNNNNNNNNNNNNNNNNNNNNNNNNNNNNNNNNNNNNNNNNNNNNNNNNNNNNNNNNNNNNNNNNNNNNNNNNNNNNNNNNNNNNNNNNNNNNNNNNNNNNNNNNNNNNNNNNNNNNNNNNNNNNNNNNNNNNNNNNNNNNNNNNNNNNNNNNNNNNNNNNNNNNNNNNNNNNNNNNNNNNNNNNNNNNNNNNNNNNNNNNNNNNNNNNNNNNNNNNNNNNNNNNNNNNNNNNNNNNNNNNNNNNNNNNNNNNNNNNNNNNNNNNNNNNNNNNNNNNNNNNNNNNNNNNNNNNNNNNNNNNNNNNNNNNNNNNNNNNNNNNNNNNNNNNNNNNNNNNNNNNNNNNNNNNNNNNNNNNNNNNNNNNNNNNNNNNNNNNNNNNNNNNNNNNNNNNNNNNNNNNNNNNNNNNNNNNNNNNNNNNNNNNNNNNNNNNNNNNNNNNNNNNNNNNNNNNNNNNNNNNNNNNNNNNNNNNNNNNNNNNNNNNNNNNNNNNNNNNNNNNNNNNNNNNNNNNNNNNNNNNNNNNNNNNNNNNNNNNNNNNNNNNNNNNNNNNNNNNNNNNNNNNNNNNNNNNNNNNNNNNNNNNNNNNNNNNNNNNNNNNNNNNNNNNNNNNNNNNNNNNNNNNNNNNNNNNNNNNNNNNNNNNNNNNNNNNNNNNNNNNNNNNNNNNNNNNNNNNNNNNNNNNNNNNNNNNNNNNNNNNNNNNNNNNNNNNNNNNNNNNNNNNNNNNNNNNNNNNNNNNNNNNNNNNNNNNNNNNNNNNNNNNNNNNNNNNNNNNNNNNNNNNNNNNNNNNNNNNNNNNNNNNNNNNNNNNNNNNNNNNNNNNNNNNNNNNNNNNNNNNNNNNNNNNNNNNNNNNNNNNNNNNNNNNNNNNNNNNNNNNNNNNNNNNNNNNNNNNNNNNNNNNNNNNNNNNNNNNNNNNNNNNNNNNNNNNNNNNNNNNNNNNNNNNNNNNNNNNNNNNNNNNNNNNNNNNNNNNNNNNNNNNNNNNNNNNNNNNNNNNNNNNNNNNNNNNNNNNNNNNNNNNNNNNNNNNNNNNNNNNNNNNNNNNNNNNNNNNNNNNNNNNNNNNNNNNNNNNNNNNNNNNNNNNNNNNNNNNNNNNNNNNNNNNNNNNNNNNNNNNNNNNNNNNNNNNNNNNNNNNNNNNNNNNNNNNNNNNNNNNNNNNNNNNNNNNNNNNNNNNNNNNNNNNNNNNNNNNNNNNNNNNNNNNNNNNNNNNNNNNNNNNNNNNNNNNNNNNNNNNNNNNNNNNNNNNNNNNNNNNNNNNNNNNNNNNNNNNNNNNNNNNNNNNNNNNNNNNNNNNNNNNNNNNNNNNNNNNNNNNNNNNNNNNNNNNNNNNNNNNNNNNNNNNNNNNNNNNNNNNNNNNNNNNNNNNNNNNNNNNNNNNNNNNNNNNNNNNNNNNNNNNNNNNNNNNNNNNNNNNNNNNNNNNNNNNNNNNNNNNNNNNNNNNNNNNNNNNNNNNNNNNNNNNNNNNNNNNNNNNNNNNNNNNNNNNNNNNNNNNNNNNNNNNNNNNNNNNNNNNNNNNNNNNNNNNNNNNNNNNNNNNNNNNNNNNNNNNNNNNNNNNNNNNNNNNNNNNNNNNNNNNNNNNNNNNNNNNNNNNNNNNNNNNNNNNNNNNNNNNNNNNNNNNNNNNNNNNNNNNNNNNNNNNNNNNNNNNNNNNNNNNNNNNNNNNNNNNNNNNNNNNNNNNNNNNNNNNNNNNNNNNNNNNNNNNNNNNNNNNNNNNNNNNNNNNNNNNNNNNNNNNNNNNNNNNNNNNNNNNNNNNNNNNNNNNNNNNNNNNNNNNNNNNNNNNNNNNNNNNNNNNNNNNNNNNNNNNNNNNNNNNNNNNNNNNNNNNNNNNNNNNNNNNNNNNNNNNNNNNNNNNNNNNNNNNNNNNNNNNNNNNNNNNNNNNNNNNNNNNNNNNNNNNNNNNNNNNNNNNNNNNNNNNNNNNNNNNNNNNNNNNNNNNNNNNNNNNNNNNNNNNNNNNNNNNNNNNNNNNNNNNNNNNNNNNNNNNNNNNNNNNNNNNNNNNNNNNNNNNNNNNNNNNNNNNNNNNNNNNNNNNNNNNNNNNNNNNNNNNNNNNNNNNNNNNNNNNNNNNNNNNNNNNNNNNNNNNNNNNNNNNNNNNNNNNNNNNNNNNNNNNNNNNNNNNNNNNNNNNNNNNNNNNNNNNNNNNNNNNNNNNNNNNNNNNNNNNNNNNNNNNNNNNNNNNNNNNNNNNNNNNNNNNNNNNNNNNNNNNNNNNNNNNNNNNNNNNNNNNNNNNNNNNNNNNNNNNNNNNNNNNNNNNNNNNNNNNNNNNNNNNNNNNNNNNNNNNNNNNNNNNNNNNNNNNNNNNNNNNNNNNNNNNNNNNNNNNNNNNNNNNNNNNNNNNNNNNNNNNNNNNNNNNNNNNNNNNNNNNNNNNNNNNNNNNNNNNNNNNNNNNNNNNNNNNNNNNNNNNNNNNNNNNNNNNNNNNNNNNNNNNNNNNNNNNNNNNNNNNNNNNNNNNNNNNNNNNNNNNNNNNNNNNNNNNNNNNNNNNNNNNNNNNNNNNNNNNNNNNNNNNNNNNNNNNNNNNNNNNNNNNNNNNNNNNNNNNNNNNNNNNNNNNNNNNNNNNNNNNNNNNNNNNNNNNNNNNNNNNNNNNNNNNNNNNNNNNNNNNNNNNNNNNNNNNNNNNNNNNNNNNNNNNNNNNNNNNNNNNNNNNNNNNNNNNNNNNNNNNNNNNNNNNNNNNNNNNNNNNNNNNNNNNNNNNNNNNNNNNNNNNNNNNNNNNNNNNNNNNNNNNNNNNNNNNNNNNNNNNNNNNNNNNNNNNNNNNNNNNNNNNNNNNNNNNNNNNNNNNNNNNNNNNNNNNNNNNNNNNNNNNNNNNNNNNNNNNNNNNNNNNNNNNNNNNNNNNNNNNNNNNNNNNNNNNNNNNNNNNNNNNNNNNNNNNNNNNNNNNNNNNNNNNNNNNNNNNNNNNNNNNNNNNNNNNNNNNNNNNNNNNNNNNNNNNNNNNNNNNNNNNNNNNNNNNNNNNNNNNNNNNNNNNNNNNNNNNNNNNNNNNNNNNNNNNNNNNNNNNNNNNNNNNNNNNNNNNNNNNNNNNNNNNNNNNNNNNNNNNNNNNNNNNNNNNNNNNNNNNNNNNNNNNNNNNNNNNNNNNNNNNNNNNNNNNNNNNNNNNNNNNNNNNNNNNNNNNNNNNNNNNNNNNNNNNNNNNNNNNNNNNNNNNNNNNNNNNNNNNNNNNNNNNNNNNNNNNNNNNNNNNNNNNNNNNNNNNNNNNNNNNNNNNNNNNNNNNNNNNNNNNNNNNNNNNNNNNNNNNNNNNNNNNNNNNNNNNNNNNNNNNNNNNNNNNNNNNNNNNNNNNNNNNNNNNNNNNNNNNNNNNNNNNNNNNNNNNNNNNNNNNNNNNNNNNNNNNNNNNNNNNNNNNNNNNNNNNNNNNNNNNNNNNNNNNNNNNNNNNNNNACUUUCAAUUUGGUGAUGGGGGGAAUCUUUCCGCUAAAAUUUUCAUAAAUCACACAAGAGAAAAUUAGCAUCAUUGUUGUGUUUUGAACUCUUGAAAUAUAACCUGACAAUUUCGUGUCAUCAGACAACAAAACUUUGUAACUUUGCGUUGUAUAUAACAGUUCACUUCAUCAGACAACUAGGGAACCCUAAAAGGUUGUCUGAUGAGUGUUGUCUGAUAACAUUUUUGUAGUAGUGAGAGAAUUGUGUUCUUUGCUAUUGGUAAGGUCAUUUGUUGUUAUAGCAUUCACACAUUCACAUUGUGCUACUGACCAAUAAAUUCAAUCAUAAAUGACAGUUUAAUUUCUUUGAAUUUCUAAACAUAUGAACUUUUAGUGACUACAAUAACUAAAUUUCUAUACAUAUUCAUACCUGAAGACUUUGUUGUCAUUCAUCUGUAUACAUGCAUGAGAAAGCAUUAUGUGUGAUCCAAUUUACAUCUGCAAGAGCCGAAAUGGGAAAGAACGCAAAGUAUUAUUUGCGAAGCUUAGUUGGUACACAUGUUACCCAAUUAAACAUAGGUUGAUCAAGGUUGCAUCAUAAAUAUAUAACUAAGCAAUUCAGUGUGGGAAUAUCAUGAAUUGCUUGAGUAUAGGCAGACCUGCAAACAAAAGAAAAAACUAACUAUUAUAAUUAAGAUGACACAACAUUACAUGACAAUGUAAAUAUCUAUUAUAAUUAUGAUGUCACAACAUUACACAACAAUGUAAAUAUCCGAAUAGCACCAAGAUAAAGUAUAUAGCUUAGAUAUUAUAGAUAAAAUAUAAGAAGUGAAAAAAAAUUAUUUAGGAUACAGUGUGGUUUUGUUAGAUGAUUCAGUUUUUUUCGUUUGAACAAAAAUUACCAUAAUUUUCUAAACAUAUGAAAUGUCACACCCCAAUUUUUGAAAGAUAAUUUUUCGAAAAUUUGGGCAUGAUCGAUAUACCUUAAAAUAUUAAAAUCCUAAAACCUGUUUCAAAACAAACUUUAAAGAAACUAAAACUCAAUGUGGAAAUGUAAAUGUCACACAUCUCAACACUAAGUUAAAUAUUACAUUUCCUUGUUUACAUAAACUUAAAAAUCAAGAAAAUGUAAACACUCACAUGAGUUUUAAUAAUGUCUACCCCAAAUAUAAAAAUAUACAGUGUACAGCAAAACCCAACAAAAAAUCCCGCCACUAAGCCUCCGCCUCAACCCUGCUGAUCCUCACCAGCAGGUCUAACCCCUACACCAAGAAUUGGUAUACCGGGUUGUAAACAACAAACCCGGUAAGCUAAAAAGCCCGUAUGAGUAAUUCUCAAAAUAACACAAAACCUCCAACAUCCAAUUAUAUCACAAGAGCAAUUUAUAUCAAUAAUUAAAUCCAUAAUUCCAACAUUUUUUCAAAUAACAUGUACCCAUGAGUCCUAAGUAUUAAUAAAUACCCCUCAUGACCUACAACAACAAAUUGUGUACCCAUGGGUCCCAAAUACCAUAAGGUAUCUCCCAUGACCUACACCGACAGACGGACUAGAGCUCUAUUCCUAACCGCAACCAAUCACCCGGCUAAAGGCUUAGAACCCGGUUUGACUGUCCAAUAUUAAAACAUAAAAUAAUAAAUAGCAUCUUAACCGUAACCAAUCACCCGAUUAAGGGCUUAGAACCCGGUUUGGUUAUUUAUCAAACAAUUCACAAUAUCACAACAUCAUCAUCAACAAUACAAGAUCAUAUCAUAAAUUAUAUCCUUCCACAUAGAUAUAUUUACAUGAACAAAUAUAGAUAUUCCAUAAGAAUAAUCUAUCAAUAAUCACUAAAAUUAUGAUCAUAUGAACCUUAAAAUAACACAUAAGGAAAACUUGUUUUAUCCCACCUAUGAGCCGUCGGCGAUCAAGCUCCACUACUACAAAAACGUUAUCAGACAACACUCAUCAGACAACCUUUUAGGGUUCCCUACUUGUCUGAUGAAGUGAACUGUUAUACACAACGCAAAGUUACAAAGUUUUGUUGUCUGAUGACACGAAAUUGUCAGAUUAUAUUUCAAGACUUCAAAACACAACAAUGAUGCUAAUUUUCUGUUGUAUGAUUUAUGAAAAUUUUGGCGGAAGGAUUCCCCCCAUCACCAAAUCGAAAGUCGUGCAAUAUGCAAAAUGUUUGGACAAUAGACUUUUAUUUCUUUGUUGUAUAAUGUUGUUACAAUUUAUACUAGGCAAUACCUAUAGUGCAAGUUUAGAAAAUAUAUACAAAAGUUUAAAACAUUCUGUUGUGUGACUGGAAAAUCUGGUGGCAUGCCAAAAUCGUUUUGGCUCCAAAGUUUGCCUCCAUUGAUUUGGUGUGCUAUGCCAAAAUAGUUUUGGAUACAAAGUUUCCCUCCAGGUAUAUAUUCUGUUGUGUGAAAAAGUUAGACAAAUUUAAUAACGUACCCACCAACCCUAAACGAUAUCCCACACUCUCACUCUCUCGCAUUAUCGCUGUCUCUCUCUCUCUCUCUNNNNNNNNNNNNNNNNNNNNACCUACCUACCUACCUCUCUCUCUCUCUCUCUCUCUCUCUCUCUCUCUCUCUCUCUCUCUCUCUCUCUCUCCUCCUCUCUCUCUCUCUCUCUCUCUCUCUCUCUCUCUCGCAUUCAUUCACCCUAAACCCACCAAACAGAUCGAUUCUCAACUCUCACUCUCAAACAGAUCGAGACUCUCGCCCUCUCACUCUCAACGGUAAGCCCUCUCUCUCUCAAUGUUGUCUCAACUCUCACUCUGUCGCCCUCUCUCUCACUCUUCUCUCAAAUCGAUUGAAUCUCUCAAAUGAUUCAAUCUCUCUUCUCUCUUUUAUAACUGUGCACAGCGAGGUGAGGCCGGUCGCGGUGGCUAGGGCUCAGUUCGGUUCAAUGAUUCAAUCUUUUGAUUUUGCAUGCAGGAGGUUUGUUUCUGGUAGAGGUUUUUUGCUAGUGGAUUCAACUGGAGGUAUGUCAUCUCCUCUCUUCUCUUCUCUUCGAUUUGUUCAGAGAAUAACCCAGAACCAUGGAUGUAGUACAAGACGUUGUGAUUGUGGGAGCUGGAAUCUCUGGCCUCACAACCUCCUUGGGACUUCAACCAGACUCGCUCUCUUAUACUCUUUGCUUUGUCUGUGUGAAGAUUUUGUGUUUCGAGAUUUUUCGGAUCAAAUUCCGAUCUCUCCGUCGCUGGAAGCUAUGCCAUCGCCGGCGGGUGUGCAGUGACGAUUCCAGUUGGUGUUUCCAGUCACGAGCUUUCAUCAACUGCGCCAUGGAAGGUACUAUUUCCUCUCAUUUUCAAGUGUUUGAGGUCGUCUGUUACUCUAUCUAUCUCUCUCGGUUUGGUUGCUGAUGCGAAACUAAGUUCGAAAAUAUAAUGAUGAAUUUGAGCUCUGAGCUUUUUGAGUUCUGAAUUGAAUAACGGAGAGGACUAUUACUCUUCAGUAAGUGAUGAACAAAGCUCAGAUUUGAGCUAUGUAGCUUUUGAUAUAUAUAUUUCGAUUUGUUCAGCAACUAAACAAAGGUGUGGAUUUUUUGCAGAGUAACUAUGAAACUGAUCAGAAUUUCUUUUUCUCUCUUCGUGUUUCGCCUUGUUUUUCUCAUAUAUAGUUAAAGGUUUUGUCAUCUUCUUCUUCUUCCGGUUCGUUUUGGUGAGGAUCCUGAAUAAGGAAAUUUAUUUUAGUUGAAGCAUCUCUCUGAUCCUCCUCCGUGGUUUCGGUGGAUUGUGAGAUUGUUGUUGGAUCAAUUUGUGUUGUAUAUUAAGUAAUUUAAUAGAGCGCUUCAGUUUCGUGUGAAAUUCGAAUGCUUAAUUGUGCUGCUAUAAAUCAGAGACGGGUCUCUACCCAUUCUUGUGUUUCUUUCUAUUAUUUGAAACAUAGUCAAGGAGGCUCACAUGUUUUGCAUGUAUGUGUUUGAUAAUAUGAAAUUUUAGUUCAGGUUGGGUAUUAGGAGCUUAGUGCUGGAGUCGUCUAAUAGCUUGAGGGCAACAGGGUUUGCAUUCACAACUUGGACUAAUGAGUAGAGGGCUUUAGACGCUAUUGGUAUUGGUGAUUAUCUACGACAGCAACAUGAGACUCUUGUUGGGUAAUUUUUAACUUGUUGGUUACUCAGAAAGUCAUUUCAUGCAGUCAAGUUUUUUUUGUAUGUCUAUAAGUAAACUAGAAGAUGUAUGUCUAUUUCAUAAUAUGCCAUCCUUUUCAGCUUCAUUACAUUUAUGAUUUUUGAAGCCGAAAACAUCAGGACUGAGAUAUAGCCUAUUGUUUGAAAGUACAAAAGUUAGUGGUUCAUUGGUC